rnacentral:lncRNA from 1 species
CAUGAUCACGACAAAUUCAAGGGAAAGGAAGAGAACCAGCGCCACCACCAGGACCACCGAGUCCACCACCGGUGCCCACUCCACUGCCUAUGCCGCCUAGGGUUCCGAGACCACCGGUGCCACCCAAGCCACCCAAGCUGCCGAGCCCUCCUGUCCCACCUAGUCCACCUGCACUACCGAUUCCUCCGCCAAGUCCGCUGACUCCACCUAGUCCACCAAAUGGCAGUCCAGAACCACCUAGUCCUGCAACACCACCGACUCCGCCGAAGCCACCGAGCCCGCCAAAGCCGACGAUAUUCUUUUGGUCAUCGAGACCAGCAUCACUAGGCACAGUCCUUGCAGUGGUGUGAACCACUGCUACGGCAAGCACUGCCAUGAUAAACCACUUUGCCAUCUCUCUCUUUUCUCACUUACUAACUCACGCUCUAAUGCUUCUUUUUGAGGGUUUACUCAGUUGCACCUGAAGGGUGUUGCGGGUCUCCUUUUAAAGGCCUAAAGGGAGGUGGGGGACAGUUGCACGUAGUAAAUGAAGUUAAAUGCUGACCAGUCCAUAGCUUUACUCAGUCGAUGGAAUUGAACAGGAUUUGUUGGAACUAUGCUUUGAGCUGCUGAACCUCAGGGCCUCAAAUUGAUCAACAUCUAACAAAUAAAAAUGAAAAUCACUUGCAUAUCAUCAUGGCUUCCAUACAGAUGUUAGGCCAUAUGUAUGGCUGUGAUGGGAUUCAGAAACUUGCUCCUACCAAGAUGUGCAUGACAGAAAACUUAAAAGUACAUGGAUAACGGACCACGAAAAAUGUCUUUCUCUGAUAAUUCUUUCGCGUUUUAUUUUUCACAUCCUGAAAUUUUCAGUUGAUCUCUUGCUAAGAGAAUGUAUGGAAAAAAUGAAUAACAAAUUAGAUAAAAUGAUACCUUAUCUUAACACCACUCUGUCGUGCAUUUCGUCUCUUUGGGCUUACCAUAUGAUAUAGAAAGCGAUGCAACAUAACAUAAACAAUUCUUGGAAUUAUUAUUAUUAUUUAAAAAAAAAAGUUAAAAGAAAUAGUUUUUUUUUUCCUUUUUUUUCUGUUUUUUUUUUAAGAUUAUAUUUAUGCCAUUAUUUUAUUUUAUUCUGAACACGAUUUAACAAUUUUGGGAGAUCAAUCCUCUUGUUUCAGAUUUUAUGAAACCAGUUAUGCAUGAUGUUAUUUAUUUUCAAAAUACAAUUAUAUAAAUAAUUGGAAUGGAGACAAAAUAUUAUUUUUUACAUAUUUUAACUUUAUUUUUUUCCAUUAAAUUUUAUUUCGAGGGUGCAGGUAAAGAAGAUUAUCAAUCCACCAAACUGCUGAUAAUCAUUCAAUGUUAUGUUGGAAUCCAUUCAGCGUCUGGCUUUGUCAUUACAGAUGUGUCAUUGUAAGAUGGAGAAUUAAUUAAGCCUGGUUUGUAUAUUUGAUUAUUUUUAGAUAAAGUCUUGACAAAAAAAAGUGACAAACUUUGAAAAUAUUAUACUCAUGAUGAAAAAUAAAAUAAAAUUAUAGCUACACCCAUUUAAUCAAAUUAAGAUUUUUCAUGUUAAUUUGAAGUCAUGAAAAUUAUUAAAAUUUUUAGAUUAGAUGAGUAAAAGUAGGUUUUACAGCGAUUUUAUAAAGUGUUUUUAGGUUUUUUAAUAUUUGAGAGAUGAAAAUUUUUAAGUAUUAAAAAUUUAAAAAAUAUUUUCUAAAAUCGAUGUAAGUGCUUUAUCCAAAUAAAAAUUAAUUAGGUCUCAUUUUUCUAGUAUGAUGAACAUGACGAGAAUUCGGUGAGAACUGACGGAUAAAGACCAAGGGUUGCUGAAGCUCCACGGGCAAGUACUAGAGAUGAGAGUGAGGUGAUAAGUGGGGUAGGGUGAAUCAAUAACAGCUCCUCAGCUGCCCGUGACAGGACUAGGGCUGAGGAUGCUGACCUUGGUGGAGGAGAAAGUAAAUGCAUUUGUCAGGAGAGUUUGUGGACUCCUCUUAGUUUCACCUGUUCUUAAAAAUUCAUUUAAUGACCUACAACUCUCAUGCACACAUCUUCAUGCUCAUGUACAUGCAUGUGAGAUAUCUAUCCCAUAUGGAUCAUCUUAACUAAGCCUAUUUAGCAACUGUUUUCCACAAUAAAAUAUAUUUAAAAAUAUUAAUAAAAAAAUAAGUUAAAAACAUUUUAAAUUUCAGAUUUUUAAUUUAUAAAACAUCAAAAAAAGUAGUUUUAAAAAAUUGUUCAAAAAAGUUGUUUUCAAAACUGUUUUAAAAAACAAUUACUAUGUACAUUUUUUAUUUUUUAUUUUUAUUUUUAAAGUUAGAAAUAUAGUUGGAAUUUUCAUGUAAGAGACAAGUGCUCUUGGAGAUUUAUAUUAAAAAAUAACAAUUUUUAAAAUAAAUUAUAUAUAUAUAUAUAUAUAUAUAUAUAUAUAUAUUAAGAAUAGAUAUCAACAAAUCCAACAAAAUUGAAAAACAAUGCGGCAUAUAGUACUUCCACAAAUCAAGACUUUUAAAAUGUGGAAAAAGAAAUUUAAAAAAAAAAUACCACCACAAAUACCUCUUCAUAUACUGGUUUACCUUGAGACUCCUAAAUAUAAAUAAUAAUAAGAAAACCAGACCUGAAAAUACAAAACACAAAAAAAUCAGCAUUAACUUCAGGAUUUGACUUUCAUGUGGCUUGGAUAAGUUGGUUUGCAAAAAUGUAAUUCAACUUUUUUAAAGUUAUUACACCCGUUAAGUGAAGCCCAUAAGUGAUUGGUAGUGUGGUAUGUUGGUUUUGAAAAAUAUUAAUGAAAGAAAAAAUAUAUAUAAAAAAAUAUUUUUUUAUAUUUGUUUGUAUUAUAAAAAAUACAAAAAAAGUUAAAUAUAAUUAAAAUGGAUAAGAAAAUGGCCAAGGUGAAGUCAGUGCAUGCAAUUCCGAAGGUGGCAUGUGAAUGAGGUCCCAUGUAUCUGGCACUCGGGACAUCUCUGAACAAACUGGCAACAAUCCGUCUCCAUGGUCAACCAGAAGUAACCAGUCCUCAUGAUCUUACGGGCCAACAUAUGCCCUUCCAUAUGUGGUCCGCAAACUCCCGCAUGAACCUCUCUCAUGACUCGAUCGGCAGAGGCGCGGUCCAAACACAAUAGCAACAUCCCGUCAGCUGAUCGUCUAUAUAGUUCUCGUCACAAAUCACGAAUCGGACGGCUAACUGUCUCAGUGCUCUCCUAUCCUUGGCCGUGGCAACCUCAGGAUACACACCAAGUCUCAUAAAGUGAUAUAUGUCAUGGUACCAGGGCAAACCAUCGUCUAUCUCCGUAUCUUCAAUCAAACAACAAUACGCAGAAGCAGACCUCGAUUCGAUCAACAAUGGGUGAACAGUGACAUCAACAGGAAUGUCAAUCAUGGAAGCUAGAGUAGCUAAGGCAUCAGCAAACUGGUUCUACGCUCUAGGCAGAUGUGUGUAUCUCAAAUCAUCAAAUCUCUCGACCAGUAGCUCCAAAUACGCGUGGUAAGGCCUAAGCUUCACAUCCCUAGUCUUCCACUCGCCCUGAAUCUAUCUCAAUACCAUAUUGGAGUCACCAAACACCUCCAUCUGUCUAAUCCCGAGCUCUAGAGUCGUCUCUAAUCCCAGAAUACAAGCCUCAUACUCAACAAUGUUGUUCGUGGCAAGAUGUCGAUCCGAGAAUGCCAAACAAACAAAUCUAGGAAUGUGAUCACCAGGAGGGGAUAUCAACAAGACGCCUAUCCCGUAUCCAAAGUGGUUGACCGCACCAUCAAAUUACAUGCGCCAACCUAACAGACUAGUCAUAGUAGUGACAUCCUCGUCCGGGAAGUCAUCAUCAAUGGCUCUACCGUCGGAAACUGGUAAGAAUGCUAGGUGAUCUGCGACAAUGCUCCCUCUGAUGGACUUCUGAGUGACAUAAUGGAUGUCGAACUCAGUUAGAAGCACCAACCAUCUCAUGAGGCGACCAACCAGGGCGGGCCUGUCAAACAAAUAUCUCAGAGGGUCUAGACGGGAUAUCAAAUGCACUGAAUACUCGGUCAUGUAAUGUCUCAAUCGUCGAGUGGCCCAAACCAAUGCUAAGCAAUAGCGCUCAAUCAUAACAUAUCUCGUUUUGUAAUUUAGUAUCCUCUUACUCAGAUAAUAAAUGGCUCGAUCUUUGCUCGAAUCAUCGAGCUGAGCCAACAUGCAUCCCAAAGCCACAUCUGAGAUGGAUAGGUAUAGGAGUAAAGGACGGCCUGGUGUAGGAGGCGCCAAGACUGGGGAUGACAACAAGUACUCUCGAAUCCUUUCGAAUGCGCACUGACACUGAUCAUCCCAAACAGUAGGUUGACUCUUCCUCAAGAGUCGGAAAAUGGGCUCACAGAUGUCUGUCAAUCUGGCGAUGAAUCUACUAAUAUACUAAAGUCUACCCAAGAAGCCUCUAACCUCUCUCUCUGUCCUUAGUGCUGGCAUGUCAAGGAUGGCUCUGAUCUUGUCCGAAUCUGCCUCUAUGCCUCUCUCACUGACCAUAUACCCUAAGAGUUUCCCAGAAGUCACUCCGAAAGUGCACUUCUUGGGAUUCAGUCUCAAUCUGAACUGUCGGAUCCUCUCAAAGAACCUCUCCAGAGCUGCUAGGUGAUCUGGUCUCUCUCGGGAUUUCACUAUCAUGUCGUCUACAUAAAACUUGACAUCCCGAUGCAUCAUGUCAUGGAAGAGGGUGGUCGCUGCUCUCUAAUAGGUGGCUCCUGAUUUUUCAAUCUGAAUAGCAUGACCCUAUAGCAAUAAGUACCCCACUCGGUAAUGAAGAACGUCUUCUCCAUGUCCUCUGGAGCCAUCAAGACCUGACUGUAUCCGGAAAAUCCAUCCAUAAAGGACAACAUCAAAUGACCUAUCGUACUGUCAACUAGCAUGUCGAUGUGUGGAAGAGGAAAAUCAUCCUUAGGACUGGUCUUGUUAAGAUCUCGAAAAUCAACACAAACUCUCACCUUGCCGUCCUUUUUGGGAACAAGGAUGACAUUGGCCAGCCACUCUGAGUACUCGACCACUGAUAAGAAUCCUACAUUGAGCUGCUUCUGAAUCUCCUCUUUGACCUGCAAGCUCCAACGAGGAUGCAAUCGUCUCAACUUCUACUUAACCGGUCUGGCAUGGGGCAGAAGUGACAAACGAUGUUGGACGAUAGAUGGAUCAAGGCCUGGCAUGUCCUUAUAAGACCAUGCGAAAACAUCCAAGUAUGCUCCGAGCAAUUGGAUGAGGCUAUCUCUCUUAUCAACAGAUAAAUUUGAUCCAAUCCUCAACUCCCUAGGUUGAUCUACUGUGCCGAAAUCAACAAUCUCCGUGUCUCCUACAGUAGGUGAAACUCUCUCAUCAACGGGAUCCAAAUCGGAAACAGAAGGUGAGUCAUCGUCUGAAUCGUGCUGUGCAAUCUUAUCAUCAAUGUCAAAAAUCUAUGAUGUGGGUGAAGAUGGUGCAGAUAAAUCAAUAACAUGAGAGACAAGCAAAUACUCAAAGAUGCUCAAAUCCAUAGAUGAAAAGUCAGAAACAUAGUCAUUAUGGGAGACAAAUCCCGAUAAAACAUCAAAGGAAAGAGGUGGGUCCACAAAGUCGGAUGCUCUCUCAACUAGGCCAACAGGGCCAUCAAACAAACCAUCAACAACUAUAACAUCCUAGGUGACCUCCGGAGCGGGGGCAACCUGGAUUUCCUCUGCGAUCUCGAGGACGGACACCCCAAAGAGAUCAAAUGGUGAAGCGAGCUCAGGUGGGGCUAUCUCCUCGGUUUAGCUUAAGCUCAUCGCGAGCAUCUCAUCAACAUACUCGUCACGUGGCACGACUCCGUCCACUAUGUCUCCGAUCUCGGCAAAAGUCCCGUGCUCAUCGAUCUCAUCCGGGAAGCAAAACGUCAUAAGACUCGUGUGAUCUGGGGAGGGAGGAGCGAUCAACGCAGAAGUCGAAGGGCCAGGGGCUUCGUCACUCAACUGUAACUGCUGGACGAGGCAAUGAAGUUCAGCCUCUUGGACGGUACUAAGUCCUUCGAUGAUCCCAUCAGAUGCUGCAUGUGGCUCCGAUGCCCUUACAAAGUAAUCAGCUAGGCUCAUGGUGUAUGGGCGAACAGGAUAAUAAAAGGGCGUAUGAGUCAAGCGAGCCCUCACCCUCUCCCUGUGCAAUCUCGCCAUAACGAUAAUCGGCCUUGGUGGGGAUGAAUCCGAGCCCGAAUGGUACGUCGUGAUAAGGGAAAGCCAUGAACUCACUAGGCCCGUGUUGGCGCCACCUUAACCCCAUACCGGGAAGAUAAGGCAUGCUCCGCAUAAUAUCGAGCACCACCGUGCUGGUCGAAGGACAUGGCUACAAAGUCUCGACAGAAAUCCUCCAUCUCCAGGGUUUGCACCUCAUCAAAGGUGAAUCUGGUCAGAAAAAAAUCAUCAUCAACGUGACUAAUCUCAAGUACGGGCUCGAUCGAAAUGAACAUAUCCCCUACAGACUGCACCACGACGACCCGACCACCAUGAAUAAACUUCACCCUCUGAUGAAGGGAAGAAAGAAUGGCCCCAGCUCUAUGGAUCCAUGGUCGGCCCAAAAGCAGGUUAAAGGAUGUAGGAAUCCUCAAAACUUGAAACAUGGUGACAAAAGUGGCUGGACCAAUCAAUAGCUCAAUCUCUAGUGUACCCAUGACCUCCCUCCGAGUGCUAUCAUACGCGCGAAUGGUCUGAGUGGAGGGGCUGAAGUCAGAAGGAGUGUAUCAGAGGGCAAUGGUCGUGGCAAAAGGACAUACGUUCAGGGUUGAGCCAUUAUCCAGAAGGACAGAUGGGACUCGGCGGCCUAAACAGCCAACGGAUAUGUAUAGAGGACGUGUGUGGUCCGAGCCCUCUGGUGGCAAAUCAUCGUCCGAGAAUACGAUGCAUGUGGCUCUACCGGCCAUCAUUAUUUGAAUCAAUCCCUUAGGGGAGGUGGUAGUCUCAACCCGGAUCUGCCUCAAAGCUCGAAUCACACAGUGCCCCAACUCAAACCCAAGUCCAAAGUCUCCAUGGGCAAGCCCAAGGCUCCAUCUUCAGCACCAACUUGGGCCGGGUGCCUCAACUUAAGCCCAAAACUUCAUCUCCUCCAUUGCUUGCCUCUCUGCCUGGAAAUCACCCUCAGAGGGAGCUCCUACCGCCGGUGGCACCAUGGACCACAACUUGUCGAUGUUGACGAUGGGGCAGUAGAGCUUGAUGCGGAGCUUGUGGAAGUGCCUCAUUCCAACCUUCCCGAAGUAGCCAAGGUGGUACUUGUCGAAAAAAGAUGCGGUGGUGAUGCAUACCUCCAGUAUUUCCGCGGCCACCAGGGUGCUUCUGGUGCUUGCCGAUCCGGCCAUGGCCGGCGCUGAUGUGUCCUCUCUUCUUCCUAUUCUUCUUGAACUUGGUUGUCAUCCUUGUACCUUGUACCGCCUAAGGCUUUUGAAUCUCUGGGGUGGUUUGCGGAGAGAAGAGAUAAUGUGAUAGGGAAGAUGAUGGGUGAGUCGGGUAUAAGGAGGUACAAGCAUGAUAGGCACGAGGGGUGCAUGUGAGGGUGUUUGGGUUUGAUGGAGAGGCACGGGUGAUGAAAGAAAACACGGGUUUAGUGGGUAUGGUGGGCUUGAUGAUAGAGAGAGAAAAGAUGAUGGGGAAAGGAAAUGAGGAAACCGGGUAUGAAGACGAGUGGAAUGGAAAAGGAGGCUUGACAGGUUGUAUUAGGAACAAAAGUUGUCGUGUCAUCCCCAAUGGAGCAGGAGGAAUAGAGACUGCUGGGUGUUGAGAGUACCAAGGCUGGGGGCGAGUAGGAGUGGACCAACCAGCAGGAGGCACGACUAAUGCACCACCACCAAGUUGUGAACUCGGGACCUCCACUUUAGCCAAUUUUGAUGGGACGUCUUCACCUUCCUCUCCAUAAUGAGCUGCUAAGAUUUCAUGUGGGAGAGCAUAUUCUCUAUUUUGGAGGUGACAGUCACGAACCCAGUAGAAUAAUUCAACAACUCUUUGGGCAAUGAAAAUGCGGCAAAUCAGGUUCCAAAACUAUGCCCAUGCGAAGACCAAAGGCGAUGUUGGCCAUGACCCUUUCUCCUUGGUGGUACGAAUAGCUUCCGAGAACAGAGAGUGAAUAGCAAGGAAGCAAGCACCAAAAAAAAAAAAAAAAAAAAACAGAGCAUCCAAAUGAACUUAAUAUAACACUUACAUGAGCCUUCUUUUAUAUUAAAGUUAAUAGGUUCCUGUAUAGGUAGGAAAGCCAGGUGGAAACAAGAUCCAAGGAUAUGAUUCAAACACAAAGGAGAGCUAAAAAAAAGGAAUUAAAUCACUCUCAGACAAAAUUUCACAUGGAGAACAAGGAACGAAUACAUUAUCACAUAGUUAUAGUGACCCAAAAAGAUGUGUAUAGCAAACAAAAUGUGGUUUAGAAAACGUACCUAAGGAUGCCCCCUCUCUUUUCCCCUGUUUUUUUUUUAGUUUCUCUGGAUCCCCCAUUUUCCUCUCUACCAGCCAGUUUCUAUCUUCUUGGGCAACCCAUUACCUGCUUCCCUGUUCAUCACAUCAGCAGCAUGGCCUCCUCAACUACCAACCUGACCAUCCAUGCCACAGCGGGUCUCUCCUUGCUGAUCCUCCAGAAAGGGGGUCCUCCCCCUUCUAAAAAAAAAACUUUCCUUGCCUCUUGUCGUCCUAAGGUGCCCUUUUGUUUUAAGUUAUGAAAACAAAUAUCAAUUGAAUAGUCCCAGCAAGCCAUUCUCUCAUGGCUUGAAAAGAGGGGUCUACAGAUAUAUAAUUUUUUUUAUAUAAUUUUUAGUUAUGAAAUUAAUAUUUAUAGCAAGAAAAUCAUAUUUAAAGACAAUAUUUAUGGAUGGAAAAUAGGUUUUUAAAAUUUUUUGCAAUAAAAUUUUAAUUUACACCAAUAAAUCCCAUUUAUCCACAAAAUCAAUUUGCAAUGAAUAGUUCUGUAUUUAUAAAUUAUUUGAUAGAAUUUUGAAAGAGAUGAAAUUAUCAAAUUGACGAUAAAAAUAUUGUUUUAUAGGUGAAAUUGAUUAAACAUGAGAAUGAUGAUGGCUUAUAUAAAACAUUUAUUAAUUGUUUAAAAUAAUUUAAAACUCAAAAAUCGAUAUAAUUAGUACUACAAAGUCGUGAAACUUAAUAAUAUUAGAAAGUUAUAGACCAAAAUUUAUUUUAUGACAUAUUUAGCUUCUUCUUUACAUAUAUCAUAUUUUUACUAAUUUUUUCAUUAGAUAAAUAAAUUUCAAAUCAAGCAAGACCUAUUGAGUUGGAUUCAUGAAUGACUCUAAUAAUUUUUAAAAAUAACUUAAAACUCAAAUAAUGAUCCAAUUAAUAUUAGAAAUUGAUGGAUAAAAAUUGGUUUAAAAUGACUAUUAUUAUUAUUAUUAUUUUACACAGAAUCUGAGAACCCCUUAAAAAGACCAAUGUUUUUUUUUUAUUAUUAUUCAUGGGAUUUAGCUGGAACCACCCGAGAGAUGGAGAGCUUUCUUGGUAGGAUGGGGGGGACCCCUUUUUGAAGGAAGGCAGCUUCAUAGACACAGCCGAAGGUGAUGGCCGGCCAUGCUUGCUGAUGGGGUAAACAGCAGGGCAAGUAGUGGCUUGCCAAGAAAUGAAAGAAAAACGGGGAUUUAGAGGAAAAAGGAAGAGGUUUUUAAAAAAAAGAGGGGAUUUUUUUCAGCUGGCUGGAGGAGACCUUGAAAGCUAUUGGAGGAAAAACACAGGUAUCAUUUCUACAAGCUGUGGAUUCUUUUGUGUUCAGGGUACUUUAUGAUGUCUUAUGGGUAUUAUGAGAUGCUAUUUUUGAUGCUUGAAUGUGCUUUUUUUUUUUUUUUUUGGGAUUCUCACAUAUUUUUAUGGAAUCUAAGCUUGCUUAUACUCACUCGAAGCUUGAUUUCCAACCUGUUCAUGGUCUCUGUUUUGAUGUUUUAUAUGAGAUGUUGGCAUUCACGUAUUGAUUUCUCUUUGGGAACUUAAAAUGGAACAAUAGAUGACAUUGAUGUUUCAGCCAAUGUAGUUGUUAUAAAUUUCUCCAUGCAUGCCACCACAUUUCCUCUCUCUACGUUCCCCAUUAUCCAUUACCCACUUCUCUUUCCAGCUCUCCACUCUUCCCCCCUCACCCCCAUACCCGCGUCAUGCCUAUUCCCAUUAGGACCCCGAAGUCACUCACCUACAUGCUUAGGAAUCGUGCAUGCGUGGAGCCAUGGACGGCGGCAGCAGGCUGCCACCAGCUUGUUGUGGAUGGUGGAGGCCGCACGCGGCGCUGCGUGAUGGUGUGCAGCUCCAGAAGGUGUCGCGGAGUGAAAGAAAUGGUGUGAACGGAGUUGUGGCAGCAAGGGAGCAGUCGGCUGUAGCAGGCCGUGAGGGUGUUCGCAUAAAAAAAAAAAAAGUGGAACGAACGGGAAAGAGAGUGGGAGGUGGCUGCCAAGAAGUUGGCUGGUGAAGAUGAUGAUGCCCAGGUGAAAAUGGUUUUGGGCUUAAGUUUGGGAGCCCAGCCCAAGCUUGUUGAUGGGGGUAGCAUAUUCUCAAGUAAUUGGGCUUGCCCUUGGUGGAAAUGGCUUUGGGCUUAAGUUGAAGCACCCGACCCAAGUUGAUGCUGAGGAUGGAUGCCUUGGGCUUGCCCAUGGCAAGGACUUUGGGCUUAAGUUUGAGAGCCCAGCCCAAGCUUGUUGAUGGGGGGCCUCAUGGCUCCUCAAGCUAGCCACCCUCAUGGCCCAAGCCUAUGUUGAGCUAGCCCAUUUGGUUGCCUCAACUCAAAAAAAAAUCUCUAUACCUCUAAUCUUUCAAAGAAAUCACAUAUCUUAAUUUAAUUUUUCAAUAACUAUUUCAAAUAUCAUUUUCAUCCAUUAGAAUUAUUUAUCCCAUAUUAUCUAGCUAUUUAAAGUCUAAAUCUUUCAAAGGAAUCAUAUGCCUUAAUUUAAUUCUUCAAUAAUUAGUUCAAAUCUCAUUUUCAUCCGUUAAAAUUAUUUAUCUAAUAUACUCAUCUAGUUAUUUAAAGUCUAACCCUUUCAAAAAUCCCAUGUCUUAUUUUAAUUUCUCCAUAAUUCGUUUAAAUCUUAUUUACGUCAAUUAGAAUUAUUAUCACAUGUUUAUCUAGUUAUUUAAAGCAUAAUCCUUCAAAAAUCGUAUGUCUUAGUCUAAUCUUUCAAUAAUCCGUUCAAAUCUCAUUUUCAUCAAUUAUAAUUAUUAUCCUAUAUUAAUCUAUCUAUCUAGUCUAAUCUUUAAAAAACCCCCUGUCUUAAUUUAAUAUUUUAGUAAUUUGUUUAAAUUUUAUUUUCAUCAAUUAGAAUUAUUAUCCCAUAUUCAUCUAUUUAUUUAAAAUCUAAUUCUAAAAAAAUCCCAUGUCUUAAUUUAAUUAUUCAAAUAUUCGUUUAAAUCUUAUGUUCAUCAAUUAGAAUUAUUAUCCUAUAUUCAUCUAUCUAUCUAGUCUAAUCCUUCAAAAAUCCCAUGUUUUAAUUUAAUUCUUUAAAUAUUUGUUUAAAUCUUAUUUUCAUAAAUUGAAUCAUUAUCCCCAUGUUUAUUUAGUUAUUCAAAAGUCUAAACCUUAAAAAAUCCCAUGUUUUAAUUUAAUUCUUUAAAUAUUUGUUUAAAUUUUAUUUUCAUCAAUUAGAAUUAUUAUCCCAUAUUUAUUUAGUUAUUUAAAGUCUAAUCCUUCAAAAAUCCCCUGUCUUAAUUUAAUAUUUCAAAAAUUUGUUUAAAUCUUAUUUUCAUCAAUUAGAAUUAUUAUCCCAUAUUCAUCUAUUUAUUUAAAAUCUAAUUCUUCAAAAAUCUCAUGUCUUAAUUGAAUUUUUCAAUCCUAGAAAUUCUACAAUUCGUUUAAAUUUUAUCCUCAUCAAUUAGAAUCAUUAUCCCAUAUCUAUUUAAAGUCCAAUCUUUCGAAAACCCCAUGUCCUAAUUUAAUUUUCAAUCCCAGAAAUUCCAUUAUUCACCUAAAUGUUAUUCUCAGUAAUUAGAAUUCUUAUCCCUUAUCUAUUUAUUUAUUUAAGGUCCAACUCUUCAAAAAUUCAACGUCCUAAUUUAAUUUUUAAUCUUAAAAAUCCCACUACUCACUUUCUAUUCGUUUAAAAUAUUGUUUCCGUUAAGUAGCAUUAUUAUUCCAUACUAUCUAUUUAAUUUAAUCGUUAAAGUUUAAUUCAUCAGAACCCGACUUCCAAAUCUAAUUUCCAACCUCAAAAGCUCCACCGUCCAAAUAUCGCCGUUCAAUGAUUAUUCUUGUUAUUAAUGUUAUCCCAUCUACUUACUUAUUCCGUUAUUCAUAUACCAAAGAUCUCAUCUCUAAAUAAAUUCUUAAGUUCUCAAACUCUAAGUUCACAUCUUCAAAUCUCUAAAAUUCCAUCUUUCGCAGUUAUUUACCUAAUCUUUAUUAUUUCACCAUCGUUAUUAUUCCAUUCCUUUACUUAUUCACUCAUCCACUUAUCCCCUCAUUUAAAAUCCCGAACUCUCAAAUCAUUUUCAAGUUUCCAAUCUCGUUCAAAUUUAAUUUCUAAAAAUUCUCAUUCUCGCAUUUAAUUUCUGAAAGUCCGAUCUUCAAAUAAACUGUAAAAUUCCAAAUUUUAAGUAACCUUUGAGACUCCAAUUUUUCAAAUGAAUUUCAAAAAUCCGAUUUCCUCUCCAAUUGUUUUUAAUUCCAUUUUUCGAACAAUCCUCUGUUUCUCUUGAUUUCAAUGAGCAUGAAUGAAUUUUUCAUAAUUCCGGAAUAAUAGAAUCUAUGAUAUUAAUUCAUGCAAAAUAAACGGGCUGUGGUGGGGGCCUUACAUGGGUGACUUUAUGAUUGAUUGAUUGAUUGUUUGCUUUGAUUAUCAUACAUGAUUGAUUUACCCUACUCUUUGACAUGCAUGCGAUUAUUCCUAAAUGGUGCAUUGACCCUCUCUAUUGAUAGCGCAUGGUGGCUCGUUGCCCAGGUAUGUACCCAUUUUCCCUCUAAUCGUUGUUUAUGCAUGUCUCGAUUCUUAUGUGUGCAUGAUCAUUAAGGAUAUUCAUUGAUUUAUUCAUCAAUUUCCAUGUCAGCUUCAUUUUAUUAGUAGAGACCCGACUUUAAGGACUUAGAGGGGUGUUAUGGUCUUUACCGUACCUUCCCGAUAAGUAACCUGACCCCCGAGCCCGAUCCAGUUUUUCGUAGAUCACCUUUCCCAAAAUAAGGAGUCGCACUUAGGGUUUUCUUUCUUAUUUUUUUUACCCUUUUAAAAAUAAAACAAAAAUAAGUUGCGACACCAAGUCAUUUUCUUAAUCAAUAAAAAUCAUUUUUCAAAUUAAAAUCGAGCUCACCAUCAAGUGGAAAACGCAUGAGCCGAAAUGCAGGGUCCAUAGAAUCAUUAUUUUUUGAUUUUAUUUUAUUAGACAAAUAAACUACAAAUUAAACAAGACUUAUUACAUUAGACUCAUCAAUGAGUCUAGUAGUUUUUAAAAAUAACUUAAAACUCACAUAGUGAUCCAAUCAAUAUCAGAAAUUGAUGUACAAAAAUUGGUGUAGAACGACUCUUAUUUCUCUUCUACAUAGAAUUAUUAUUUUUCGAUUUUUUUUGUUUGCUAGGCAAAUAAACUCUAAUUUAAACAAAACUUAUUGCAUUGGAUUCAUCAACGAGUCUAUUUUUUUUUUUUAAAUAAUUUAAAACUCAAAUAAUAAACCCAUUAAUAUAAAAGUUUAUGGAUAAAAAUUGGUUUACAAUUACUAUUAUUUCUUUUCUACAAAUAAUUAUAUUUUUAUAAUUUCUCUUAAUAGAAAAAUGAACUUCAAAUCAAGUGAUGCUUUAUAUUAAAUUUAUUAUUGGGUUUAACAAUUUUUAAAAAUAAUUUGGAACUCAACAAAUAGAUCUAAUCACUUAAAAAAACUAAUAAAUUAAAAUUGAUAUAUUAUGAGUCUUGACUUUACUAUUUCUCUAUACACACAACUCUCUCUCUCUCUCUCUCUCUCUCUCUCUCUCUAUAUAUAUAUAUAUAUAUAUAUAUAUAUAUAUAUAUUAAUUUUCUCACUAUGCAAAUAAAUUAUAAAUUAAGUAAGACAUAAUUAAUAAUUUAAAUUCUUUAAUGAAUUUUUAUUUUUAAAUAAUUUGGUUAUCUAAUUUUUAAGAAUAAUUUGGAAUUCAAAAAGUCAAUCUAGUUAAUUUCAAAUUAAAUCAAAAUAUUUUAGAAUAUUAUGUUCAUAAUUGAAUACUAAAUAUGUGCAUCUAAUAAAAAAACUUGGCUCAUUUAUAUGUUAAAAAAUUAAACUUUAUUUGUUAUUCAUUUUAAAUGAAAUAUUAUUAAUAAUUAUUAUUUUAAAAUUAUUGUUAUUCGCUUUUAACAAAAAAUUUACGAAGUUGUUAAUAUCCUUAUGUUUUUAAACAUAUACUAUAAUAUUACUAUUCAUGUUUUACUAAAAACUAUAUAUUUGUUAAUUUAUUUAUAAUUACAAAACUAUUUUCAGUUUUAAUAAGAUCUAGAAUAAAAUUUCACUAAUUUUAUAUAAAUUAAAUUUACAAUAUUUUUACCAUAUUAAAAUAGAAAAAAUAUUUUUAAAAACAACUUAUCCAAAUAAAGUUUUUGUUAUUUAUUUUUAAGAAUUGUUUUUAAAAACAACUUGCUAAAUAUCCUUAUUUUUAUAAAAUACUAAAAAACUGUUUUUGGUUCUUCAACUUAGAAACAAGUCUUUGAAAAUAUCCCUAAAUAUGCAUAUCCAGAACUUACAUGAGGCCUUUUCAUCAAGGAUAUCAAGGCCAUUUUGCUUUAUAUAUACUUGUUUUUCUAUUAGGUUGCCAAGAAAAAUUUUGGAAGUGUACUAGUCUUUUCUUUUUUCCUUUUUCUUUUUACAUAUUUAUGGAAGUGGUUUUGUGUAACACCCCUACCUAGAAUCAAGGAUAUUUAUGUAAUACGCCAAUUAAAUAAAAAAUUAAGAGAAGAUAAGUAAGAUAUUUUUGGUUCCUAUAACUAGUUACUAUCUUUAUCUUGUUAUGAUUUUCUCCCUUCCAAUUCUUCAUCCUUGUUAUUAGGAAUGAUAUAAAAAAAUAUAAAGAGAAUAGAGUUUUUAUGAUUAAUCUUUCAAGGAAAGCAUCUAACCUAUAAAGUUAAUAUUUCGGUCCCAUUUUCGUGGUUGUGUAAAAUAAAUAACCUUGAAUCUUUUAGGUAUUCUCUUGAAAGAUUUGAAUUUAGGAUUAGUUUAUUUAAGAAAAAAAUGAAUAUAGAUAGGUUGAUUUAUCCAUGAAGAUAGGAAAAUUGUAUAGAUCCAAAUCAAUUUAAAAAAUAAAAUAAAAAUCUUUUGCAACAUUAGAAGAAAAAAGUACAAACUUAGAUGGCCUAUUGGUUUAUUGUUACAUGUUUGAAAAAAAGAAAAAUAAAAAGAAAAAUGAGAUAUUUUUAUGGGUUACAACUUUUAUGUUGUAAGUGUUAGGAUAAAGCCCUUGAAAACAUGACAUGAUAUAAUAAAUUUGGAAUUUAUUAUUUAUUUAAUUAUAUUUUAGUUUUACUUUUAUAUUUCCUUGUUUUAAUGCAUUCUAUUUUAUGAGUAUUUUAACCUGUAUUUAUUACAUUUUACAUGACUUGAGUGCAUUAGGAGUUUCAUGGAAGAUCUAAUUCAUAGGUUUUUUACAAGCAAAUGAUUUGUUUACAACCAAAUUGAUUCCACGUGAUGAAAAUGAAGACUGAAGUCGCAAGAAGUAUAAUAAACUCAGAGUCUUUCACUUGAUCACUCGAACCUUGAUCUUGACACACUUCCGAUGGGGAUGGAAGAGAGGGUGGAGACUAUGACUUUCUCUCUCUCUCUCUCUCUCUCUCUCUCUCUCUAGGUGGAUGAAAACUCUCUAGAAAAAACUAUGGAAACCCUAACCUCUAAGGGGGUAUUUACAGGGUUUCCCAUUGGGCUUUAAUAACUUGAACCCACUAAGGCUUAAGUCACUUAACAUAGCUUAAAAUGGGUCAUAAUUGAUUAAUUAACCCAAUAGACUCUACAAAUUAAUCAAUUAGCCCAAUCUAGAGACCUUGUUCACUUACCCUUGUACAACCUUGCAUAAUUACCAAAAUGCCCUUAUGCACAAAAGUGAACUUAAGUCAAUCCAACCCUCAUAACCCAUGCUAACAAAAUAUAUAAGCUCAAAACAGGAACCACUAGGACCUAUAGGAGUAGUAGCUCCCUUAAAAUCCAAUUCUAAAGUUGAUUCAACAACCUACUACAAAGUAUUAAUUGAACUCCAAUAUCCCAUGUAAAUAACAAUGAGACAUUAUGUGCUCGAGUUCGUGAGUUGCUAUCCAUUGUGUCCAAUCUUUCCAUUAAUUGAUAUUCGUAGUCUAAUAAGGUGAAAACUAUCAACCUUUCAAGAUUACCUCUACUAUCUUUUAGUUAUAAACCCUCCUAUUGUGUAUUUAACUAACAUAUCAUACCUUUCCAAGAGCAUGAUGUCAAGUUCCACUUAAGAACUACUAUGACCAUGGUUUACAUGAAUGCACUUUUUUAGGAUCAACCUAUUGGGAUUGAGCCCUUAAAAGUAAGACAUGAUGUAACAAAGUUAGACUUAACUAUCAUUUUUCUAUCCUUUUGGUGUAUUGACAUUGAUUCGAGCAUUCAACCCAUGUCUUUUACAUUGUUCAUGACUUAAGUGCAUUAGGAGUUGCACAGAAGAUACAAGUCAUGGGUUCCUUGUAAGUAGAUAAGUUGUCCACAAUUGGUUCAUAGAUUUAGGCAAUCCAUUAGAGACUGUAGUGCACCAUCUCCUAAUUGGAGGGAUGACUUGUCUUGGUCAUCAUGAUGGGUUUCCCACAGUGAAUGUACUAGUAUAUGUGAUGCACACUAGAUAGGACCUAUAGUGAAUCAUGACGCAAGACUAUCAAUUUUCAUGAUUCACUAAACUACUAUACUGCAUGGACUCUCAUCAUUGAGAGGAUAUUGAGCCUAUGCCAAAAUCAAUAGGAGGCUUUGACCUAUGGGUGAGACCCUAAAGUGGUCAUAUAUCCCUAUGGAUUGGGUCACUAUUAAUGGAGGCGGAUGGCCAUAGGUAUUCUUAAUAAAGGCACCAUAAUAUCUCAUGAGAUUGAGACAAUGUAUCAUCUUGGCUAAUCCAAAGGACAUGUGAUCAUGAAAUAUGUGGCCACAGUAAUUCCUUUAGUGGAAUUUGACUUAUGCUCAUUGGAGUUAGAGUAUGUCAUUUGAUCACAUAAUAAGUGAGAUCUAUAAAUCAAGGAUUUGAGAGUUAAUCUUGAUAAGUGAUAGCACUACCUUGUUAGAUUACGAACACCAGUUCAUAGGGAGUCUAUAUAUAGUGGAUAGUAGGUCACAAACUUGAGCACUUAGUGUCUCGUUGUAAUAUACAUAAGAUAUUGGAAUGUAGUUAACUCUCUGUAGUGGGAUGUUGAUUCAAUUUUAGAAUUUGAUUAUGAGAGAGCUAGUACUCUUAUGGGUCCUAAUGGUCCCUGUUUUGAGUUCAUAUUCUUUGUUGGCAUGGUUUAUAAGGGUUGGAUGGGUUUUUAGUUCACUUUUGUGCAUAAGGGUGUUUUGGUAAUUAUGCAAGGUUGCACAGGGAUAAGUGAGUUGUAUCUCUGGACUGGGUUAAUUGAUUAAUUAGGCCUUAUAUGGUUAAUUAACCAAUUAAAAAUCUUUUUAGGCUAGAUUAAGUGACCCAAGCCCAUGGUGGACUUAAGUCACUUAAGCCUAGUAAGAAGUCUAUAAAUUCCCCUUUAAGGGUUAGGGUUUCUAAGUCUUGCUAUUCUCCCCUUCAAUAUAAAGUGAACCUCUACCCUUGAGAUCUCCACCAUCUUAGUGCCUAGACACCAAAAAAAGUUAUCUGGCAGAAGAUCAUGGUGUUUACGAGAUCCAUUACAACUUUAGAGUUAUCUUCACCGUAAGAAAUUGAUAUGGGAACAUUCAGAUCUAGGUAUGAACAUUUUUUUUUUUAGUUCUAUGUUUUUUAUGAUAUCAAUAUUGGUUUUUGAAUAACUAUUUAUUCGUUGCGAUAGAUUUAGAGAGCCUAGGAUAGAUUUUCAUGCACACAUAAGCCAAGGGAACCACCCAUAAGCCAAAAGGCUUCCUUUGUUGCUAUGAAAAUAACAAAAGACCACUUAGAGUGUACACAUACCCAGAGGUAGACUUGCGAGAGUCUUUAUCAGAUUAAAGUCCGAUUUCUCGGUACAAAAGGAGUACCAACUCAUCGUAAAGACUCAAAAACAUAUAAUCCUUCGUUCUCCAAAGAUACUAGAGUGUAUGUUUGACAUCCACCCAAAGCUCUAAUUAGGAAAUUGACUAAUAUUCACUCAUUAUUCCUACAAUAAAGAAAAUAUUUAGUUUAGCACAUAGCAUCACAUACUUAAGGUUAUCCAUUACAAAGGCAUUGGAUACCACCUUAAUGCGAUCUUUCUCCUUAGAUGUCCAAUGACAUUAUUCCUAAGAAAGACAACUCCAAAUCCAAAGAGUAACAAACUCUUCUUGGAGUUUUGCAUCAUAUGCUUGACCAAAUGUUUAUCUAUGUAGGUGACAUGAUGCAAUUUUCCUAUUCUUGUAUAAAAGACUUUAACCCCAAGGAUAUAUUGUGUCUUCUUCUAGAUUUUCAUCUAGAAUUGAGUAGACUACCAGAUCUUGACUGAUGACAAUAUCCUUACUUCAUAUCCAAUGAGUAGAUUAUCAUCUAUCUAGAAGAUCUUAGAGCAUCGCAAUGCUUCCUUAUGCCUUAUUGUACACACAAGGCCCUUUGCUAUGAAAAUGUUUGGUUGUUGUAUCUUACAAAUGUGACACACUGCAAUAGAUAGGAGUAAUUUGAUGGAUUUAAGUAUGACUAUUGUUGAAAAGGUUUUCCGAAGUCGAAACAAAGUUUCAAACUAUAACCUUUAGCUACAAUCUUAGCCACAUAAAACUCAAGCUUUCCAUAUUCUCUUGUGUUCCUCUUGUAGACCAACUUACACCUACGGGUUUUAUCCCUUUAGGUGUUUCUGUAAGAACCCAAACUAUGUUAGAAUACAAAGAUUCUAACUACCUCUUCAUAGCUCCUUGCCUUAAGUGAGCACAAACACUACUCAUUGCUUCAUCAUAAUCUAUGGGAUAUGAACCUCCCAUUAUGAUAAGGCACUAGUGUACUAGAAAUCAUAGGAUUGGUAUGUCUUUAACCCUCUGGAUCCAUAGUAUCCUAUGCAAUGUGGGACUAUCUUCUAAUAUAUCCUCCAAUUUGUAUCACUCUUUGCCUCAAUCCUUAUCAUGUAAUCUUCACAAACAAUCUGACAUUUAUGUUAACAAAUAUCUUAUGAUGAUCCUAAUUAUAAAGGUAAUAACCCAAAAAUCCUCUUAGAUAUCCUAUAAACUAAUAUACAUUUUAAAAAAAAAGAGAUAUUACACUGUCUAUAAGACAUAUCCUCAAAAGAAUCCAAGAAAAGAUGAGAAACCUGUCCAUGAUCUUACUAUGUUUAACCAAGUUUGAUAUCUUCUUUCCACCUCUCCAUUUUGCAAUGGAGACCCUAGUGCACAUGACUAGGAAAUAAUCUUGUGCUCCAAUGAAAAAAAUCAAACUUAUUCGAUAUAUCACCUUGAUCUAAUCGAAGUGACUAGUAAUGUAUACCUAAUAGGUUAUCUGAUCCCGCCUUAAAUUCAAUGAAUGUAUCCAAGGCAUCGGAUCUCCAAUGUAUACAUUCAAACCUAGAGUAAUCAUCACUAAAAGUGAUCAAAUACCCAUACCCUCCCCAUGCAUGGACACUAAAAGUUCCAUACAUAUCAGUAUGCACUAACUUCAAACAUUUGUUGGCUCUAGUCUUCUUGGUCAUUUUACCAUCUAUAUAGGAUUUAUAGACUGAAAGAUCUUUUGGAAUCAAAGAGUCCAAACUUUACCAAUCUUUGGAUCCUAUUUAGAUUAAUAUGACCUAGGUCUAGAAACCAAAUGUUUAGUUAGUGCUGGGUUUAAUCCUAACAUCUAACUAUUCUUAUCACUUGGCAAAGUAAUAAUGGAAUACAUAUAAAGAAAGAGGAUAUUACCUCCCACUAAAUUGCAUAACUAACCUUGCAUUUGAAGCUAAGGUAAGUAUAAUCCUAUCAUUUAACCUUCUCACUUGUUGAAUAUCCUAUAAGGACUUAUAGAUAAUGGGCUUGGAAUCUAUCCACCAUAAAUGGUGAAAUCCAUCACUAAAUAUUCAACAAUGAGAAAAUAAUAUAUACUUUCCUUUUUUCCUUUAGGUAAACUAUAAAUUCCUUUUCUAGUGUCCUAAAAGGUCACAAAGGAGGCAUUUUCCCUUGUGCUUGCUCUCUUAUUCCUUCUCUUGAACCUUCCUUAUUUGAUAUUGUCCUUCUUCUUCUUGAGAGAAGAACCUAAAGAACCUUUGAUUUCCAUAUGAACGCCCUAUAAUAUUUGAGAAUCCCCUUAACCACCCCAAAGGAAAAUGGCAAGGUCUUUAAGAUCAUAUGUAUACCUGGUGUUCAUAAUGGUUCUAAGAGUAGCUUGUCAGAGCAGACUUACCCUUAUCACCAAAUAACCAUUGCAAACUAGAAAGAGAAUAUCAAAGUCUCUAGUAAUAGACAUAUGUUGCUAUUGUAACACAUUAUCCAAAGAUCCAAGUAUUAGACACUUGGUCUUUUGAUCAGUUUAAUACCACCUUGAUAUACCACUAUUUCCUUUUGCUAGGUUAGUUAAAAAGGAAUAGCUAGCUUUACCUAAACUAGCUCCUAUGUAAUUUGUUACUAUAUCCAGAAUAAAAUUAGUCCAAUUGAUUAGUUAGGCUUGCCCUAUUGUGAGAAGAAGAGUGAUAAUAGAACCAACAUGAUAUCUGUAACAAAGAAUAUAACUAAGCAUAUGACAUAAUUGAGCAUUCAUGGCAAUUGGUAAUUAAUUUAGCAAAAAUGUAGUGGUCUAAAACUACAUGUCCUUUUGCAAGGUAUCUAGUAUUAUAAGAAUCAAGCCUACAUGAGGCAGGUCACCUUAUAACUAGUUAGAGACCCUCUUAGAUUGAUCUCUUAACCUUAACCAUAAAGGUAUCUAAAAGCAAAAUCAACAUACCUUUUAUUUGGCACAUGGACUAUUCAAGUGGGAUUGCGUGGGGGCAAUUCUACCACUUCAUAUCCAUUGUCAAGUGUAUAACCAUUAUCCUUGAACUAUCAAUGUCAUCAAGUAAAGAAUCCCAUCAUGGGGGUGGUCCCUCCUACUAUAAACAUAUUUAAUCUCGUCCAUGUGGAGAGCCAUAUCUCUUGAUUCUUAGAGAUAACCCAUUGUGGGGGUGGUGAUGAACCCAAAUCAAGAUGGGCUCAAUAAUGGAGGCCGUGGGCUUGCCUAAGGCCCUCUCCCACUUAGUCUUUUGAGAUAAAUAAGAGCAUUUUAAAACCAAUAGUAAUUUCCCUAAUGCAUAAAUUAUCUAUUUUGAAAAUUUCCAAAAACAUAUGUUUCAUAAUUGGAAACCUAGUGUAAGAGGAGAAUACCAACAUGAAAAAUUUAAAAUUUCCAUGAGAGUAAGUUUCAAAAAUAAUUUUGAUAAAAUAUCCACUCUAAAAAAUUUUAAAACUAUUUUCAUACCAUUCUCCUUGUAUACACAAUUCCAGUAAGGAAAUUACCAAUUUAUGAGACUUUGAAUAAUCUUGAGAGCACCUUAUCCAAGAAAGGAACUUUUGCUUCUAAUAAAAAAUCCUCGUAAGAUUUACUUUCCUUAUUCCUUGCACUUUCCAACUUAAUAAAUAUUUCCAUGGAAAUUCCAUAAUAAUUUAUUCCAUUAAAUACUACAAAAAAUAGAACCUUUUAGUAAUUCUGUAAUAUAUAAAAUAUUUUCUAUGAAAAUCUUCCAAAAAUUUUUAUUUCCAAAAAGGAAUUAAACAAUCCAUUUUGGAAAGUAUUUUCAAAAUAUUUUAUAUCUCCAUUAAAUUACUAACACUUUCCAAAGUUAUUUUGGUAAACCUUCGUAUAAUAAAUUAUCUAUCAUGAGAUUUUCCAAAUCUAUUAUUUACUUUUAAACCGAAACUCCUAUGCUAAAAGAAUUGCUAUCUUAUUCCUUAUUAUUGAAUUAUCCAAACAAAAUGGUUUCCUCAUUCUCUCUAGGGGAGAGAGCUUGGAGAAACAACUAUAAGCAUAGUUUUCCUUAUCUUAUCAAGAAAAAACAAGAAAACAUCCUAAAGUUUUUUUAAAAAUAGAUAGUUUUAAAUAAAUAACAAUCUUAUUAGCAACAACGAGUUUAAAUAAAUAAUAUUGGAAAAUAUCUUCUCAUAAAAAUUUACUAAGAAUACCAAAAAACUUUUCUUUGGGUUCUAAUACUUAUUUUGGUAACUAUUUUAAUUAUAAAUUAUCUACCAUUAAUUUCCAAAAUUAACUUAUUUUCUUUAAAUUGGAAAUCCUAUGCAAAAUAGGAAAAACACUAUUUUAUAUAGAUUUGGAAAAAUAAGAGCUUUUCCUUAAAAGAAAGAUUUUAUUCUUAGAGAUCUCAAAUAUUUGAAAAUAUUUUAAAUAUAAUUAAAAUCUCUAAGAAUUUAUUUUAAAAAGGUAAGAAAGCUCUUAAUCCUUUUUCCAACUUAUCUUUUCUUUGAAAUAAAUUUUCCUAACCAUGCACAUUCCAAUUUAAAUAAAUUUCCAAUUUUGAAAAAAGCAUGAAAAUUUAUUUCCAAUUAAGAAUACCAAAAUAUCUUGAGGCCACAUAUGCAAUUAAUCAAGAACGUAUAAUAAAACAAGGGAAUAAAAAAAUAGAAACCUUUUUUCAUGGCCUUUAAGGAUACUGUUGCAUAUUUGGUAAUUAAAAUUUGUAUAAAAUCCAAAUUACCAAAAUUAAUCCUACAACCACAAAUUGGGUUAGUUAAAAUAGAAAACCUAAAAGGGCCAAUUUCCACCAAAAAUUAAUCCUAAGAAGCUCGGACAAAAAAAAAUAAAAAAUUGGACCCAUAUGCAAUCCCAUAACAACAUACUCUUUCCACAACAUUGCAUGCUUCAAUUAGCAAUAUCUCCCUCGUUUCAACUCCGAAUUGUGAUCCGUUUGAAGCGUUGGAUUUCUAAAUUCUCAAGAUUCAAAAUGAUAUGUGAUUUUCUAUGAGAAAAUAAUUGAAAGCAACCUCGAUUAUGGCUCAAAGUCGACGUCAUUUUGCUGCCAUGCACUUUGCACAAACUUGCUUCAUUCGACCACAUCUUCCUCAUUUCAACUCCGAAUUGCAAUCCAAUUAAACCAUUGGAUUCAUGAAUUCACAAUAUUCAAAUCCAUAUAUAGCUUACCCCAAGAAACUAUUGGGAGUUAGUCUUGAUUUUGAGUUCAAGUCAAUGUCACCAAGGAUCUCAAACUAAGAAUUUCCAAGAAUGCUUAUUUUUUCUUUAACCACCAUAGAAUCUAAAAAAAAAAUGAAAUUUUUGCAACAAUAAAAAUUUCUAUGCUUCUUUAAUGGAGCUUACAACCCAUUUAUUGAAAAGCAAAGAUUUUUACAACCAAAUAAAAAUUCUAUACCCUUUAUGGGGUGUACAACCCAAUCUAAAGAACAAUAAGGCAUAGAUCAUAUUCAAUCAAAUGAACAAAUAACAAUCAAUCACAAUUAGAAUCAUCAUAUUGACAUUCAUUCAAUUGAACAAAUAAAAACAUUUGAUUCUUUCAUCCCUUUGGGCCAUGGGAUGAAUAAAACAACCCUACAAAACAGAGUAAACACACCUUAGAACAGAUCUAAGAUGCUAGAACCUAACCUGUCUCUAAUACCAGUUGUUGGGAACUCUGGAUUACUCCAUUUCCAUGCCUUGGAUCAUGUAAGGUGCAAUAAAACCUAUCCUAGGCUCUCUAAAUCUAUCGUAGCAAAUAAACAGGUAUUCGAAAACAAAUAUUGAUUCCAUAGAAAACAUAGAUAUAGAGAAACAAUGCUCAUACUUUGAUCUGGAUGUUCUUAGAUAAAUUCCUUACAGUGAAGAUAACUCUAAAGUCAUAAUGGAUGUUGUAAACACCAUGAUCUUCCACUGUGAUAGAUUUAAAAAGCCUAUGAUAGAUUUUCAUGCACCCUACACGAUCUAAGCCAUGAGAACAUAGUAAUCUAGGGUUCUUGUAGACCCCUCAUUUUGCCCACGACACACAUAGGCUACUAUCCAAGUAAAUCAUUGUAAUUCAUCAACUUGUAGUCUCCGAUUCUUCUUCAGAAGCUUUUUGGAGGAUAAAUUACAGAACUUUGAUGUGAUCAUCUAAACCUUUGAAUUUGUAACUUAAAGUUUUCUGAUUAUUCAAACUUAUCAUUAACCAUAAACUAAAACAAAAAUAUUAAAUAAUUCUUUUAAAACAAAAUAAAAUAAGUUGUCUUCUUAAACAAUACACAUGCCAAAAUACUCAUUUAUUUAUUUAUUUUCUUUAAUAAUUCAUGACCAAAUAAAUAAUAAAAUAAAAUAAAAUAAAAUAAAAAUAUAAUAAUAAUAAUAUUAAUAAUAAAUUAAAUAAAUAAAUAAAUAAAUAAAAAUAAAAAUAAAACAUAGCAACGUUGAAAUUCAAUUUUGUUAAUACUAUCUAAUUCAUGUUUUAAAAUAUAAACUAAAAAUAAAUCUUUUUUUUAAUAAUAAACAAAUAUAUCAUGAACCUCAAAUAAAAAUAUACAUGAGUUCAUAAUAACUAGCAAAAUUCACACUCAAGAUAAAUCAUUUUUUUUAAUAAACACAAAAUUUAUAUAUUUUCAUAAAUUAUUCUAUAGUUACCAUUGAAGGUUUAUUAUUAUUAUUUAUUUUAUAUAUAUAUAUAUAUAUAUAUUAUAUUUUUUCUAACUCAUGCACCACUCACCUUUAUCUUUUCUUUUAUAUAUAUGCACUAGCUACAACCCCAUCAAUGCUAUCACAUCUCUCUGCCACAAUCCAAUUUUGGCUUCCCACACCACCUCAACACAUAUCCAUCAAUCCGACCUAUUCCCCAUGCCGUAGCCAUACUUUUAAUUGCCCAAGACACACCUCAAAUUAACCCUCACCAAGCUGCCUAUCUCCUACAAUAGCUCAUUUUCUUAGUUGCCCAAAAAACCUAUCUCUAUCAUACUCACUUAUCUUUUAUUCCUACCACAACCACACACUCUCUCAAGCUAUCGAAACUACAUCAAUUCACCUUCUAGCUGCCCUACCCCACUGUAUGUGAACCAUUAGCUCUCUUUUACAAGUUGUAGCAGUCAUAAUCAAUAGCACCUCCAUGUUUAGCUUGUAGAUUAAUUCUGAAUUUUUUUUAAUAAACAUAAAAUUUAUAUAUUUUCAUAAAUUAUUCUAUAGUUACCAUUGAAGGUGUUUUUUUUCUAACUCAUGCACCACUCACCUUUAUCUUUUCUUUUAUAUAUAUGGACCUACUACAACCCCAUCAAUGCUAUCACAUCUCUCUACCACAACCCAAUUUUGGCUGCCCAAGAUCACCUCAACACAUAUUAAUCAAUUCGUCCUAUCCCCCAUGUCGUGGCCAUACUUUUAAUUGCAUAAGACACACCUCAAAUUAACUCCCACCAAGCUACCCAUCUCCUGUAAUAGUUCAUUCCUAAAAAGCCUAUCUCUAUCAUCCUUACUUGUUCUUUAUUCCUACCACAACUGCACUCUCUCUUAAGCUACUGAAACUAUAUCAAUUCACCUUCUAAUUGGCCUACCCCACUGUAUCUGAACCAUUAGCACUCCUCUACCAGUUGUAGCAGCUGUAAUCAAUAACUCCCCCAUGUUUAGUUUGUAGAUGAAUUCUGAAAUUAUUUUUUUAAUAAACACAAAAUUUAUAUAUUUUCAUAAAUUUUUCUAUAGUCAUUAAAGGUUUUUUUUUUCUAACUCAUGCACCACUCACCUUUAUAUUUUCUUUUAUAGAUAUGCACCUACUACAACCCCAUCAAUGCUCAAAUUAACUCCUACCAAGCUGCCAUCUCUUGCAAUAGUUCAUUUUUUUUUUAUCUAACCAAAAAACCUAUCUCCAUCAUUCUCACUUGUCAUUUAUUCCUACCACAACCACACUCUCUCUUAAGCUACCAAAACUACAUUAAUUCUCUUUCUAGUUGCUCUACCUCACUGUAUGAGAACCAUUAGCUCUCCUUUACCAACUGUAGCAGCUAUAAUCAAUAGCACAUCCAUGUUUAGCUUGUAGAUUAAUUUUGAAAUUAUUUUUUUAAUAAACACAAAAUUUAUAUAUUUUCAUAAAUUAUUCUAUAGUUACCAUUGAAGGUUUUUUUUUUAAUUCAUUCACCGCUCACCUUUAUAUUUUCUUAUAUAUAUACACUUGCUAUAACUCCAUCAAUGUUAUCACAUCUCUCUACCAAUGCUUAAAUUUGGCUGCCUAAGACCACCUCAACACAUAUCCAUCAAUCCGUCUUAUCCUCUAUGCCGUAGCCAUAAUUUUAACCACCCAAGACACACAUCAAAUUAACCCCACCAAGCUGCCCAUAUCCUGCAAUAGUUUUUUUUUUUGUUGCACAAAAAGCCUAUGCCUAUAUUCCUCACUUGUUCUUUAUUCCUACCAUAACCACACUCUCUCUUAAGCUAUCGAAACUACAUCAAUUCACAUUCUAGCUACCCUACCCCACUAUAUGUGACCUAUUAGCUUUCCUCUACCAAAUAUAGCAGCCCUAAACAAUAUCACCUCUAUGUUUAGCUUGUAGAUGAAUUCUGAAAUUAUUGUUUUAAUAAACACAAAAUUUAUAUAUUUUCAUAAAUUAUUCAAUAGUUACCAUUAAAGGGUUUUUUUUUCUAACUCAUGCACCACUCACCUUUAUCUUUUAUUUUAUAUAUAUGCACCUGCUACAACCCCAACAAUACUAUCAUAUCUUUCUUCCACAACCCAAUUCUUGCAGCUCAAGACCAUCUCAACACAUAUCCAUCAAUCUGUCCUAUCUCUCCUGCUGUAGCGAUACUUUUAACUAGCCAAGGCAAACCUCAAAUUAACCCUUACCAAGCUACCCAUUUCCUACAAUAGUUCAUUUUUUUUACUGCCCAAAAAACCUACCUUUAUCAUCCUCAAUUGUCUUUUAUUCCUACCACAACCAUACUCUCUCUUAAGCUACCGAAACUACAUCAAUUCACCUUCUAGAUGCCUUACCCCAUUAUAUGUGAACCAUUAGCUCUCAUUUACUAGCUGUAGUGGCCAUAAUAAAUAGCACCUCCAUGUUUAGCUUGUAGAUUAAUUCUGAAUUAUUUUUUUCAUAAACACAAAAUAAUAAAAAAUUACUAACUGAAGAUUUUUUUUCUAACUUAUGCACUACUCACCUUUAUCCUUACUUUUAUAGAUAUGCCCCUGCUACAACCCCAUCAAUACUAUCACAUCUCUCCGCCACAACCCAAUUUUGGCUGUCCAAGACCACCUCAACACAUAUCCAUUAAUUCGUCCUAUCCCCCAUGUCGUAGCCAUAAUUUUGACAACCCAAGACACACAUCAAAUUAAUCCCCAUCAAGCUGCCCAUCUCUUGUAAUAGUUCAUUUUUUUUAGUUAUCCAAAAAACCUAUAUCUAUUUCCCUCACUUGUCAUUUAUUCCUACCACAACCACACUCUCUCUUAAACUACCGAAACUAUACCAAUUCACCUUAUAGCUACCUUACCCCACAGUAUGUGAACCAUUAGCUCUCCUUUACCAGAUGUAGUAGUCGUAAUCAAUAGCAUCUCCAUAUUUAGCUUAUAGAUUAAUUUUGAAAUUAUUUUUAUAAUAAACAUAAAAUUUAUAUUUUUUCAUAAAUUAUUCUAUAGUUACCAUUGAAAGUUUUUUUUUUUCUAAUUCAUGCACCACCCACCCUUAUUUUUUCUUUUAUAUAUAUGCAUCUGCUACAACCCCAUCAAUUUUAUCACAUUUCUCAACCACAACCUAAUUUUAGCUGCCCAAGACCACCUUAACACAUAUCCAUCAAUCCUUCCUAUCCCCUAUGCCAUAGCCUUACUUUUAACUACCCCAGUCACACCUCAAAUUAACCCUCACCAAGCUGCCCAUCUAAUACAAUAGUUUAUUUUUUUUUGCUGCUCAAAAAACCUAUCUCUAUCAUCCUCACUUAUCCUUUAUUCCUACCACAUACAACUAGACUCUCUCUUAAGCUAUCGAAACUACAUCAAUUUACCUUUUAGUUGCCCUACCCCACUGCGUGUGAACCAUUAGCUCUUCUUUACCAAUUGUAGCAGUCGUAAUCAAUAGCACCUCCAUGUUUAGCUUGUAAAUGAAUUUUGAAAUUAUUGUUUUAAUAAACAAAAAAUUUAUAUAUUUUCAUAAAUUAGUCUAUAGUUACCAUUAAAGGGUUUUUUUUUUUUUUUUGCUAACUCAUGCACCAAUCACCUUUAUAUUUUAUUUUAUAUAUAUGCACCUUCUACAACCCUAACAAUACUAUCACAUCUCUUUGGCACAACCCAAUUUUGGCAACCCAAGACCUCCUCAACACAUAUCCAUCAAUUCGUCCUAUCCCCCAUGUCGUAGCCAUACUUUUAACUGCCCAAGACAUACCUAAAAUUAACCCCCACCAAGAUGACCAUCUCUUGCAAUAGUUCAUUUUUUUUAACUGCCCAAAAAACCUACCUUUAUCAUCAUCACUUGUCCUUUAUUCCUACCACAACCACACUCUCUCUUAAGCUAUCAAAACUACAUCAAUUCAGCUUCUAGCUGCCUUACCCCACUGGCUGUAAACCAUUAGCUCUCAUCUACUAGCUAUAGCAGCCGUAAUCAAUAGCACCUCCAUGUUUAGCUUAUAGAAUAAUUAUGAAUUUUUUUUUCUUAGACACAAUUUAUAUCUUUUCAUAAAUUAUUCUACAGUUAUAAUUGAAGAUUUUUUUUUUUUUUCGAAUUCAUGCACCACUCACCUUUAUCUACUCUUUUAUAUAUAUGCACCUGCUACAACCCCAUCAAUGUUAUCACAUCUCUCUACCAUAACCUAAUUUUGGCUGUCCAAGACCACCUCAACACAUAUCCAUCAAUUCGUCCUAUCCCCCAUGCUGUAGCCAUACUUUUAACUACCUAAGAAUUACCUCAAAUUAACCCCCACAAGCUGCCUGUAGACCCUCAAUUUUGUCCCUCGACACUGGCAUUUAUCCUUUGGGUGUCACAUCCACCCAUCGUUCGCAUAUGGCACCACUAGGGCCCCUUUUGGGCUUAGUCGGUGUCCGAGCCUCGUGUGGGUUUGUCUGUGGUCCAUUGUGGUGCAUAUGUGGUUCAUUUUGGAGGGUCACCAUGGCCAUUUUCCUAGUCGUUCACAUCAUGCUAUAGGAAGGAAGUGGGGUCAUCCCGAUGUUUUAGCUUAGUUGGAGUUUAUAGGGGCAUGUUGAGGUUCGGAGCACUCGGGCUUGUUUUGAUCGUAUCUCCCUCAUCCAAACUCGGAAUCAAGAACCGUUUAUUUUUAUGGAUUCCUUAUUCUUCCAGGAACAUUUUGUGAAAUUUUCAAAAUUUUUUGCAACCGGUCGGCUGGUUGGCAGCCGGUUCAGCCGGUUCAUCAGGUCAGCCAGUGUAGAACACUGAUUUUUGGUAAUUGUUUUGAUCAUAUCUCCCUCUUCCGAACUUGGAAUCAUGUACCAUUUUUUUUAAUGGAUUUAUUACUCUACUAAGAACAUUCUGUCAAAUUUUCAGAAUUUUUUUCCAUCGGGUCGACCAGUUGGCAUCCGGUUCGGCCGGUUCAGCCAGUUCAUUGAGUCAGCUGAGGUAAAACACUAAUUCUAGUAAUUUUGAGGCCCAAAUCCUACAUGGCUCAGGCCCGUAAGCUCUAGAUCGGUUUUGGGCAAUGUUGUGGGUCCAUUUUAGGCCUUGGUUUGGGUUCCUUGCAGCCCACCACGAAUCCAUAUGGAUUCUUGGUGGUGAAGCAAGCUGAAAACUGAAGGAGUGAGCUGGCCUUGUAAGUUUAAGAGAAGUAAUGAGGGGUGUGGUUCCCAUGCUGAUGAAGGGGAUUUCGGUGCUGAAGGGGAAGGAAUCCAGGAGGCUCAAAUGCUAAGAGGGGAUGAGUAUAAAAGGUGUAAGGAUAAGAGAGCAAAGGGGAGGAGGGGACAUUUUGGAGAGGAGAAAUUUUGCUGGUGAGAAAAACAAAAGGUCAGUAGCAUCUUCUGAGUUGAGAGUGUGGGGGAAAGCUUCAGCACUGUGGUUUUUUUGAAGAGGAGAGUGACAACAUCUCAGUUUUGGAAGUCAUCAUCUACAUACACAGAUCAUAUUUAGUGGAGUUUCUGAGGUAAGCAUGCUGAAUUUUCUUUACUUACAACUUAUCUUCCUCGUCUUCAUAUGCUUUUUCUCCUUCCUCAUCAUCUUUUCUUCCCUUUGAUAUGAAGAUUGUAUUGCUUGGGUGUGGACAAUAAGGGCCACACAUGAUUGUUGUUGUUUGCUUCCUUAAUCACUUAGGAAUUUUCUGACCGAAUUUGGGAUUCUUUACCAAUCGGCUGAAUCGGUUUGGAAUCUGUUCAACCGGUUCAGCACCAUAGCUGGCAGCCUCUGUCAGCCAUGAGGAACACUUGCCUUUCUUUGUCUGGUUCUCACUCAUCCGGGGUCAGAAUUGAGAACCAUUUCUUUUGUUUGUUUCCUUAAUCACUUAGGAACUUUCUAACCGAAUUUGGGAUUUUUUACCAACUGGCUGAACUGGUUGGGAACCGGUUCAACCGGUUCAGCACCAUGGCUGGCAGCCUCUGUUAGCCAUGAGGAACACUUGCCUUUCUUUGUCUGGUUCUCACUCAUCCAGGCUUGGAAUUGAGAACCGUUUCUUUUGUUUGCUUCCUUAAUCACUUAGGAACUUUUUGACCGAAUUUAGGAUUUUUUAUCAGCCGGAUGAACUAGUUGGGAACCGGUUCAACCGGUUCAGCACCAUAGCUGGCUGCCUCUGUCAGCCAUGAGGAACACCUGCCUUUCUUUGUCUGGUUCUCACUCAUCCGGGCUUGGGAUUGAGUGUCGUUUCUUUUGUUUGAAUCCUCACUAAUUUAGGAGUUUUCUAGAAAAAUUUGGGAAUUCUUCUCAAUAGGUUGUACCAGUUGAGAACUAGUUCAACUUGUUCUGCUGGAGAACUUUAGGUAGCCCUCGAUUUUGGCAUUUUUCGAGCCCUUAUCCAUGGGGGCUCAAACCCAUUUGCUAUAGGGCACUUGUGAGCCAUCUUGAAGGUUUAAUUCAAUGUUUCAUUUCAGUUAGUAUGGGCAAUUUUGAAGUUAUGGGUGGUGUGGUCUAGAUGAGUCUAGUUUGAUUUGUAUGACAUUUGGGGAGUCCCUUACCUCAUUUCAACCAGCUAUCUUCCUUUUUGGCACAAGCUUUGAUGCUUGAUUUUGAAUACAUGUUGCGUGACUGACUCACCCUUUGCUGUAGCGCUUGGCUAGAGACCACAGGUACGCAUCGUUGGCUUUGGUUGUUGAAUUCAUAUGCAUGCAUGGUGCUUAAUCUUGAAUGUUUGUUAUGUGUUUAUCUGUGUUUGGCUGACCUUUUAUGCAGCGCUUGGCUAGGGACCACAGGUACGCACCCAUUGUUUUGUUUGGUUGAAUUCAUAUGCAUGCCAAAUACCAAUUAGGAUUGUGUGAUUCAUGACAUCUAUUUAGCCUAGGGUUUCAUUUGACCUUUGACCCAUAUGCUCCCACAUACCCAAUUCAUUAGUAAAGACCGAGUUUCGGGCCUAGAGGGGUGCUACCUCGCAUGAAGUACCUUCCCAAUGGGUAACCUGAUCCCCGGACCCAGAAUCUAGUUUUCGUAGACCGCUUUUUCCAUACUGGGGUCAUUAGGGGUUUUUGUUCUUACUUAAUUUUCCCCAUUUUAAAAACAAAAAUAAAAAGUAAGUGGCGACUCCAAGCGACACCGUUCCUCACCGGGGGCGGGUUUUUCAAAAUUGGAAAACACCAACUUUUUCAUUUCUUUCUUUUCUUUUAAAAGUGAGUCGCGUCGGUUCGGUGGAUCGGGUGAGGGUCCACACUGCCCAUCUCUUGCAAUGAUUUUUUUUUUUUUUUUUGUUGCCCAAAAAACCUAUCUCUAUUAUCCUCACUUGUCUUUAUUGCUACCACAACCAUGCUCUCUCUUAAGCUAUCAAAACUACUUCAAUUCACUUUCUAGCUGCCUGACCCCACUAUAUGUGAACCAGUAGCUCUACUGUAAUAACUGUAGUAGCCGUAAUCAAUAACACCUCCAUGUUUAGCUUGUAGAUUAAUUUUGAAAUUAUUUUUUUAAUAAACACAAAAUUUAUUUAUUUUCAUAAAUUAUUCUAUAGUUACCAUUAAAGGUUUUUUUUUUUCCUAAUUCAUGCACCACUCACCUUUAUCUCUUCUUUUAUAUAUAUAUGCACUUACUACAACCCCAUCAAUAUUAUCACAUCUCUAUACCACAACCUAAUUUUGGCUGCCCAAGAACACCUCAACACAUAUCCAUCAAUCCAUCCUAUCCCCCAUGUUGUAGCCAUACUUUUAACUACCCAAGACACACCUCAAAUUAACCCUCACCAAGCUGCCCAUCUCCUCUAAUAGUUCAUUUUUUUUAACUAACCAAAAAACCUACCUUUAUCAUCCUCACUUGUCCUUUAUUCCUACCACAACCACACUCUCUCUUAAGCUACCUAAUCUACAUCAAUUCACUUUCUAGCUGUCUUACCCCACUGUAUGUGAACCAUUAGCUUUCAUCUACCAACUGUAGCAACUGUAAUCAAUAGCACUUCCAUGUUUAACUUGUAGAUUAAUUAUGAAUUUAUUUUUGUCGUAAACACAAAAUUUAUAUCUUUUCAAAAAUUAUUCUAUAGUUACCAUUGAAGUUUUUUUUUUUCUAAUUCAUGCACCACUCACCUUUAUCUUUACUUUUAUCGAUAGGCACUUGCUGAAACCCCAUCAUUGCUAUCAAAUCUCUUUGCCACAAACCAAUUUUGGCUGCCUAAAACCACCUCAACACAUAUCCAUCAAUUUGUCUAAUCCCCCAUGAUGUAGCAAUAAUUUUAAUUGCCCAAGGCACACCUCAAAUUAACCCCCACCACCCAUCUCUUACAAUAGUUCAUUUUUUUUAGCUACCCAAAAAACCUAUAUCUAUUAUCCUCACUUGUCAUUUCUUCUUACUACAACCACACUCUUUCUUAAAAUACCGAAACUUCAUCAAUUCACCUUGUAGCUGCCCUACCCCACUGUAUGUGAACCAUUAACUCUCUUCUACCAUCUAUAGUAGUCGUAAUCAAUAACACCUCCAUGUUUAGCUUGUAGAUUAAUUUUGAAAUUAUUUUUUCAAUAAACACAAAAUUUAUUUAUUUUCAUAAAUUAUUCUAUAGUUACCAUUAAAGGUUUUUUUUUCCUAAUUCAUGCACCACUCACCUUUAUCUCUUCUUUUAUAUAUAUAUGCACUUACUACAACCCCAUCAAUGUUAUCACAUCUCUAUACCACAACCUAAUUUUGGCUGCCCAAGAACACCUCAACACAUAUCUAUCAAUCCAUCAUAUCCCCCAUGCCAUAGCCAUACUUUUAACUACCCAAGACACACCUCAAAUUAACCCUCACCAAGCUGCCCAUCUCCUGCAAUAGUUCUUUUUUUUCUAGCUGCCCAAAAAACCUAUCUUUAUCAUCCUCACUUGUCCUUUAUUCCUACCACAACCACACUCUCUCUUAAGCUACCGAAACCAAUGUUUUCAGAACCGGACCGGUCAUCGAACUAGAAAAGUUACUGAUUCAUGGUUCGCUGGUUGGACCAGUGGUCGAAUUGUGAUCGAAUCGGUGACGUCAUAAAUAUGUAAUUUAUAUAUUAUUAAAAUUAAAAAUAAUUAUAAAAAUUUUAAAAUAUAUAUGAAUAAAUUAAAAAUCAAUAAUAUUAUUUUAUAUCUUUGAUAUUAUCAAAUUAAAUCAUAUUAAUAUUUUAAAUUUUAUUAAAUGAAAUAUGUAUGAUAUUUAAAUGUGAAUAUAUUAAAAAUGAAAAUUUAAACUAAUUUUAUAAUUUUUAAAAAUCUUAUAUUAUUUUUAUUUAAUUUUAUAAAAAAUGUUAAAAUCUAAUAUAUAUUGUUUUGUUUGGCAUGUUAGAUAAUCAAAUGCAUGUAGCCGAGUGGUGUCCUAUUCUAAUGGUAGAACCUGAGGUGCAAGGUUUAAGCCCUCUUGGUGGAGAGGCUUGUUAUAUUUUUUUUCAUUGAUAAGUUAGCAAUCCCACAUCGGAUUGUGAGAGGAAACAUGCUACAAAGGAUGCCUAUAAAAGCCAUCCUCACCUAAGGCAAAGUCAUCACCUGGGCUCAAGACUCAGCCCAUAAAAUUGUGAGAAUGGGUGUGGGCUUUGUCAUAAUAAGACAAGGCCCAACAUGGGCUUUAGCCCAAAAUAUUUAAACCCAAUGGAACCCCCCUUUCCAUGUUUGCAAAAUCAAGGGGUUAACUUGAACUGUUCGGUUCGUUUAGAACCGUCAGACUCCAGCGAGUCAUCGGUCCGACCGCUGAUUUAAGCGGUUCGAUACCGGUCCAAUCCCUAAAAGGUCUAAUGGAGCAAAUCAGACUGGAAGUGCGACCGAUCAACGGUUGAACCAAUUGGACCGGCCGGUCCAGUCCGAUUUUUAAAACAUUGAGCGAAACUACAUCAAUUCACCUUUUAGCUGACCUACCCCACUAUAUGUGAACCAUUAGCUCUCCUCUACCAGCUGUAGUAGCCAUAAUCAAUAACACCUCCAUGUUUAGCUUGUAGAUUAAUUUUGAAAUUAUUUUUUUAAUAAACAUAAAAUUUAUGUAUUUUCAUAAAUUAUUUUAUAGUUACCAUGGAAGGUUUUUUUUUUCUAACUCAUGCACCACUCAACUUUAUCUUUUCUUUUCUAGAUAUGCACCUACUACAACCCCAUCAAUGCUAUGACAUCUCUCCACCACAACCAAAUUUUGGCUGCCCAAGACCACCUCAACACAUAUCCAUCAAUCUGUUUUAUCCUCUAUACCGUAGCCAUACUUUUAACCGCCCAAGACAUACCUCAAAUUAACUUUGACCAAGCUGCCCAUCUCCUGCAAUAAUUCAUUUUUUUUAGCUGCUUAAAAACCUAUCUCCAUCAUUCUCACUUGUUCUUUAUUCUUACCACAACCACACUCUCUCUUAAGCUACCAAAACUACAUUAAUUCUCCUUCUAGUUGCACUACCCCACUGUAUGUGAACCAUUAGCUCUCCUCUACCAACAAUAGCAGCCGUAAUCAAUAGCACCUCCAUGUUUAGCUUGUAGAUAAAUUUUGAAAUUAUUUUUUUAAUAAACAUAAAAUUUAUAUAUUUUCAUAAAUUAUUCUAUAGUUACCAUUAAAUUUUUUUUUUUCUAACAUAUGCACCACUCACCUUAAUAUUUUCUUUUAUAUAUAUGCACCUGCUACAACCCCAUCAAUGCUAUUACAUCUCUUUACCACAACCCAAUUUUGGCUUCCCAAGACUACCUCAACACAUAUUCAUCACUUCGUCUUAUGCCCCAUGUCGUAGCCAUACUUUUAACUGUCUAAGACACACCUCGAAUUAACCCUCACCAAGCUGCCCAUCUCCUACAAUAGUUCAUUUUUUUUAGCUACCCAAAAAACCUAUCCCUAUCAUCCUCACUUUUCAUUUAUUCCUACAACAACCACACUCUCUCUUAAGCUACCGAAACUACAUCAAUUCACCUUUUAGAUGCCUUAUGCCACUGUAUGUGAACCAUUAGCUUUCCUCUACCAACUGUAGCAAUUGUAAUCAAUAGCACCUCCAUGUUUAGCUUGUAGAUUAAUUCAUAAAUAUCCUAUCUAAAUUUUCAAAAGCCACACCCAUGUCUCUAACCUUUGCAUUAGUCAUUAGAAGUUCACCAAAUCCUUUACUUUAUCCAAACUAAGCACUUCCAUCAUGGUUGCCACUUUUUUCUCCUAAAAUCGAGUACCAUAUAGCACCAUGUACCCUCAUGACUAUUUCAUCUUCUUUCUAUCAUCAAACCUUUGCACCACCUUACCAUAGGCUUUACAACGACUUCAUCUUCUUUCUUCUUUCAAGCCAAACACCAUGUUGCACGACACAACCCCAUUGCAACUUCAUAGUCUCCUUUCCUUCAAGCCGAAUACCACAAUAAUUUCAAUGUGUAGCAAGAUGAUCCAAAUGUGGCUACCAUGAAGAAGAAUGUUGGAUUUUUUCGACAAAGAAGAUGUUUAGAUGACACCAUCAGUGAUUACUCCACAUGCCUCAUCAAGUUUAAAGUCAGAUAACUUGUUGUUGUUGAUUUGUUUUCUUGUUGUGUUUGGACCCUAUACAUGUACUUUUUAUGAAGGCCAUAUAUGGUCAUGCUUAUUUUGUAUUUAUUUUGAUUAUUUCAUUUUUUGUUGUUUUAGUUUCAUCUUUAUUAUAUGUCUUUAAGUUAUAUGAAUCUCAUACAUUUUAAGUUGGGUAGACAUAAAAGGGACGGGAAAAUCAGUUUUCGAUUAAGGCCUGUUUGACCGAAAAAUGGGAGAAUAGUUUUGGAAGUUUAAGAUGUUUGCAUUUGGGUGAGAUGGUGAGUUUAUGUGAGAAGAAGGGGUCGAGAGUCUUGGAAGAGAGGAUAUAAAAUCAGAGGCUCAUUUUUUGUUAGAGGGGUUAACCUUUUUUGGAGGGUCGUUUUGAGAUUUUUGUGGAGUUGAGAAAAAGUGAGAGAAAAAAACAGAGAGAAAAGAGAAAGAAAGAGGUAAUUGGAAGGCUAUGAGUUUUCUUUUUCUGUUCUUGGUUGAGAGAAAUUUGGGAAAGAGAAGUCGAGAUCGAGAGUUCUAGUGGAAGUGGCACUGCCUUUGAACUUCAGAUAAUCGGAUUUCAUGAACUGCAUUUUUUUCUCACAAGCGCUUGGAAUGCAAAUCAGGUAUGUAUUUCUUUAUUAAAUUGAUGAAUUGUAUUGAUGUGCUGAUUUAGUUUAUAGUAUCUAUGAAUUAGCUAAUUAAUCAUUGCAUUUAUUUCAACUUACUUAGUAGAGACCUAACUUUUAGGGCUUAGAGGGGUGCUACAGUUUUUCAUUGUACCUUCUCGAUAAGUAACAUGAUCCUCGAACUUAGACUCGAGUUUUCAAAAACAGGCUUUUCUAAAGAAAAAUGAGUCAUUUUUGGGUUUUUUUUUGUAUUUUUAAAAAAUAAAACAAAAAUAAGUGGUGAUUCCGUUAUUUAUAAAAUUGGUUUUUCACAAACAAAACUCGAGUCUCGCCAUCAAGUGAGAACACAUAUGAAAAUGCAGGAUCACAAAGUGGCGACUCCACUAGGGAUCUUAGAGGGUCAAGCUUGAACUUAAGUUGAAGUAAAUGUGAGGUUUAAUUGGUUGAUUAAUGGAUACCCCUUCUUUGUGCCUUUGUUUGAUUGUGUGAUUAAAGACACAUUGAAGAUUUUUUUUACUACAAAUAUCUAUGAUAGAUGCAUACUAGAUUAUGAUGUUUACUUAUGAUUGCUUCUCUUGCCUAUUAUGUUUUCUUACCAUAAUUGAUUGUAUUCUUAUCGCAUGAUUAUUAUACUUUAGCAUGAUGGUUGAUUUAGCUGUAUGCUUUAUUAGAUUAUCAUGUCUUUGUUUAAUUUGAAUAUAGUGAUGGAUGAUUUAUACUUGUAUUGCAUUACUGAUUGUAGCAUGACUACUCUUCUCUUGUGUGACUACUUGUUGCAUGUUUGUGUGGGACACACUUGUAUCCCCUUAACUCCAAUUCUCUAGUCUUGAUUGGUUUGUUUCCCUUGAUCUUGUAUUAUAUAUGAGACUUGUUAAUUCACGUCUUUUUUUUUUAUCAAGUUAGAGACUAGGAGUAGGGUCCAGUGACGGGCUAUAUUGAUGUUUGGGAGCGCUAUGGAGGUAGGCAUAUUAAUACCAAUAGGAGUCCGAUCAUUGAAGACUUAUAUGGCCUAAAACUGGAUUGAAUGGAUGCUCAUGUGGAGUAAUCAAAGACUUGUAUGAGUUUGAGUUACAAUAAGAUGCUUGGAUAUGUUAUUCUUGGUUAUGGUUCUUUAGUGCAAUAUAUGUAUUCCUCUUGUAUCGUGCUUUAUCCAAUAUUUGAACACCUUCUAGAAGUAGUCAUCCCUUCCAGUUUGGGUCCAUCGACGUGAGUUAGAGUUGAUGGCAGACUUGUUUGCACAAGAUAUCAGAGAGAUAUGAACUCACAGCUAGUUACAGUUGAUUAGUUCACCUCAGUUAUGGCUUCUAUCCAAGAGGCCAUUGCAAGCCUUGGACAAAGGAUGGAUAGGUAGCAGAUUCGGUAGACACCUCUUCAAGAGGAUACUCAAUUUGACCUAGUGCCACCACCAUCUUCCCCUAUUAGUUAGUCAGACCUACCAGUCGCACCAUUUAUUCUUCAUAGUCAGACCGAGGUCGCUCCACCUUCUAUCACCAUGCCUACCCCUACUUCAAAUGAUACCCAUGCUCACGUGGAUAGGCUUGAGCAGAGACUGAGACAUAUAAGAACCUUAGAUGGAGGGGUUACAUGGGAUGAUUUUGAUGGAUCGCCUGUGGCUAACUUACCGGCCAAGUUCAGGAUGUCAGAUAUUGAGAGAUAUACGGGCAUAGGUUGUCCUCGUAUUCAUUUGAGAUUUUACAGUAUUGUCAUGAGGGCUCAAGGGUUCAAUGAGAGCCAAAUGAUUAUGUUUUUCCCUAUGUCUCUAAGUGGCGCUACCCAGAGGUGGUUUGCUUCUUUAGAUGCUUCACAUUGUAGGACUUGGGAUGACUUAGCUCAAGAGUUUUAGAGAUAGUUUGUCUUCAACACUAUUGUUGAUAUGUCUAAGAGAGAGUUGGAGGCCUUGAGGCAAAGACCAGAUGAGUCAGUGACUUCGUUUAUCUCCCUUUGGAGGGAGAAGGUAACAUUGAUGGUUGAUCAUCCUUCAAAGAGAGAUCAUAUUUGCAUGAUUGUGAAGAGCUUACAACCUAGGUUUUCCAAGCAUUUGAUGGGGUUUACAUAUGCAGAUUUUGGAUUUUUAUGAUGUUGAGAAGGGUAUUUCAAGAGGGUUAUGGCUAGAGUCUUUCCCUAUUGAUCCUAAGGGGAAGAAACCAUCAGGAGGUCAACAUUCAGAUGUGGGUGCUAUAUCUACCUUUAAACUAAGGCCUCCUAGAUAUCGACGGUCAUUUCCAUAUACUUUCAGGGCUCGUUCUCCUUACACUCCAUACCCUCAGUACUAGUAUAGGUCUUCGAUUCGUCUACAGGCUUAUGAUCAGACUUAUUUGUAUUUCGCUUUCCUUCAGCCUUGCUAUGCUACUCAGGCUAUUGAUAGGCCACCUAUUGCAUACUCCAGGCCCCGAGCAUCUCAUACUCUAGUUACUUUCAUUCCUAGACCACAAAGGUAGUUUUCCCAACUAGGGAUGCCAUUGAGUUAGGAUUUCAAGAAGCUUGUUAAUGCUAGAUUAUUGACAGCACUAGCUCCACGCUUAGUACCUUAGCCGAUUCCCUCGAACUAUAGACUGGAUCUUCAUUGCCUAUACCAUCAGAGUUUAGGGUAUGACACAAAUAGGUGCAUGACUUUGAGACACACCAUACAUGAUUUGAUAGAUCGGGGUUCGAUGUGGGGUAACCAAGUGUCAUCGCAAACCCAUUACUAACUCAUUCUACUCAUGUAGUACCACCACUAGCCAGGGGUGUCCCCUUUAUUGAUAUUGAUGGAGAUGACUUUAUUCACAUGAUUAGUUGGGAGGAUCAUGCACCAGAUCUUAUAGUAUUAGAUGUGAGAUUAGAAGUUGAUGGAGUCACUUUGGGUACAUCGUCUAUCCUAGACAGACCUCCAUUUCAGUUGAUCCCAAUUCAUGACUCAUUUGUUGUCCAUUGUGCUUUCAUUCCCUUUGUUUUGAUGCCUGAGGAUACUAAUGAGAUUGUUGAUCAAGAUGUCCAUAUAGUCACUUGUAGUGGAAGAGUGACUUAGCCUCCAUUAGCAUAGACUAGACUAUUUGAGGGUACUAGGUCUAGAGAUGUUGUGAUAUAAUAGGAUGAUGAAAUCAUGAGGUAGCUACAAAGUACACAAGCUCACAUCUCUAUCUGGAGUUUGCUAGUUUCUUCUACUACUCAUAGAGACACAUUGAUUAGGACUCUGAGUCAUAUUAGAGUUAAGUCUGUUAUAUCUCCGGAUAGUCUGAUUCACAUGUUGAUUGUUGAUAGAGCUACAUGCAUUGUAUUAUCUACUGAUUACCUACCCCUUGGAAGCCUAGAUCAUACUUUGCCUUUAUAUAUCAUUGUUGGUUGCUUAGGGAAUUGAGUUCCAUUUGUCUUAUUGGACAAUGGCUUCACCUUGAAUGUGUCCUUUAGCUAUUGCUAUGGCACUUGGGUUUGGUCCGUCAGAUUUUGAGCCACCUACACAGUUUGUCAGAGCUUAUGAUAGCACACAAAGAGAGAUCCUUGGCACAUUGACACUUAAGCUAAAAAUUGGUCUAGUUGUAUUCUCCGUAGUAUUUCAGGUUUUGAGGAUACCUACAUUCUUUAACAUGUUAUUGGGCAGACCUUGGAUUCACUGAGCCAGCGCCAUACCAUCUUCUUUUCAUCAAGAGGUGAAGUUCAUACAUGAGGAUAUAGUCAUUACCAUACAAUUUAAUGGAGAUAUUUCUUUAUCCUUUGAGCUAGUUUUAGAGAUUAGCCAUAGUGAGGAUGACUUGUUUUUUAAUGGUUUCACAUUUGAAAAGGUUUAGAUUGUGACUAUUGAGGAGUCUCUUAGAGAUCAUGUACCUCUGUCUUUUGAUCGCCAUAGUGGCACUAUUUUCUUGGUUUGGGAUUAGGACAAUGACAACAUGGUAUCAGUGAGUUUAUAGCUAUUGUGAGUUAUGAUACACCCUUUAGCUUGGGAUAUACACUUACAGAGGCAGACUAUUGAUACAUGGCAUACCUACAUAGACAGAGGCUCAGAGCCUGGUUACUUCACAUACCAUUUAAUUACCCACUCUAACCAUAUACGAUGGCUAAGACAAAAUAUUUUAUGAGAGCUUCUGAGAUGCUUUUGACAUUGGAGGGUAUUAUUGGUGGAUAUGAUGGUGAUCAAUAGAUCGAGGGACUUUUCCAAUAGCUUCAGUUGACAUAUAGAUCUCCUAGUACUUUCAUCUCAGUAUUGGUGGCUCCUCUGUCCCCAAAUUGUGACAGCAUGAUAUCACUUUGUUUUCCUAAGGAGAUAGGUAGCUAGGAGCCAUUGCUUCAGUAUGUAGACAUAUCUUAUGGAGUUGACUUACCAGAUGACUACUAGGAUGAGAUAGCUAUGAUGAGUUUGAGCCAGAUAGUUCAUACCAUUUAACUAGAUUCUUUCACUCCAACUGCCACAUCUGAGGCAUCUACCAUCGAGAUCUUCGACAUUGUCCAGACUAGACCCAUUUCAAAUUUAUUUAAUGAAGAUGAUUCUCUUACAGAUGAUGUACUUGAGGGCACUGUUAGCUCGAUGGUGGUAGUGUCUGACUUUGUGGACUCACCCAAUUCUUUUGAUGUAUUUUCGAGUUUGUCUUCUGCAUUGAUGAUGUACCUAUUGAUUCUUCAUAUAUAGACAUGAGUAUUUUUUAGUAUUCACCUGCUUUUCAUGAUGACGUUACUGUACAUGCACUUAUGAGGACAUUCCAAGCCUCGGUCCUUCUAUUGUUCAACACCAAUUACCAUUUUCACCACAUGCUAGACUAGUUAAAUAGAAGUUAAGGCGAUUGCACCCUUAAUGGAGUUUGAAGGUAAAAGAUGGGACCUAGAAGUAGCUCAGUGUUGGAUUUAUAUUAGUAGUAGAGUAUCUUGAGUGGUUGGCCAAUGUCAUCCCUACUCCUAUGAAGAACAACAAAGUCAGAGUUUGUGUGGAUUUUAGAGAACUCAACAAGACCAGCCUUAAGGACGACUUUCCCUUACUUCACAUUGAUAUGUUGGUUGAUAGCACAGUUAGUUAUUCAUUGUUGUCCUUCAUGAAUGGGUUUUCGAGGUAUAACCAAAUCUUGAUGGAUCCAAAGGACAUGGAGAAGACCGCUUUCAUCACUAAGUGGGGCACAUAUUGUUAUGAGGUGAUGCCAUUUGGGUUGAAGAAUGUAGGAGCUACAUAUUAGAGAGUGGAGACCAUUCUUUUCCAUGACAUGAUGCACCCGGAUGUUGAGGUGUAUGUGGAUGACAUGAUAGUGAAAUCUCGGAGCGGAUCAUCUAGCAACCCUGGAGAGAUUCUUUGAGAUGAUCAAAUAGUUCAGAUUGAGAUUGAAUCCCAAGAAGUGCACAUUUGGAGUGACCUUUGGGAAAUUAUUGGGAUAUAUUGUUGGUAAGGGAGGCAUAGAGGUAGACCCAGAGAAUAUUAGAGCCAUUCUUGAGAUGCCUACACCAAGGACUGAGAAGGAGAUCAGAGGAUUUCUCUGUAGACUACAAUAUAUUAGUAGAUUCAUAGCUCGAUUGACAAACAUAUGUGAGCCCAUCUUCCGACUCCUGAGGAAGAACCACCUUAUUGUUUGGGAUGAUAAUUUUGAACGUGCCUUUGAGAGGAUUAGAGAGUAUUUGAUAUCCUUUCUAGUUCUGGAACCUCCCACUCCCAAUCGACUUUUUUUUUUUUGUAUAUCUUAGAGAUAGCCUUGGGAUGCAUGCUAACUCAGUUCGAUGAUUUGGGCAAAGAGUGAGCCAUUUAUUAUUUGAGUGAGAUGAUGCUAGAGUAUGAGAUGAGAUACAUUUGGAUAGAGCGCCUCUGUUUGGCAUUGGUAUGGGCUAUUAGAAGACUAAAACAUUACAUGACAGAGUAUUCGGUACACUUGAUAUCCCGACUGGAUCUCUUAAUAUAUUUGUUUGAUAGGCCUAUUUUACCUGGUAGAUUGAUGAUAUGGUUAGUACUCUUGACUGAGUUUGAUAUUCACUAUGUUACUCAAAAGUCCAUUAGAGAGAGUGUUGUUGUAGAUCACCUGGCCUCAUUACCAGUUUCAGAUAGUGGAGUUAUUGAUGAUGAUUUCCCUAAUAAGGGGAUUGCAACUGAGACUAGUAUGCCAAGUUGGCGCAUGUACUUUGAUGGUGUAGCCAACCAUCUUGGAUAUGGGAUAAGAAUAUUGUUGAUAUCUCCUUAUGGUGAUCGUAUUUCGAGAUUUGUUCGUUUGGCAUUCCCAAAUCGAUAUCCUACCAUGAAAAAAUAGUCGAGUACGAGGCUUGCAUCUUAGGAUUAGAGACAACUUUAAAGUUGGGUCUCAGAUGGAUGGAGAUAUAUAAAGACUCCAACUUGAACUGAGACAGAUUUUGGGGACCUAAAAGAUUAGGGAUGUGAAGCUCAAUCCUUAUCAUGCUUACUUAGAGCUACUGGUCGGGAGAUUCGAGGAUUUGAGAUAUACCCAUCUAUCGUAGAACUAGUUUGUUAAUGGCUUAACUACUCUAGCUUCCAUGAUUGACAUUCUUACUGAUGUUGUUAUUUGCCCAUUAGUGAUAGAGUUGAGGAUUGUGCCAGUAUAUUGUUGUUUGAUUGAUGAUGUAGAGAUUCAGGAUGACUUACCUUGGUAUCAUGACAUUUAUUAGUUUCUCAUAUUCAACACAUAACUUGAGGUUGCCACAACCAAGGAUAGGAGAGCUUUGAGGCACUUGGCCACCAGAUUUGUGAUAUGUGGCGAGACAUUAUACGGACGAUCAACUGAUGACUUGUUACCGAUAUUCUUAGACCAUACCUUUGUUGAUAGAGUGAUGAGAAAGGUUCAUGCUGGAGUUUGUGGACCACACAUGAGAUGACACAUGUUGGCUCGUAAGAUCAUGAGGAUCAGAUACUUUUGGUUGACCAUGAAGACAGAUUUGUACUAGUUUGUUUAGAGAUGUCUGGGGUGUUAGAUAUACAAUGAUCUUAUUCACAAUCCACCUUCAGAGUUACAUGCACUAACCUCACCAUGACCAUUUUCAAUUUGGGGCAUUGAUAUCAUUGGAAAGAUUUCACCAAAAUCUUCCAAUGGACAUGAUUUUAUCUUGGUCACUAUUAAUUACUUCACCAAGUGGGUGAAGAAACUUCUUAUGUGAGAUUAACAUUAGCCAAAGUUGCUAGCUUCAUCAUGUCACACAUCAUUUGUCGUUAUGAAGUCCUAUAUGAGUUGAUAUUUGAUAGAGGAGUACACUUCAGGGCAGAGGUUGAUGUCUUGUUAUAAAGAUAUAGUAUUCAGCAUCAUAGGUCAUCUGCACAUAGACUAUAGACUAACGGGGCAGUAGAGGCCACGAAUAAAAAUAUUAAGAGGAUUUUACUGAGUAUGGUUGACAAUUUCUUGAGACUAGUCAGAGAAGCUCCAUUUUGCACUAUGGGCUUAUCGCACUUUUUUUUACACUUCUACAGGAGCCACACUCUAUUCUUCAAUGUAUGGUAUGGAAGUAAUGUGAUUCGUGCCCAAUUGGUGUUUCAGCUGAUUCGUGUCCAGCUGGUGCUCCUUGAUUGAGGGAGUAAUCAACAAAAUUUAUAACCUAUUACACCAUAUACUAGGGUAGCAAAGACAAAGCUACUAUAGCAUAGUGGCUCUAGGAUCGUUCACUGGGAUGAGUUUUUACUUUGCAAAUGAUAUUAAUUCAAAGCUAAAUUGGUGCCUUUUCAUUUCAAGGUUAGCUUUAAAAGAAAACAUAAAGAUGUUUGAAUAAAAAAGGUUUGGUUUUAAACUAACCAAAAAUAGUAACUGAUUUUACUUACAAAGAAAAGUGUUUCUUGGAGUUUCAGAUCACUAGGCUCAGAUUCCUCAUACAAAAAGGGAGUUCCGGCCACUUGUUUCUUUUCCUCGCAUUAGAGAAUUAACAUAUAGUUAAUUCUCUAACCAGUGCUGUACAGAUGCUUCCCAUUAAUGGGUUCAAACACUAAAUCCCUCUCACUGAUGCACCUUGCAAUGGCUCAUGCCUCUCACCUAGCAUUUGCCAGUCAAGGUGAUCUUUAACCUUGGAUUACUCGUCAAAAGCUCGCAAGAGAUAACUAAUGGAUGUCUCCUUAGAGUCCAAAAGCUUACCAAGUGUUGGCAAUUCUAGAAAAUCCUACCUUCAAGUCACCUCCCAGAGGCUCACAAGGGGUAAACUAGUGCAUCUCCAUGGACGGAGAUCACUUGCCUUACCAAGUGUUGGCCCAGGUGAUUUAAAGGCGUUUUAAGUUAACUAAAAAGAUAAAAACCAUUAACGGUCACACUUUCUCUUCAUUAAAAACUAAAACAACAAAACUUCCAAUUUAUGCAUGUGGAAACUUACCCGGCUUUCCUUAGCUCCAAGAGACAAAAAUCCUAGCCUCUCAUCCUCUGAGGAAAAACCUUAGAGUUUGAUUGGCUAGAAAGAAAAAGAAAAUGAAAAUGAAAGAGAAGGAAAAACCAGAGCAAGGCUCUGUAUAUUCUAUAUAUUAUAUAUCUAUAUCCCGUUGGAUUACAUGAUUCUAUAUUACAUACUUCUAUAUCUAUUACAGUGGAUGCAAGGAAAUAUAUAUAGAGACGUUUUUCCAACCUUCCUAACUAAGAAAUCUUAUGGUUGGUGGAUUAUAAGAAGAAGAAUGGAAAUUUAUACAAAAAUAUCUGAAGAAAAAUAUCCAAAAGUGUCGGUCACAACUAUCGGGAAGCUUCAGGAGAACACCCGUGCACUGUGCAAAAUGGCUGCGAAAUUCUCGCAGCAAAAGGCAUUGGAUUCUUGAUUUCGCAGCCGUGCAAAAAUCUUCCUUCAGCUUGGAGUGAUAUGCUUGCAAUGGCUGUAACUCAUUCGUUUCAGCUCCAAAUCGUGCACUAUUUGAAGCAUUGGAUUCUUGACUUCCUGAGCUUUGAAAUGGUAUAUAGCAUGUAGAAAAUGGACUUCGUAAAGUGCUCAAAAAGUGCGCAAGAAGACUGCAGCUGCUGUUCUCUGUUUUCUUCACUUUGUUUUUCUUCUCUCCGUUGUUCUUUCCUUGCAUACUUUGAACGAAUUUGGAAAAGGGCUAUGGAGCUCCAAAGCUUGGUUCUUCAUGAAUUUGAACUUCCAAAAGCUUUGCCAUGAACUAUAUACAACUCUCCCUCAAUCUCGGAUUGCUUUGGUGAUCAAAAAGCUAUCAAAACACCAAAACUUAACACAAAUUGAUUAGAAUUGAUUGCAAGGGUCCUUAACAUAUUAAUUGGGUUAAAAAGCAAUAACUACUACUCAAAAAUGUUUAAAAGAGUUAAUUACAAGCUAUGAAAUAACACUUUUUGAGUAGUAAUCAUAAUGCUACCAGUUGAGAUAGAAAUAAGAUCUUUGAGAGUAACACUUGAACAUCAGAUAUCUGAGGCAGGUUGGGCCUAAGCACAUUUCGAUUAGCUUGGUCUUCUUGAUAAGAGAAUGUUGAGAGUAGCAUAUCACACUUAAGCUCAUCAGAGGAAGAUGACCCAUGCUUUCAGAAAGCAGGUCAAGCUUAGAUCGCUACAAAGAAGAGAUUUGGUUUUGAGGGUUCUUAGAGGCUUGGUUGUAGACCCUAGAAUAAACGGACUUGGAGUGGGCCAUAUGUCAUUAAAGAGUUGACUCUAGAGAGUGCAAGAUGGUUGAUGGAUCUAAAUGGAAACCAAUUCUCAGAGCCGACCAAUAUAGAUCAAUUAAAGAAGUAUUAUGUUUGAGACUAUGGUCACAGGAUGGGUGACCUUCAUUUCGAUUAGCUUAGACCUUAUCACCUUUUGGACAUCUAGAUCGUUGCUAGCCCUUUGAGCCUCACAUGAUCAUUGUAGCCUAUUCUUUUUUAUAGUCUUGUUUACUUUCUAUAUUUGGGACCCUCUAAUGUACAUAUGCUUUAUUCAGGAAUUUCAUGAGUCUUGGACCUAUUGAUAUACUCCUAUCAUUUAUCUUGUCGUUAUCAUGAUACCCUGUUUCAUUCUCACCUCCAUUGUUUGUGUUCUUUGUUAUGUUUUUUUUUAUACUAUCAGAUUCAUCUUAUUUCUUCUCAUAGAUUGAGUGAUGAUCUUUCACAUUUCAUAUUGUGUAGAUCGAUCAUAUCACCACUUACAUUCCAUCUUGUAGACAUUGAUACAAAGGUCUUUGGUUGAGAGGGUCAUUUCAUCAAGGAGAGCUCAUUGUUUUUGGAUCACUCUUUGAGAGCAUAUUCAUACCAUGGUAAAAAGAAAAAAACAAAAAACAGUAUAUGUGCAUGAGAUGUAUUACUUCAUUGAACAUGUAUGAGAUAUUUGAGAGUUUAUUAUGUGGAGUUCAUUGGUUGAUGAGAAUGCAUGAGAGUUUUUUAUCCUUAGGUUCAUCUUGUAUAUGUUCUGAGUAUGAGAGAUGGGUAACUCUUUCCUAAAGACUCUGAAUCAUUGUCUCCUUCCAUCACUUUAGUCACCAAUGAUUUGAUCACUUUUCAUGUCUUGUCUUGAGUAGAUAAGAGCAUGUUUUAUUCAUUUUGAUCUUAUCUGUUCUUUAUAUUCUUCAUCAUUCACCAUACAUUCAUCAUUCUUCAUUCAUAUCUAUCUUCAUUCCAUGAUUGAUAUUCUCUUCAUAUCAUCUCUCUUUGUAACUUGAUGCUCACUUCUAUUCCUUUUCCCUAUCAUCAUUGAUUUUGUUAAGACCUUUUAUGUCCCAUGGAUGCUCACAUUAAAUACCUUUAGGUUCAUAGCUUAUGAGAUUAUUUAUGCAUAUUGUGUUUUGUACAUGAGGGUAUGGGUCUUAUCAUUGGCUAUUUGAACUUAGUUUUUUCUUUACCCUAUUAUCUUAGCCUAUAUUACGUCACGUGCCUUAAGACUACCUUGAGGCCAUGGGAUCGGAUAUCAGCUUUGAUAUUCUCUACUCGGGCAAGUGUUUAAAAUUUGGUUAAUGUGUAAGCAUCAUCAUGUUCUUCCUUCUGGGGAAUGUUUCUCUGAUGUCUGGAGUUGAUUCAUAAUGGAUGUAGAGGAUUGCUUGAUUUUAUGGCAGAUGAGAGAUGUUGUUUGACUUCCUAUUUUGCUAUAUAUCAGAUGUCAUACCGAGGCAUAUCCUCUUUCCAUCAAGAUUGCUAGUCUCACUUUGGUUUUCAUUUUGUUUCAUGAUAAUGGAUAUUGAUUUUGACUAUUUGAUUUCUUCAUGAUCUUUAGUGGAAUUGCAUCUCAAGUCAUUAGGUUAGACUUACAUUUUCUGAUAUCCUUGCUAUAUUUGAUGGAGUAACCCUAGUGAGGUAUGCUUUCAUCCAUGCUUUUAGUGGAUCAGUUAAGUUUCAUUAUCAUAUCCCUCGGUGAAAUUCUAUCUCAAGUAAUUAGGAUGAGCCUAUACUUUUUUAUAUCCUCACUAUUUUUUGAUGGAGUUACCCUAUUGAGAUAUGAUUUCAUCCAUACAUAUAGUUGAUUGGAUUGGUAUAACCACUUCUGAUCAUCAGUGGAGUUUAUUUGACCUAAGAUGUUUGGUUGAUGCACACAUCUUUUGAGUCAUCUGAUCACUUCAUCAUUGGAGACAAAUAUGAUGAGUUGGUAUCAUUUGGUUAUCUCCAUGAUUUUGCAUUAGUUGCCAUACUAGGACAUAUUCCUCUUUCUUUUGUUGAGAUGAGAUCACAGGGGAGCAUUACCUUUGAGCUUGAAUAUUUUCAUGGAUUAGAGAUUCUCAAUGGAGUAUUUUGUGAUGACAUUAGUUUUGAUGGAGUAUUUUUUUGAGAUUAUGGUAGUCAUCAUGAUUCCUUAGCAGAGUGUUUCUAAGGUGGAUUGGUUCGAUUGUUUUACAUUCCAGUUCCUUAGUGAAGCAUUUUUGAGAUAGAUCAGUUGAUUAUUUGAGUUGGAGAUGGUCCUUAGUGGAGUUAUCUCCCUAAGUGACCGAUUGGCCAUAUUGAUUUCUUAAUGGAGUAUUGAUGAGCUAGUGGCAUUUUGGUCCCUUAGAGUAUUUUCGAAUAACCUAUCCUCAGAAAAUUCUGGAUGUUAUGGUAUUUCCAUACUAGCAAUACAUAGACCUUGCAUACUAAGGCAUAAUUUCUCACUCGUUAAGGUUAUUGGGAUCAUUAUUUGUUCAGCUUUUAGAGUAGAGGCAUUCAGUGUCAUCUUUUAGAGUACUGAUCAUGUGAUUGAUCAGGGGUUUGUGUAUCACAUUCUCCUUCAUGACCGAUUUAUCAGCUUUCAGAGCAAAAACAUUCAGUGUCAUCUUUUAGAGUACUGAUCAUGUGAUUGAUUAGGGGUUUGUGCAUCACAUUCUUUUUCACGACCGAUUUAUCAGUUUUCAAAGCAAAGACAUUCAGUGUCAUCUUUCAGAGUAUAAAUCAUGUGAUUGAUUAGGGGUUUGUGCAUUACAUUCUCUUUCAUGACCGAUUUAUUAAUUUUCAGAGCAGAGACAUUCAGUGUCAUCUUUCAGAGUACUGAUCAUGUGAUUGAUUAGGGGUUUGUGUAUCACAUUCUCCUUCACGACCAAUUUAUCAACUUUAGGGCAGACGCAUUCAGUGUCAUCUUUCAUAGUAUAGAUCAUGUGAUUGAUCAGGAGUUUGUGUAUCACAUUCUCUUUCAUGGCUGAUUUAUCAAUUUUCAGAGUAGAGGCAUUUAGUGUCAUCUUUCAGAGUAAAGAUCAUGUGAUAGAUCAAGGGUUUGUGUAUCACAUUCUCUUUCAAGGCCGAUUUAUCAGCUUUCAAAGCAAAGACAUUUAAUGUCAUCUUUUAGAGUAUAGAUCAUGUGAUUGGUUAGGGGUUUCUGUAUCAUAUUCUCCUUUAUGGCUUCUUUAUCAGCUUUUAGAGUAGAGAUAGUUAGUGUCAUCUUUCAAGGAUACUUUCCAGAUUAGCUUUUAGAGUCACUCUUAUUAGUUUAGCAUUCUAAGUUGCUUGGCUACCAGAGUCAUCUUUUGAUAAAGAGUUAUGUUUGUAGUUUCGACACUCAAAGUCUUUGUAUUGUCGUUCUAGUGUUCAAAGUCAUUUAUCUUCUUAGUAUUGAGCAUUCUCAAAUUACUUCUAUGAUUUUAUUGCCUAUGAUCUUUCUUUCUUGAUUGUGUCUUUCAGAGUCAUUUGGCCUCAUUUGUUCAGUGUUUUGGAUUCAGUGUUAUCUCUACCUUCUUACUCUUUGAUUUUGCUUGUCAGUUUAUUAAGUCAUGUGUCAGGGCAAAAUUUUAGGAUUUUUUCUAUUCUUCGAUAUAGUUCACUUGGUUUCAUUCAUUUUUCACAUGCUCAUGAUUAAUUCAUUAUACUCGUGACUUUUAUUGAAGAGGGGCAUAUUUGUAGAUCCCUUAUUUUACCCACGACACAUAUAGGCUACUAUCUAAGUAAAUCAUUGUAAUUCAUCAACUUGUAGUCUCCGAUUCUUCUUUGGAAGCUUCUUAGAGGAUAAAUUACGGAACUUUGAUGUGAUCACCUAAACCUCUGAAUUUGUAACUUAAAGUUUUCUGAUUAUUCGAACUUAUCAUUGACCAUAAACUAAAACAAAAAUAUUAAAUAAUUGUUUUAAAAUAAAAUAAAAUAAGUUGUCUUCUUAAACAAUAAACAUGCCAAAAUACUCAUUUAUUUAUUUAUUUUCUUUAAUAAUCCAUAACCAAAUAAAUAAUAAUAAUAAUAAAAAUUUAAUAAAUAUAAACGAAAAUAAAAUAUAGCAAUGUUAAAAUUCAAGUUUAUUACUACUAUCUAAUUCAUGUUUUAAAAUAUAAACUAAAAAUAAAUCUUGUUUUUUUAGUAAUGAACAAAUAUCAUGAACCUUAAAUAAAAAUAGACAUUUGAGUCCAUAAUAACUAGCAAAAUUUACACUUAAGAUAAAUUAUUUUUUUAAUAAACACAAAAUUUAUAUAUUUUCAUAUAUUAUUCUAUAGUUACCAUUCAAGGUUUUUUUUUCUAACUCAUGCACCACUCAUCUUUAUCUUUAUAUAUAUAUAUAUAUAUAUAUAUAGCACCCCAUCAAUGUUAUCAUAUCUCUUUACCACAAACCAAUUUUGGCUACCUAAGACCACCUCAACACACAUCCAUCAACCUGUCCUAUCCUCCAUGUCGUAGCCAUUCUUUUAGUUGCCCAAGACACACCUCAAAUCAACCCCACCAAGCUGCCCAUCUCCUGCAAUAGUUUUUUUGUCUGCCCAAAAAACCCAUCUCUAUCAUCCUCACUUUGUCCUUUAUUCCUACCAUAGCCAUACUUUUUCUUAAGCUACCAAAACUACAUCAACUCACUUUCUAGCUGGCCUACCCCACUAUAUGUGAACCAUUAGCUCAUCUCUACCAGUUGUAGCAGUCGUAAUCAAUAGCUCCUCCAUGUUUAGCUUGUAGAUUAAUUCUAAAAUAUCCUAUCUAAAUUUUCAAAAGCCCACACCCAUGCCUCUAGUCUUUGCAUUAGUCAUCAUAACUUCACCGAAUCCUUUACUUUCUCCAAACUAAGCACUUCCAUCAUAGUUGCCACUUUCCUUUCUCAAAUCCGAGCACCAUACAACACUAUGUACCCCUACGACAAUUUCAUCUUCUUCCUACCACCAAACCGUUGCCCCACCUUACCAUAGGCUCCACGAUGACUUCAUUUUCUUUCUUCCUUUAAGCUAAACAUCACAGUGCACCACACGACCCACUACAACUUUGUAUUCUCCUUUUCUUCAAGCCAAAGACCACAACAAUUUCGAUGUGUAGUAAGAUGGCUCAAAUAUGGCUACCAUGGAGAAGAGUGUCGGGCUUUUCGACAAAGAAGAUGUUCAGAUGACACCACUAGUGAUUACUCCACAUGCCUCGUCACCCUUGAAGUCCAGAUAAUUUGUUGUUGUUUAUUUGUUUUCUUGUUGUGUUUGGACCCGGGACAUGUAUUUUUUAUGAAGGCCAUGUAUGGUCAUGCUUAUUUUGUAUUUAUUUUGCUUAUUUCAUUUUUUGUUGCUUCGGUUUCAUUUUUAUUAUAUGUAUUUAAGUUAUAUGAAUAUCAAACAUUUUAAAUUGGGUAGACAUAAAAGGGGCAAGAAAAUUAGUUUUUGACUAAGGCUUGUUUGGCCGAAAAAAAGGGGAAUGAUUUUGGAAGUUUAGGAGGUUUGCAUUUGGGUGAGAGGGUGAGUUCAUGUGAGAGGAAUGGGUCGAGAGUCUUGGAAGAGAGGGUAUAAAAUCAUAUGCUCAUUUUUUGUUAAAGGGGUUAGCAUUUUUUGGAGAGCCUUUUUGAGAUCUCUGUGGAGUUGAGAAAAAGUGAGAGAAAAAAUAGAGAGAAAAGAAAAAAGAAAGAGGUAAUUGGAAGGCUAUGAGUUUUUUUUUUUUUUUUUCAUUUCUUGGUUGAUAGAAAGUUGGGGAAGAGAAGUAAAGAUGGAGAGUUCCAGUGGAAGUGGCACUACCAUUGAACUUUAGAUCAUCCGAUUUCGCGAACUGCAUUUUUUUCUCAAAAACGCUUGGAAUGCAAAUAAGGUAUGUCUUUCUUUAUUAAAUUGAUGAAUUGUAUUGAUGUGCUUAUUUAGUUUAUAGUAUCUAUAAAUUAACUAAUUAAUCCUCGCAAUUAUUUCAUUUUACUUAGUAGAGACCUAACUUUUAGGGCUUAGAGGGGUGCUACAGUUCUUCACUAUACCUUCCCGAUAAGUAACCUAAUCCCUGGACUUAGACUCAGGUUUUCAAAGACAGACUUUUCUAAAGAAAAAUGAGUCAUUUUUUAAGGGUUUUUCCUUCUUAUUUUGUUUGCCCUUUUAAAAAAUAAAACAAAAAUAAGUAGUGACUCCGUUAUUUAUAAAAUUGGUUUGUCACAAACAAAAAGCGAGUCUUGCUAUCGAGUGAGAACGCAUGUGAAAAUGCGGGAUCACAUUUCCCAACACAACCAAAGGGAAACUCUAUCUUAAUCUUAUGAGAUAUCAUGGUACCUCUAUUGAGAAUACCUAUUAUUACCAACUUACUUCAAUAGUGACCCAAACUAUAGGGAAUAUAUGAUCAUCUUACAAUUUCAUUCGUAGGUUAAUUAAAACCAUUGCUAACUUUAGCAUAAAAUUAAUAUUCUCUCAAGGUUGAGAGACAACAUAAUGAAGCAGCUUGGUGAAUUCAUGGCUACUUGAUAACCAUGUAUGGUUACACAUUAGAUAGAACCUAUGGUGAGUCAUGAUGUAAGCUGUCGGUUUGUUAUAACUUCACUAAGCUACUAUGUUAUAUUAUCUCUUAACUUUGAGAGACUCUUGAGUCUAUGCCGAAGUUAGUAAUGACUAUGAGCUAUAUAUGAGAUACUAAAAUGAUGAUAUAUUCCUUAUUGAUUUGGUCACUAUUGAUAGAAGUUGGUAGUAAUGGGUUAUUAGAGCCAAAAUAUGUGCUCCAAUCACACAAAUAUGACAUGAUUUAUGUAACAUAAAAAGCUCUAACUAUCCAAGUUGACUCAAAUUGAUGCUAAGACUUUAACUAUGGAUAUAAAUUCUAUUUUAAGCCUAAUUCCAGGUUUAUGGGAUGAAAAGAAUGCUAAGUGAAAAGUCAUUUUCAACCAAGGAAAUAGAAGAGGUUAAAUAUGCAUAAAUGAGAGACUUGGGACUAGUGAACUAUGAAGAGUCCAAGAAGUGGCAUUAUAAGAAAACCAUAGGCAUGAAAUACUAGCAAGGGGUGUUGUGUAUUGAGAUAGAGGGCAAGCAACCAUAAUAGAGGAGGGAAGCACAUGCAAUCAAGUUCACAUGGAAAUUUAGAACUCAAAAUUUGGCUACAACAUAUACUUUGAUUUUAAGGUAAAAUUUAGAGCACUUACUAAUGUCAUUUUUGGGCAUGCUAUAUAUCAUUUCUAAGCUCAAGAAGUCAAGAGUUCAAUGCUUUAAAAGGUGUGCAAAUCAGAAUUGCCAUGAUAAAGUCAUGCACGUUAGAAAUAAACUAGUAGUGGGUGAGUUCAAAAUUCACCGUGAAUUUUGAACUCACCAUGGUGAUUUCGAAUUUGGCACUUUUCCUCCACUUAUGAGUUCAAAAUUGAUUUGGAACUCAUCCCAACUUUAAACUUAGCUAUUGAUGAUUUUGGGUUUUGAGCUCCAAAACAUGUCAAAACGAGUUUCAAAUGCCUUCAUCUAAUUCGGAAUGCAUGACACUUAUUUAAAACUCGUAAUAUUUUCAAUCUUUUAAGUUGUUUAUGACUUUUCUUUGUAAUAAGUGGCCAAUGGAAGUAUGCACAUGUUAGGUUAUUGAAUUUAUUAUAUAAACUCCUUUAGCUCUAGGUUUAAGGGAGAGAAAAAAGGAUAAAAUGUAGAGAGAGAUUGAUCUAUUCUCUUAAAAUUAUUUAAUAAAGUUUUAGGUUUUCUUUUCUUUUCUUUCAUUUUUCAAUCUUUAUUUUUUAUUUUUUUGGUAAUUAAAUAUAGGUUGUGAGAAGAAACCCACCACCAUGUUUAACUAGGUUGAUUGAUUUAGAGAUGCUAACAUGAAGGUGAAGAAUCCAAAGGAGUGACAAGAAAUGAUAAUGUAUUAAAUGGUUUGAUUACGUUUUCCAGUUUUCACUAAUAGGAAUAUAUCUUCUAUGUCAAAUCACCUUAGAUAAAUUAUAUAGGAUUCUUAUCAAGAUACUAGUAAUUCUUGGGAAGACUUUGAUUACUAGUUACUAUAGUUUGAUCCUACUGUUAACGAAUCUAAGGGUUGAAUCUAUAAAGAUGGAUAUGGAAUUUUGAUUGAAUAAAAUUGAAAAUCAAAAUAAACCAUCAUAUCUAAUUGAUUUAGGAAUUAUGAUAAUGAGAUUAAUAAUUGGUUGGGUUACAAAUUAUGAAUAUUUUGUCUUAUCCUUGUAAGUUAUACUAGGGAAUGAUAUGGUAGGUUAUUACUAGAUACUAAUGAUUCUUGAUAACUCUUGAUCAUUAGUUAUCUUGGUCUUCCAAAUCAUUAUUUACCUCAAAACAAAGCUACAAGUAGUAAGAAGGGUUAAAAAGCUAAACCUUAAAUCAAUAAUUAAUCUCAUUCACUUGAUGUUUUAGGAAUCUAUUUUAAGAAGGAAAUAUUAAGUUCUCAAUGCAAUAUUGGUCUUAAGUUUUAAUUUGGUUGCAGAUUGACUUUGAUCCUAAAUCCUAGAUUUGAUAAUUUUCUCUCUUUCUAAGGAUUUGACAUUGGAUUGUGAAAUUCUCUAAAAUAUUCUUUCUUUUAUUGAUUCAUUUCAUUAAAUAUUUUAGGGAAUUUUUAUUCAUAUUUAUCCAUAUUUAUUUAAAUUAAGAUUUCUUUAUCUUUAGCAAAUAAUUACCCUUUUUCAUCUAAAAACAAAUAAACAAAUUAGAGUUGAUCCCAGAAAACGAUAACCCACAACACUGCAAAGUCAUGGUAACUCUAUCUCUAGUUUUUCUUAGCUAGAGUUAUCAUAUAUUUAAGCUUAAUUAUUUUAAUUACAAUAGAGAUUUGCAGUGAAUGAGUAUUCUCAAUAGAGACACUAUGAUAUUUCACGGACUUGAAGACAAUAUAUGCCCUUGGGUGAUCCUAAGGAUAUGUGUUUAGAUAAACUAUGGUUAUAGUAGUGCCUUAAGCUCUUUGUGAGAUAGGACAUGUCAAUUGAUUACGUAAUAAGAGGAUUUGUAACUUAAGGAUGGUAGAAGUAAUCUUAAGAGGAUGAUAGUUUUUACCUUGUUAGAUUAUAGACAUCAAUUCAUUGGGAGACUAUAUAUAGUGUAUAGUAGGUCACGAACCCGAACACUUAUUGUCUUGUUGUAAUAUGCAUAAGGUAUUAUAGUAUAGUUAACUCAGUAUAAUGGGAUAUUGAGUCAACUUCAAAAUUGAAUUAUGAGGGAGUCGAUACCAUCCUAGCAGUUCCAAUGGUCCUCAUUCAAACUCAUAUAUCUUGAUGACACUUUUUAUGAGGGUUGAAUUGGCUUUUGGUUCAUUCAUAAAGAUGUUUUGGUAAUUACGUUAGGUUGCCUGAGAAUUAGCGGACAACAUCUCUAGAAUAAGUUAAUUGAUUAAUUGGAGUUUUGAUGGAUUAAUUAAUCAAUUAAGACUCUUUUUUGGGCUAGAUUAAGUGACCCAAGCUCAAGGUAGGUUCAAGUCACUUAAGCUUAGUAGAAACCCUAUAAAUACCCCUUAUAAAAUUAAGGUUUCAAGUCUUCUUCUACCAUUCUCCCUAUGUUCCAAAGAGAGAACCUUAACUUCCAUGCUCAUGACUUCCACCAUUUGUGUUCUUAGUUUCAAGAAAUAGUCAUUAGGUGGAAGAUUGGAGGUUUAUGAGAUCACCUUUGACUACCACAACAUCAAAUAAUGAUUUCAUCAUAACGAUUCAAUCUACAAACAUCCAAAUCUAAGGUAAAUAUUCUAAACAUGUAAUCUAGAUCUUGUGAAUAGUUUUAAAUGUUAUAUUUUUACUAUGCAUAGGAUCUAGUUGCCCUAGUAGUAGUUUCAUGCUCCUAACCUGAUCCUUGGACAGGGAACAAAGUAAUCAAGAUUUCCCAUCAGUUGGAUGACCUUGUUGAAAAGAAAAAUUGUUUUCAUGCCUUGAAAGGUAUGUCUUUCUAGGAAGCGUAUGACCACUGGUAUGGUGUAGUGAUUAUGUAUGGUGAAAAAAAAUUAAAAAUAAAUAAAAUAAAAUAAAAGAAUGCAGUGGGCUGCGAGGCUACAUAGUAGUGAUUGUGCUGUUGGAAGAGAUGAUAAUAAUUUGGUGAUGGUAUAGAUUAUUGGGAGAAGUGAGAGUAGUGAAGUAAAAUAAAAUUGUUAUAUAAAACAAUAAACAAAAACACAAUUAUGCUGGGCUAAUAGCAAUAAAUUAAUCAAAUGGAAACUAAAGGAACAUGACAACGGAAUCUGAAGCAAAGACAUGAAGAACAAUAAGAAACUAAAAACAUGAACCACCUUCCACACACGACACACUCAACUGCAAAACCCUAAUUGGUAGAAAUUAAAAUUGAACCUAAAAUGGGAACCAUGACCACAACAAAUUCAAGGGAAAGGAUGAGAACUAGCACCACCACCAGGACCACCACCGGUGCCCACUCCACCGCCUAGGGUUCCGAUACCACCGGUGCCACCCAAGCUGCCGAUCCCUCCUGGCCCAUCAAGUCCACCUGCGCUACCGAUUCCUCCGGCAACUCCGCUGACUCCACCUAGCCCACCAAAUGGCAGUCCAGAAUCACCUACUCCUGCAAAGCCACCGAGCCCGCCAAAGGUGACGAUGUUCUUUUGGUCAUCGAGACCAGCAUCACUAGGCACAGUCCUUGCAGUGGUGUGAGCCACUGCUAGGGCAAGCACUGCCAUGAUAAACCACUUUGCCAUCUCUCUCUUUUCUCACUCACUCACUCACUCACACUCUAAUGCUUCUUUUUGAGUGUGUACUCUGUUGCACCUGAAGGGUGUUGCGGGUCUCCUUUUAAAGGCCUAAAGGGAGGUGGGGGACAGUUGCAAGUAGUAAAUGAAGUUAAAUGCUGAUCAGUCCACAGCUAUACUCAGUCGAUGGAAUUGAACAGGAUUUGUUGCGACUAUGCUCCGAGCCUCAGGGCCUCAAAUUGAUCAACAUCUAACAGAUAAAAAUGAAAAUCACUUGCGUAUCAUCAUGGCUUCCAUACAGAUAUUAUGCAAUAUGUAUGGCUGUGCUGGGAUUCAGAAAAAUGCCCCUGCCAAUAUUUGCAUGACAGAAAACCUAAAGUACAUGAAUAUUAGGGGUUUCUUUUGACGUAUGUAAAAUUUGAAUGACAGGCCACAAAAAAUGUCUCUUUCUCUGGUAAUUCUUUCGCGUUUUAUUUUUCAUAUCCUGAAUUUUUCAGAUGAUCUCUAAGAGAAUGUAUGGAAAAAAUGAAUAGCAAAUUAGAUAAAUUGAUACCUAAUACUAUAUUAAUACCUCUCUGGGGUGCAUUUCGUCUUUUUGGGCUUACCAUAUGAGAUAGAAAGGGAUGCAAAAUAACAUUAUAAGAUGGAGAAUUUAAGCCUUUGUUUGUAUUAUUUGAUUCUUUUUAGUUAAAAAAAAAAAGAGUUAUGCAUGAUGUUAUUUAUUUUGACUGGAAUGGAGACUAAGUAUUAUAUAUAUAUAUAUAUAUAUAUAUAUAUAUAUAUAUAUAUUUCCAUAAAAUUUUACUUCAGGGUGUAGGUAAGAAGAUUAUCAAUCCACCAAACUGCUGAUAAUCUUUCAAUGUUAUGUUGGAAUCCAUCCAGUGUCUGGCUUUGUCAUUAUAGAUGUGUCAUUGUGAGAUGGAGAAUUAAUCAAGCCUUGGUUUGUAUUAUUUGAUUCUUUUUAGUUGAAGUCUUCACCAAAAAGAAUUGACAAACUUUUGAGAACGUUAUAUAUAAUCAUAAUGCAAUAAAUAAAUAAAUAAAUAAAAUUAUAGCUACACCCGUUUAAUCAAAUUAAGAUUUUUCUUGUUAAUUUGGAGUCAUGAAAAUUAUUAGAAUUUUUAGAUAAGAUGGCUAAGUACUUUAUCCAAAUAAAAAUUAGUUAGGUCUCGUUUUUCUAGUCUGAUGAACAUGAUGAGAAUUUGGUGAGAACUGAAAGAUAAAAGGGUUGCUGAAGCUCCACUUAUUGGGCAAAUACUAAGAGAGAAGGAGAGUGAGGUGAUCAGUGGGGUAGGGAGAAUCAAUAACAGCUCCUCCAGCUGCCCUUGACAGGACUAGGGCUGAGGAUGCUGACCUUGGUGGAGGAGAAAGUAAAUGCAUUUGUGGGGACGGUUUGUGGACUCCUAUUAGGUCCCAAACAGAUUUUUAUUUUAUAAAACAUCAAAUAGUAGUUUUAAAAAACUGUUCAAAAAAAUUGUUUUCAAUACUGUUUUUGAAAACAGUUAUCUAACAAGGCUUAAGUAUAUUUUUUUGUUUUUUAUUUUUAAAGUUAGAAAAAUAGUGGGAAUUUUCAUGUUAGAGACAAGUACUUUUGGAAAUUAAUAUUAAAAAAUUAACAAUUUUAAAUUUGUUUAAAGAUUGUAAGAUAUUAAUAAAAUUUUACUAUUGAAAAAUUUUAAAAUACAUAUUAAGAAUAGAUAUCAACAAAUCCAACAAAAUUGAAAAACUAUACGGCAUAUAGUACUUCCACAAAUCAAGACUUUUAAAAAUGUGGAAAAAGAAAUUAAAAAAAAAAAAAAACCACCACAGAUACCUCUCCUUAUACUGGUUUCCCUUGAGACUCCUAAAUAUAAAUAAUAAUAAUAAAAAACCAUACCAGAAAAUACAAAUCACAAAAAAAAAAAUCAGCAUUAACUUUAAGAUUUGACUUUCAUGUGGAUUGGAUAAGUUGUUUUCCAAAAAUGUUAUUCAACAUUUUGAAAGUUCCAACAACCGUGAAGUGAUUGGUAGGGAAACACACUAUGUUGGUUAUGAAAAGUAUUAAGGAAAAUAUAUAUAUAUGUUGUCGUAUAAAAAUGAGUAAGAAAUUUAUAUAUUUAUAAAUUAUUUAAUUUUUAUGUGUAAGAGUUAAAUAAAUGAAGAAAUGAGUUUGAUGUAUGAUAUAAAAAUAAUUUAUUGACUUUAAAUUUACUUUUUAUUUUUCUUCACCCCUUUUUUCGUUCUACUUUUCUUCUUUAUUUUCUUUUCUUCAGAUUUUAUGGAACCAAAUGUAUACUAUAUGACCUUUUAAUGUAAAAAAUGAGUUUUUCACGAGAAAGGUAUUUCCCAUCAAAAAUUUUUAUUUUUAAUGAUGAAAAGUUUGUUUAUGAUGAAAAAAAAAUAAUACAUGUGAUACAUAAUUUUUUUUUAUUUAUAAUUUUUAGUUAUGAAAUUAAUAUUUAUAGCAAAAAAAACAUAUUUAAAAACAAUAUUUAUUAAUUUUUUUAUUUAAAAUCUUUUUCAAUAAAUUAAUUUUUAGUUUAUACCAAUAAAUCCCAUUUAUACACAAAAUCAAUUUGUAAUAAAUGGUUCUCUAUUUAUAAAAUAUUUGAUAAUUUUUUUUAAAGAGAUGAAAUGAUCAAAUUGACAAUAAAAAUAUUGUUUUACAGGUGAAAUUGGUUAAACAUGAGGAUAAUGAUGGCGAAAACAGUUGAAGAAUUAAUAGAACAAUAUUUAACUGUACGUGGGGGAUAAUAAACUAAGAUAAUGCUCGGGCAACUUGUCUAUACUUGGCCAUUUGUUGGGAUUAGAUGCUUACAUCUAGUGAGAUGUAGGCGUUUGUAUUUAUAAAUGUACAUAUAAGAUGGAACAGCAUAUGUUCAUCUAAUUGUAUUUUAGAGUGGAGAGACUAGUACCAAGCAUAUUGUUCUCUAUUUUGCUUUCAUUGGUGCGUAGUUAAGCUUGUCAAUGAGUUAUAUAUGGUAAAAAAAAAACAUAUUUUACCAUGUGAGUAAAAAAUAGUCUUUAAAAAUUCAUAAUACUGUUUGACUAUUGUUCUCUAUUUAUGAUUUUGAAAAACAAGUGAAAAUAAAGAACAAUUUUUAGAGAAUAAAUAAAAGUUAUUUUCAUUAGUUUUUAAAAAUAAAAGAAAAAUAUCAGGAAAUUUUAAAAAAUCAUAAAAAACUAAAUAAAAUUGAACAUCAUAUCCUUCUUUUUCUUUCUCACAUAUCUAAUACUAAUAUUGAAAAUAUUUAAAUAUUAUUUUCUUAUAAAUUACACUUGUUUUUCUAAAUUUCUUUUAACUUCUCUAAAAUUUUUCAUUCAACAAAUAAAUUCUAAAUCAAAUUACACUUUAUAUAUAACAUUUAUUAAUUGUUUUAAAUAAUUUAAAACUCAAAAAUUGAUAUAAUUAGUACUAAAAGGUUGUAGAACUUAAUAAUAUUAGAAAGUCAUAUACCAAAAUUUAUUUUAGGACAUAGUUUCUUCUCUACAUAUAUCAUAUUUUUACUAAUUUUUUCAUUCAACAAAUAAAUUUCAAAUUAAGUAAGACCUAUUGAGUUGGAUUCAUGAAUGAGUUUAAUAAUUUUUAAAAAUAACUUAAAACUCAAAUAAUGAUCCAACAAAUAUUAGAAAUUGAUGGAUAAAAAAUUGGUCUAAAAUGACUCUAUUAUUAUUAUUAUUAUUAUUAUUUUACAUAGAAUUAUUAUUUUCUGAUUUUGUUUUAUUAGGCAAAUAAAUUUCAAAUUAAAUAAGACUUAAUGCAUUAGAUUCAUCAAUGAGUCUAGUAAUUUUUAAAAAUAACUUAAAACUCAAAUAGUGAUCCAAUCAAUACUAGAAAUUGAUGUAUAAAAAUUGGUGUAGAACGACUCUUAUUUCACUUUUACAUAUAAUUAUUAUUGUUCAAUUUUUUUUUGCUAGGCAAAUAAACUUUAAAUUAAACAAAACAUAAUGCAUUGGAUUAAUCAACAAGUCUAGUAAUUUUUUAAAAUAAAUUAAAAUUCAAAUAGUAAACCUAUUAAUAUAAAAAGUUUAUGGAUAAAAAUUCGUUACAAUGACUAUUAUUUCUUUUCUACAGAUAAUUAUAUUUUUAUAAAUUCUCUUACUAGAAAAUGAACUUCAAAUUAAGUGACGCUUUAUAUUAAAUUUAUUAUUGGGUUUAAAAAUUUUUAAAAAUAAUUUGGAACUCAAAAAAUAGAUCUAAUCACUAAAAAAAACUAAUAAAUCAAAAUUGAUAUAUUAUGAGUCUUGAUUUUACUAUUUCUCUAUACACAUAACUAUAUAUAUAUAUAUAUAUAUAUAUAUAUAUAUAUACACUAAUUUUCUCACUAGGAAAAUAAAUUAUAAAUUAAUAAGACACAAUUAAUAAUUUAAAUUCUUUAAUGAAUUUUAAUUUUUUUAAAAUAAUUUGGUUAUUUAAUUUUUAAAAAUAAUUUGGAAUUCAAAAAACCAAUCUAGUUAAUUUCAAAUUAAAUCAAAAUAUCUUAGAAUAUUAUGUUCAUGAUUGAAUACUGUGUAUGUAAUAAAAAACUUGGAUCAUUUACAUGUUAAAAAAUUAAACUUUAUUCAUGAUUCAUCUUAAAUAAAAUAUUAUUAAUAAUUAUUAUUUUAAAAUUAUUGUUGUUCCCUUUUAACAAAAAAAUUAUAAAGAUGUAAAUAUCCUUAUAUUUCUAACAUGUACUAUAAUAUUACUAUUCAUGUUUUACUAAAAACUAUUUAUUUAUUAAUCUAUUUAUAAUUACAAAACUAUUUUCGGUUUUAAUAAGAUUUAGAAUAAAAUUUAAUUCAUAUUAUAUAAAUUGAAUUUACAAUAUUUUUACCAUGUCAAAAUAGAAAAAUUAUUUUAAAAAACGACUAAUCCAAAUAAAGUUUUUGGUUUUUAUUUUUAAGAAUUGUUUUUAAAAGCAACUUGCCAGACAUGCUUAUUUUUAUAAAAUAUUAAAAAACUAUUUUUUGUUCUUCAACUUAAAAACAAGUCUUUGAAAACAUGGCAAAUAAACCCAAAAUUUGCAUAUCCACAACUUACAUGAAGCCUUUUCAUCAAGGAUAUCAAGGCCAUUUUGCUUUAUACUUGUUUUCUCUAUUAGGUUGUGAAGAAAAACUUUGGAAGUGUACUAGGCUUUUCUUUUUUCUUUUUUCUGUUUACUUAUUUAUGGAAGUGGUUUUCUGUAACACCCCGACCUAGAAUAAGGGCUAUUUAUGGAAUUUAAAAAUUAAGCAAAAAAUAGAGAGAAGAUAUUUUUGGUUCCUAUAACUACUUACUGUCUUUAUCUUGUUAUGGUUUUUUUCCUUUCCAAUUCUUCAUCCUUGUUAUUAGGAACGAUAAAAAAAAUAUAUAAAGAGAAUAGAGUUUUUAUGAUUAAUCUUUCAAGGAAAGAAUCUAACCUAUAAAUUUAAUAUCCGGUUCCAUUUUCUUGGUUGUGUAAAAUAAAUAACCUUGAAUCUUUUAGGUAUUCUCUUGAAAAGAUUUGAAUUUAGGAUUAAUUUAUUUUUUUUAAAAAGGAAUAUAGAUAGGUUGAUUUAUUCAUGGAGAUAGGAAAAUUGUAUAGAUCCAAGUCAAUUAAAAAAAUAAAAUAAAAAUCUAUUGCAACAUUAAUUAGAAGAAAAAGUACAAACUUGAUGGCCUAUUGGUUUAUUGUUACAUGUUUGAAAAGAAAAAGAAAAAGAAAAAGAAAAAGAGAUAUUUUAUGGGUUUCAAAUUUUAUGCCGUUAGUGUUAGGAUAAAGACCUUAAAAACAUGACAUGAUGUAAUAAAUUUGGAAUUUAUUAUUUAUUUAAUUAUAUUUUAGUUGCACUUUUAUCUAUCCUUGUUCUAUGCUUUAUAUUUUGAGUGUUUUAACCUAUAUUUCCUACAUUUUACAUGACUUGAGUGCAUUAAGAGUUGCACAGAAGAUCCAAUCCAUGUGUUUUUUGCAAGUAAAUGAUUUGUUCACAACUGAAUUGAUUCCACGUGAUAAAGUUGAAAAAUGAAGUCACAAGAAGUACAAUAAACGAAAGUCUUCCACCCGAUGACUUGUACCUUGAUCUUGACACACUUCCGAUGGGGAUGGAAGAGAGGGUAGAGACUAUGACCCUCUCUCUCUCUUUAGGUGGAAGACAACUCUCUAGAAAAAACUAUGGAAACUCUAAACCCUAAGAAAGGUAUUUAUAGGAUUUCCCAUUAGGCUUAAGUAACUUGAGCCCACUAAGGCUUAGAUCACUUAACGGGUCCUAAUUAAUUAAUUAACCCAAUAGACUCUACAAAUUAAUCAAUUAGCCCAAUCUAGAGACCUCAUUCACUUACCCUUGUACAACCUUGCAUAAUUACCAAAAUGCCCUUAUGCACAAAAGUGAACUUAGAGUCAAUCCAACCUUCAUAACCUAUGCCAACAAAGUAUAUAAGCUCAGAAUGGGGACCAUUAGGACCCAUAGGAGUAGUGGCUCCCUUAAAAUCCAAUUCUGAAGUUGAUUCAACAUCCCACUACAGAGAAUCAAUUGAGUUCCAAUAUCCUAUGUAAAUAACAAUGAGACACUAUGUGCUUGGGUCUGUGAGCUAUUAUCCGUUGCAUUCAAUCUCCCUAUGAAAAUAUAUCCGUAGUCUAACAGGUGAAAGAUAUCAACCUUUCAAGAUUACCUUUACUAUCUUUGAGUUAUAAACCUUCUUAUUGUGUGUUUAACUUACAUAUCUUAGCUUUCCAAGAGCAUGAUGUCAAGUUCCACUUAAGAACUACUAUGACCAUAGUUUACAUGAAUGCACCUCUUUAGGAUCAACCAAGGGGCACUCUGUCUCAAUCUUAUGAGAUAUCAUGUUGCCUCUAUUGAGAAUACCUAUUACUACUAGCUUUCUUCAAUAGUGACCCAAACUAUAGGGAAUAUAUGAUCAUCUCAUGAUUUCACUCGUAAGUUAAUUAAAACCAUUACUAACUUUAGCACAAAUUUAAUAUUCUCUCAAGGUCGAGACACAACACAAUGAAAUAGCUUGGUGAAGUCAUGGCUAGUUGAUAGCCAUACACAUUGGUGCAAUGUGUAACCAUACACACUAGUGCACUCAUAAUGGGAAACCCAUGUCGAUAACCAAUACUAGUCAUCCCUCUAAUAAGGAGGUGGUGCACUACAAGCUUUAAUGGGUUGUCUAAACCCCAUGAACCAAUUAUGAAUGAGUCAUCUAUUUACAAGGAACUUGUGACUUGGAUCUUCUGUGCAAUUCCUAAUGCACCCAAUUUACGUAUAAUGCAAAAGAUGCAGGUUAGAGUGCUUACAAAGUAUAAUGUAUGGAAAUAAGAUAGUUAAAAGUGAACUAGAACUUUAUUAAACAAAUAAUAAAAUUCAAGAGUUUAUUACAUCAUGUCAUGCUUUUAAAGCCUUUAUCCUAACACUUAGGUCAUCCAUUUGAGGUUGUAGUACACUACGUACCGCUGUUGGGAUUGAACUUCUAAACGCAAAACAUGAUGUAACAGUUAGACUUAACUAUCCCCUUGCUAUCCUUUUUGGUGUAUUGACAUUGAUUCGAGCAUUCAACUCAUGUCUCUUACAUUGUAUAUGACUUGUAUGCAUUAGGAGUUGCACGAAAGAUACAAGUCAUUGGUUCCUUGUAAGUAGAUAAGUUGUCCAUAGUUGGUUCAUGGAUUUGGGCAAUUUAAUAGAGAUUAUAAUGCAUCACCUCCUAAUUUGAGGAAUGACUUGUCUUGGUCAUCAGGAUGAGUUUCCCAUGUUGAGUGCACUAGUAUAUGUAAUGCACACUAGACAGAACCUACAAUGAAUUAUGACGCAAGUUUAUCAAUUGUCAUGAUUCACCAAGCUAAUAUACUAUAUGGACUCUCAACCUUGAGAGGAUAUUGAGCUUAUGCCAAAAUCAAUAGGAGACUUUGACCAAUGGGUGAGACCCUAAAGUAAUCAUUUAUCCCUAUGGAUUUGGUCACUAUUGAUGGAGGCUGGUGACAACAUGUAUUCUCAAUUAAGGCACUAUGAUAUCUCAUGGGAUUGAGACAAUGUGUCUUUUGGGUGAUCUAAAAGACAUGUGAUCAUGAAAUCUAUGACCACCGUAAUUCCUUUAGUGGAAUUUGACUUAUGCUCAUUGGAGUUAGGCUAUGUUAGUUGAUCAUAUAAUCAGUAAGAUCUGUAACUCAAGGAUUUGAGAUGUAAUCUUGAUAGGUGAUAACAUUCCCUUGUUAGAUUACAAACACCAAUUCAUAGGGAGUCUACAUGUAAUGAAUAGUAGGUUAUGGACCGAACUUUGUCUCGUUGUUAUUUAAAUAGUGUACUGAAGUGGAGUUGAUUCUCUUUAGUGGAAUUUUGAAUCACAUUUAGAAUUAGAUUAUGAGGGAGCUAGUACUCCUAUGGGUCCUAAUGGUCCUCGCUCUGAGCUCAUAUACCAUGAUGACACAGUUUAUGAGGGUUGGAUUGACUCUAGGUUCAUUCUUGUGCAUAAGGGCAUUUGGUUAAUUUCGUAAGGUUGUAUAAGGGAUAACAAACCAGGUCUCUAGAUUGGGCUAAUUGAUUAAUUAGAUGACCCUAUGUGGUUAAAUAAUCAAUUUGGGCUUGUUUUGGACUAGAUUAAGUGACCCAAGCCUUGAUAGGCUUAAGUCACUUAAGGCCAAUGGACAACCCUAUAAAUGUAAAUAUUUGGCCAUUUAAAACUCAAAAAUCAAUAUAAUUAGUACUAAAAGGUUGUGAAACUUAAUAAUAUUAGAAAGUCAUAGACCAAAAUUUAUUUUAGGACAUGGUUAGUUUCUUCUUUGCAUAUAUCAUAUUUUUACUAAUUUUUUCAUUAGACAAAUAAAUUUCAAAUUAAGUAAGACCUAUUGAGUUGGAUUCAUGAAAGAGUCUUAUAAUAUUUAAAAAUAAGUUAAAACUCAAAUAAUGAUCCAAUCAAUAUUAAAAAUUGAUGGAUAAAAAUUGGUCUAAAAUGACUCUAUUAUUAUUAUUAUUAUUUUUUACAUUAAAUUAUUAUUUUCUGAUUUUGUUUCAUUAGGCAAAUAAACUUCAAAUUAAACAAGACUUAAUGCAUUAGAUUCAUCAAUGAGUCUAGUAAUUUUUUUAAAAAACUUAAAAUUCAAAUAGUGAUCCAAUCAAUACUAGAAAUUAAUGUACAAAAAUUGGUGUAGAACGACUCUUAUUUAUCUUUUCAUAUAAUUAUUAUUUUUCAAUUUUUUUUGCUAAGCAAAUAAACUUUAAAUUAAACAAAACAUAAUGCAUUGGAUUCAUCAACGAUUCUAGUAAUUUUUAAAAAUAAAUUAAAACUCAAAUAAUAAACCUAUUAAUAUAAAAAAUUUAUGGAUAAAAAUUGUUUACAAUGACUAUUAUUCCUUUUCUACAAAUAAUUAUAUUUUUAUAAAUUCUCUUAAUAGAAAAAUGAACUUCAAAUUAAGUGACCCUUUAUAUUAAAUUUAUUAUUAGGUUUAACAAUUUUUGAAAAUAAUUUGGAACUCAACAAAUAGAUAUAAUGAUUAAAAAAUGCUAAUAAAACAAAAUUGAUAAAUUAUAAGUCUUGACUUUACUAUUUCUCUAUACACACAACUAUACAUAUAUAUAUAUAUAUACUAAUUUUCUCACUAGGCAAAUAAAUUAUAAAUUAAGUAAGACACAAUUAAUAAUUUAAAUUCUUUAAUGAAUUUUAAAUUUUUUAAAAUAAUUUGGUUAUUUAAUUUUUAAUAAUAAUUUGGAAUUCAAAAAACCAAUCUAGUUAAUUUCAAAUUAAAUCAAAAUAUUUUAGAAUAUUAUGUUCAUAAUUGAAUACUAAAUAUGUGCAUGUAAUAAAAAAAACUUGGCUCAUGUACCUGUUAAAAAAUUAAACUUUAUUUGUUAUUCAUUUUAAAUAAAAUAUUAUUAAUAAUUAUUAUUUUAAAAUUAUUAUUAUUCACUUUUAACAAAAAUUUAUAAAGAUGUUAAUAUCCUUAUGUUUCUAAAAUUUACUAUAAUAUUACUAUUCAUGUUUAACUAAAAACUAUUUAUUUAUUAAUUUAUUUAUAAUUACAAAACUAUUUUCGGUUUUAAUAAGAUUUAGAAUAAAAUUUAAUUAAUAGUAUAUAAAUUGAAUUUACAAUAUUUUUACUAUAUCAAAAUAGAAAAUUAUUUUUAAAAAACAACUUAUCCAAAUAAAGUUUUUGUUUUUUAUUUUUAAGAAUUGUUUUUUAAAAACAACUUGUUAAACACCCUUAUUUUUAUAAAAUAUUAAAAAAAUAUUUUUUGUUCUUCAACUUAAAAACAAGUCUUUGAAAACAUGGCCAAAUGAACCCAAAAUUUGCAUAUCCACAACUUACAUGAGGCCUUUUCAUCAAGGAUAUCAAGGCCAUUUUGCUGUAUACUUGUUUUCUCUAUUAGGUUGCAAAGAAAAAUUUUGGAAGUGUACUAGGCUUUUGUUUUUUGUUCUUUUUUUUUACUUAUUUAUGGCAGUGGUUUUGUGUAACACCCCGACCUAGAAUCAGGGAUAUUUAUGCAAUUUAAAUUUUUUUUAAAAAUAGAGAGAAGUUAGAUGUUUGAUUCCUAUAAGUACUUACUAUCUUUAUCUUGUUAUGAUUUUCUCCUUUCCAAUUCUUCAUCCUUGUUAUUAGGAACGUUAAAAAAAAUAUAUAUAUAUAAAGAGAAUAGAGUUUUUAUGAUUAAUCUUUCAAGGAAAGAAUCUAACCUAUAAAUUUGAUAUUUUGGUUCCAUUUUCAUGGUAGUGUAAAAUAAAUAACCUCGAAUCUUUUAGGUAUUCUCUUGAAAAGAUUUGAAUUUAGGAUUAAUUUAUUUAAGAAAAAAAGAAAUAUAGAUAGGUUGAUUUAUUCAUGAAGAUAGAAAAAUUGUAUAGAUCCAAAUCAAUUAAAAAAAUAAAAUAAAAAUCUAUUGCAACAUUAGAAGAAGAAGUACAAACUUGGAUGGCCUAUUAGUUUAUUGUUACAUGUUUGAAAAAAAGAAAGAAAAAGAAAAAGAAAAAGAGAUAUUUUUAUGGGUUUCAAAUUUUAUGUUGGUGGUGUUAGGAUAAAGACCUUAAAAACAUGACAUGAUGUAAUACAUUUGAAAUUUAUUAUUUAUUUAAUUAUAUUUUAGUUACAUUUUUAUCUAUUCUUGUUUUAUGCAUUAUAUUUUAUGAGUAUUUUAACCUAUAUUUUUUACAUUUUACAUAACUUGAGUGCAUUAGGAGUUGCACGGAAGAUCCAAUUCAUGUGUUUUUUGUAAGUAAAUGAUUUGUUCACAACCGAAUUGAUUCCACGUUAUGAAGUUGAAGAAUGAAGUCACAAGAAGUAUAAUAAACCUGAAAUCUUCUGCCCGAUGACUCGAAGUUUGAUCUUGACAUACUUUCGAUGGGGAUGGAAGAGAGUGUAGAAACUAUUACCCCCCCUCUCUCUCUCUGUAGGUGGAAGACAACUCUCUAGAAAAAACUAUGGAAACCCUAACCCCUAAGGAGGGUAUUUAUAGGGUUUCCCAUUAGGCUUAAGUAACUUGAGCGUACUAAGGCUUAGAUCACUUAAUGGGUCCUAAUUGAUUAAUUAACCUAAUAGACUCUACAAAUUAAUCAAUUGGCCCAAUCUAGAGACCUCGUUCACUUACCCUUGCAUAACCUUACGUAAUUACCAAAAUGCCCUUAUGCACAAAAGUGAACCUAGAGUCAAUCCAACCCUUAUAACCUAUGCCAACAAAGUAUAUAAGCUUAGAACGGGGACAAUUAGGACCCAUAGGAGUAGUGGCUCCCUUAAAAUCCAAUUCUAAAGUUGAUUUAACAUCCCACUUUAGAGAAUCAAUUGAGCUCCAAUAUCCUAUGUAAAUAACAACGAGACACUAUGUGCUCGGGUCUAUGAGUUGUUAUCUAUUGCAUUCAAUCUACCUAUGAAUUGGUAUCCAUAGUUUAACAGGUGAAAGCUAUCAAUCUUUCAAGACUAACUCUACUAUCUUUGAGUUAUAAACCUUCCUAUUGUGUGUUUAAUUGACAUAUAUUAGCUUUCCAAGAGCAUGAUGUCAAGUUCCACUUAAGAACUACUAUGACCAUAGUUUACAUGAACACACCUCUUUAGGAUCAACCAAGGGGCACUUUGUCUCAAUCUUAUGAGAUAUUAUGAUGCCUCUAUUGAGAAUACCUAUUACUACCAGCUUUCUUCAAUAGUGACCCAAACUGUAGGGAAUAUAUGAUAUUCUUACAAUUUCACCCAUAAGUUAAUUAAAACAAUUGCUAACAUUAGCACAAAUUUAAUAUUCUCUCAAGGUUGAGAGAUAACACAAUGAAACAACUUGGUGAAGUCAUGGCUACUUGAUAGCCAUACACACUAGUGCAAUGUGUAACCAUACACACUUGUGCACUCAUAAUGGGAAACCCAUAUCGAUAGCUAAUGCUAGUCAUCCCUCUAAUAAGGAGGUGGUGCACUACAACCUUUAAUGGGUUGCCUAGACCCCAUGAACCAAUUAUGAAUGGGUCAUCUAUUCACAAGGAACUUGUGACUUGGAUCUUCCAUGCAACCCCUAAUGCACCCAAGUCAUGUAUAAUGCAAAAGAUGCAGACCAUGGAAAUAAGAUAGUUAAAAGUGAACUAGAACUUUAUUAAACAAAUAAUAAAAUUCAAGAGUUUAUUACAUCAUGUCAUACUUUUAAAGGCUUUAUCUUAACACUUAGGCCAUCCAUUUGAGGUUGUAGUACACUACCACUACAAGGAAAAAGCUACAUGGUGAUGUUUGUAAUGAGUCACCAUAAACAUAGGAUGUCACUACAACAUAGCGCAUCAGUUGAUCCACUAACACUGUAAAGAGUACCAAUUGGUGAUGUACUUGGAAGUGAUACCAAAGUAGAUAAAUGAUGACACAUUUAGAAGCGACACCAUAUAUUUUUGGUGAUGAUUAUUUUGUGUUGUGUGAGAUAUAUAGGGUGUCACAUUAAAUGCAUCACCUUUGAGUUAUGCUAUCACAUUAAAUGUAUCACUUUUGAGUUAUGGUGUCACAUCAUUGUAAAUGAUUGUGGAAGAUAUGGUUGCUUUUGGUUGAUUAACUAUUUGUGGAUUUUUGUAAUGCUUAUAAUUAACAAGUAAGAUUAACCCAUGUAUAUUUUAUCCAUAAAUAUAAUAAUCAUAUUAAUACAUCGCAUCAUCUAAUAAUAUUUGUAUAUCAAAUGUUCACAAAAGAGUAGUACAUCAAACAUGUCAAACCCACCAAAAUUAAAAAGGAAAAGUGAAUACAUACUAAAACAUGAUUUAGAAAUGUUAAACAUCCCAAAAUAAAUGUAUANNNNNNNNNNNNNNNNNNNNNNNNNNNNNNNNNNNNNNNNNNNNNNNNNNNNNNNNNNNNNNNNNNNNNNNNNNNNNNNNNNNNNNNNNNNNNNNNNNNNUCCCAAAAUAAAUGUUAUACCCCAUUUCAUAAGCAUAAAACGGCUAACUAUAAAAUGACACAAAUUUUUUAUUUAAAAACUAAAAUUUUCACUAUCAAUUAAAGUAAUAUUUAUGUCCUACAAUGUAUGAUAUAAGAAUCACAUUUAAAAACCCAAAAUCUUGUUGUCUUCUUUCUUUUUAUUCUCCAUUCCAUCCUCCCAAGAGUGUAUACCUGCAUUUUAUAGUUUAAUGAAUUUUAGAGUUUUUAUUGAAAAUAAAUAUGAAUUGAUGUUAUCAUAAAUGAAUAAACCUAAGAACUAUUUUUUUUCUUUCUUGUUUUCAAAUAGAAACAUUAUUAAAAGAAUAAGUAAUACUAUACAAUGCAUAUGAAAAAAGUUCAUAUAGUAGCUAAGGGACUCACCAUGCAUGAUCAUGCUGCAUCAACAUGAUUCACGAUUAAUUGUAACACAAAAAUAGCCCAUUCUCAUAUAAUUUCAUCAAAUUCUACUUGAGAAUAUGUUUUUUUUAUCACAAAAUUGAAAUCAAAUAAGAAAAUAACAUUAAUAUAAACAACAAUUGGAAGCCUAAACUAUGUACAAUUCACUAAAUGAGUAAUGCCUUUGACACAAUAAUUAUAGGAUCAACAAUUAUCUUUUUAAUGAAUCUCAUAACAAAGUAGCCACAUUUGAUACCUCCUUCUUGUCUUGGAUACUGUUGAGUUGAAUUGAUUUUUUCUUUGUAAUAUGUUGAAGCUAUCCUUGUAAAACAUGGGCUAAGGCUAAAUGGGUUGAGUCUUAUUGUUAAAUGGGUUUUAGGGUUAGGGUUGGUAUAUGAUAACUAGAACUCUUGUAAACUCUAUAAAUAGGUGGCUUGGGAAAACGUAAAAAGUGACUAGAAAAGGUGCAUGAGCCGUCUUUCAAUAGUGAAAUAGAAUUGCUCGCUCUCUGCCUGUGGACGUAGAUCACUUUGAUCGAACCACGUAAAUAUUGUGUUUGUUCUUGUGUUAUUGUUUUCUUCCAUUAUUCCGCGAUUCUAUUGCUUGCUUACUUGACAAGUGGUAUCAGAGCCCACAAACACCUGGGUUCAGAUCUGCAGAAGGAAGAUGUCUUCACAGAAAUUCGAAGUUGAGAAGUUCAAUGGGUCGAAUGAUUUCACCUUGUGGAAGCUGAAGAUGAAGGCGCUUCUGGUUCAGCAGAAGUGUGCACAAGCAAUAGAAGGGGAAGAAACAUUACCUAUAGGAUUGACAGCAGCAGAGAAGGAGGAAGUUGUGUCUAGGGCACAUAGUGCGAUUCUGUUGAGUCUAGCAGAUGAAGUUUUGAGGGAAGUAGCUGAUGAAACUACUGCAGUUGGCUUGUGGAGGAAGCUUGAAAGCAAGUACCANNNNNNNNNNNNNNNNNNNNNNNNNNNNNNNNNNNNNNNNNNNNNNNNNNNNNNNNNNNNNNNNNNNNNNNNNNNNNNNNNNNNNNNNNNNNNNNNNNNNGUUAAAGUUGAGGAAGAGGAUCAAGCCAUGAUUUUGUUAUGUUCUUUGCCUAGCUCUUAUGAAAAUUUUGUAGAUACUAUGAUGUAUGGUAGGGAUAGUAUCUCGAUAAAUGAUGUUAAGGAUGCUCUACAGUCUAAAGAAUUGCAGAAAUUAGUUUCUGGUUCUGGGGAAGGCAGUGUGGAGACUGGGUUAACUGUGAGUAGGGGCAGGAGCAUGGAACGAAAUGGUGGAGGACGUAGUAAGUCGCGUUCUAAAUCGAAGGCUGAAAUGAGAUGCUUUCACUGUAAAGAGAAAGGGCACUUUAGAAAGAACUGUCCACAAAGGCAAAAGGGAAUUGGUCAGGGGUCGAAUGGAAAUGCGCAGGUUGUAGUAGCUCAGAAAGAUUCUGAAAAACAGGAUAGUUCUGACGAGGGAGAAGGAGGAGAUGUUUUAACUGUUAGUACAUCUAGCUCUGCAGAAUCAUGGAUCUUGGAUACUGGUGCUUCGUAUCACAUGGCUUAUUCACGAGAUCUGUUCACUACUUUUAAAGAGUGGAACGGAAGUGUAAAGUUGGGAGAUGAUGGGGAGCUAGGUGUCAAAGGCAGUGGUUCUGUGCAGAUUAAAAUGUAUGACGGAUUGGUUAGGACAUUGAAUGCUUGGUAUGUUCCUGGACUGCGAAAGAAUUUGAUCUCUGUGGGUACACUGGAUAAAAAUGGGUACACAUUCUCUGGGAGUGGUGGAGUUCUUAGGGUGUCAAAAGGAGCUCUUGUGGUGAUGAAAGGCAGAUUACAACAUGGGAUUUACACAUUGAUGGGAAGUUCAGUGUUGGGAACGGCGGCUGUGUCAAGCUCCAUGGCUAUUGAUUCUGUAGAGAAGAAAGAUAAUUGUACUGAGUUGUGGCAUCGAAGAUUGGGACACAUGAGUGAGAAAGGGCUCUCUAUCUUGAGUAAGCAAGGGCUAUUAAGUGGUGCUGAGACCGGGAAGCUGAAAUUCUGUGAAACUUGUGUUAUGGGUAAACAGCGUAGGGUGAAGUUCAGUAUGGGUAGUCACACUACUAAUGGAGUUCUUGAGUAUAUUCACUCUGAUUUAUGGGGUCCUUCUCCGGUGGAGUCUCAUAGUGGAUGCAGGUACUAUGUUACUUUUAUUGAUGACUUCUCUAGAAAGGUGUGGGUGUACUUUCUGAAAGCAAAGGAUGAAGUGUUUGGGAAGUUCAAGGAGUGGAAGACUAUGGUGGAGAAACGGACUGGAAAAGUAGUCAAGACACUCAGAACAGAUAAUGGGUUGGAAUUCUGUAACAAGGAUUUCGACGAGUUCUGCAGAAAAGAAGGUAUAGUGAGGCACCGCACUGUACGACAUACGCCACAGCAAAAUGGAGUUGCAGAACGGAUGAACCAAACACUUGUACAACGUGCUAGAUGCAUGAGGAUAGACGCUGGGUUGUCAAAAAAGUUCUGGGCUGAAGCAGUUAACACUGCUGCUUAUCUGGUAAAUAGAUCGCCAUUGACUGCAAUUGAUUUUAAGACUCCUCAAGAGGUAUGGUCCGGUAAACCCUCUAAUUAUUCUGGCUUGAAAAUAUUUGGUUGUCCUGCAUAUGCUCAUGUUAGUGAUGGCAAGCUGGAGCCUAGGGCAAUGAAAUGCAUAUUUCUAGGGUAUGCGACUGGGGUGAAAGGUUAUCGUCUGUGGUGUACUGAAGAUAGAACCCCAAAAUUUAUUAUUAGCAGAGAUGUGACCUUUGAUGAAUUUGCUAUGUUUGGCCAGAGGAAGGAGUUUGGUGAUCUUGCAGGUACUAGUAAAACUGAUCUGGGUGCUAACCAGAAGGUGGAGUUUGAGGUCGAUGCUCCAAUGGAAAAUGGUGUAGAUGACACAUCUGAAGAACAGCCCGUGAUCGACCAGAAUGAUUCACAGAGUAUAGCAGCACAUAGACCAAGAAGGGAAAUCCGGAGACCUAUGAGGUAUGUGGAUUGUGUUAGUGCUAACAUCACUAAUCCUGUUGCUUUUGCUUUAGCAAUGGCUGAAGAGAUAGGAAGAGAGGAACCAAGGUCGUAUAAGGAGGCGAUGGAAAGUAAAGACUCGAAAAAGUAGCUAAGUUCCAUGAAUGACGAGAUGGCAUCAUUGAGAAAGAAUCAAACUUGGGAGCUUGUGCCUUUGCCUGAAGGAGUGAAACCUGUUGAUUGUAAAUGGCUUUUCAAAAUAAAGGAUGGGAUUUCAGAGGAUGAACCACCUAAGUACAAAUCAAGGCUUGUGGCGAAGGGUUUUUCACAAAAGGAGGGGAUUGACUACAAUGAAGUGUUCUCACCUGUUGUGAAGCAUAAAUCUAUUCGGGUCCUCUUAGCGAUGGUAAGCGUUUUUAACUUGGAGCUUGAUCAACUUGAUGUUAAAACUGCUUUUCUACAUGGAAAUCUAGAAAAGGAAAUUUAUAUGAAACAACUUGAGGGAUUUGUUGAUUCUGAAAAGUCUGAUCAUGUGUGUUUUUUGAAGAAGUCCUUGUAUGGGUUGAAGCAAUCUCCUAGGCAAUGGUACAAGAGGUUUGAUGCAUUUAUGGUUUCUCAUGAGUUUAUGCGAAAUUAGUAUGAUAGCUGUGUUUACUUUAAAACAUUGCCUGAUGGUUCAUUUAUUUAUUUGUUGCUAUAUGUGGAUGACAUGUUGAUUGCAGCUAAGAAUCGAGCUGAAAUUAACAAACUGAAACAAUUGUUGAGUAGUGAGUUUGAGAUGAAAGAUUUGGGUGCAGCUAAGAAAAUCUUGGGGAUGGAGAUUUGGAGAGACAGAGAUGCAGGCUUGUUGUAUGUCUCACAGCAAAAAUACAUUGACAAGUUAAUGCAGGCUUUCCAUAUGGAUCACUCUAAACCGGUGAGUACUCCAUUAGCUCAACAUUUUAAAUUUGAUCAUAGUACAUUGCCUAGCACUGAUGAGGAGGUGGAGUACAUGAAGAGUGUGCCUUACUCUAGUAUGGUUGGUAGUUUAAUGUAUGCUAUGGUGUGCACUAGACCAGAUCUUGCUUUUGCUGUUAGUGUUGUAAGCAGAUUCAUGAGUAACCCUGGUAAAGAUCAUUGGGAAGCCGUCAAGUGGAUUAUGCGUUAUUUGAAGGGUUCAAGUAGUGUAUGCUUGGUGUAUGGGAAUGGUGAUGUAUCUAGUGGAUUGGUUGGGUUUACUGAUUCUGAUCAUGGAGGAGAUCUCAUGAAGAGAAGAUCAUUGACCUGUUAUAUUUUCACUCUGUUUGGGUGUGCUAUUAGCUGGAGAGCUUCUUUGCAGCCAACAGUUGCUUUGUCUACAACUGAAGCGGAAUACAUGUCCUUGACAGAAGGGGUGAAAGAAGGUAUGUGGUUAAAUGGUUUUCUUGGCAGCUUGGGUUUGAAUUUGUCUAAGCCGGUUAUCUAUUGUGAUAGUCAAAGUGCUUUGUGUUUAGCAAAGAAUCCUGUUUAUCAUGAGAGGACAAAACAUAUUGAUGUUAGGUUGAACUUUAUUCGUGAUGUGAUCGAAGAAAAGUUAUUCUCCAUUGAGAAGGUUGCCACGGAAGUUAAUCCUGCAGAUAUGUUGACUAAGCCAAUUACUACUGAAAAGUUCAAGCAUAGCUUGGACUUGGUGAAUGUUUGCAAAGUUUGAGCUUGAGGCCCUUCGGGGCGUAGCAGAUGAGUAGUUCUAUAUUCUGAAUUGAAAGAAGAAAGAAAACUUAAUUCAAGGUGGAGAAUUGUUGAGUUGAAUUGAUUUUUUCUUUGUAAUAUGUUGAAGCUAUCCUUGUAAAACAUGGGCUAAGGCUAAAUGGGCCGAGUCUUAUUGUUAAAUGGGUUUUAGGGUUAGGGUUGGUAUAUGAUAACUAGAACUCUUGUAAACUCUAUAAAUAGGUGGCUUGGGAAAACGUAAAAAGUGACUGAAAGGUGCAUGAGCCGUCUUUCAAUAGUGAAAUAGAAUUGCUCACUCUAUGCCUGUGGACGUAGAUCACUUUGAUCGAACCACGUAAAUCUUGUGUUUGUUCUUGUGUUAUUGUUUUCUUCCAUUAUUCCGCGAUUCUAUUGCUUGCUUACUUGACAGAUACUAAUUGAUCAAUUAUAAAAUAACAUUAGUACUCUUAUAUAUAAACGGUGCAAAUUCAUAAUUUGAAUAUGUAAAGCAAAAUUUUGGAUCUCACUUGCAAUAAUUGCCAAGAUGGCUCCCUUUUAAAUGUUUUCUUCGCAAAUAUUCGAAGAGCCCUUUAUUAAAUAAGUUCAAUGGUUAGUUUUUUAAAAUAGGUAAAUGUUACAUGUUUUAAUAUAUAGAAAUAAAAAUAAAAUGUGUUUGAUGUGAAUGUCAUUUUAAAAAAAAAAUGCAUGAUUCAUGAAAAACAUGGUGCUAUGAAGCCUUUUAGCUGAGUUGGUGGUUAAUAUAUGGGGUGAUGUCAUAUGGCUGGAUGACUUAUUGUGAUGGUCGCAUCACAUCUAAAUUUUUGUGACCAUAUUUUAUAUGAAAAGGACAUUAAAAAAAUAUUAUUUUAUUAUUUUAAGAAUAAUUAAUAAAUCACUUUAUUCUCAAAUUAUCUAAACAAAAACUUAAUAAAAAAUAUUUCAUCCCAAUUUUAUUUUCAAAACUUUCUUAUCGACAAUUAUCUCAUAUGUAAAUUAUUUUAUUAUACAAAGAAAUUCUUAUUCUAUUUGUGAGAACAAUAUAGAAAAAGUCAUCUUCAUUAUAGCGUAAAGCAAAACAACAAUCUUCUACAUUGAAAAUUAGAGUUCAAAACAGAGCAAGAGUCUUCCAUGUUUAAUACACCUUUAGUGAUAGAAAUUGGAAGUCUAAAAUUCAAAACUCAUUAGAUAAUAAUACGAAGAAUUUUUCUACUUUUAAUGCUCAUUUAUUUAUAGUUUUCUUACUUAAUACUUACAAUUAUUAUUUAAAAGUUUUAUAUAUGAUUAAUGUUAAAACCUGUAGCAAGUACAAGUUUAAGGGAUAGUGGAUAAGUGCUAUGGUAAAGGUUUUGUCAAUUGAGCCAAAAAGUCAAAAUUGUAUAUGAAAACAAAAAUUAAGCUUUAAAAAAUAAAUUAAUUAACACAAAUGAUUUUAUGUAAACUUGUUUAUUAGACAUAUCAAAGAAGUCUAUUUUUAUAUUAUUUUUUAAAUCCUCUUAUUUUCAUAUGAGAAAUUUUCAUUUAUACUUAAAUUACUUUUAAAAAAUUAAUCAUUGCAAAAACAUUUUAUUUUUAAAAUUAUUUUCAACAUUCUUAUUAAAAAAAAAUUUAUCAUUUGAUUAUUUUCAAAAAAGAUAAAGCCCUAAAAAACCAUUUAUAGCCCAAUUUAAACUCAAAAAUUAUUCCCAGUAUUAUUAUUUUUUUACUCUUAAAUGCUUUUCAAGCAAAAUAACAAUUAUUGAUACAUUGGUUCAUUUUUAAAUACUUUCACAAGAAUAUAUUUUAACUAUAAGUUAUUUUAAUUUAUUAAAAUAUUUUCAGGAAAUGAACUAUUAUCCAUUUAUUACUAUCCUAUUUUUUAGAAAAUAUUUUCAAUCAUUUCAUACACGUUUUCAACUACUAAAAUGAUUUUUUUUAUAGAAUAAACAAAGAAGCAUACACUUCUCCUCCACUCACUAAGUCAACUAUUACAAUCGCGCACCCUAAUAUUUUAUUCACUUACCAAUAUUUCAUUCCAUUUAGGUGACUCUCAACAAAAUCAUAUCUAUAAUACCCUUUACUCUCUUAUGAUACCGAGUAUUUUAUUCCAUUUAGGUGACUCUCAACACAAAGAAAGUGGGGAACGUCUUCUUAUGUUAAUUGAACAAAGACCUUUUUGUUUUUGUUUUUGUUUUUUACUUUCUAAUAUGUAUAUAAAAAAAAUUAUUUAUUACAAGGAAUGUGAUAGAAAGAUCAUUUUAUUUUUAAAGAUUUUUUUUUAGAAUUUCUUAAGCAUUUACAAAUAAUAGAACCUAACAAUUUUAUUUCUAAAAAAAUGACCAAUUAGAAAAAAAAAAUAUUAUUUUAAGAAAAGUUAAUAAAUCACUUUAUUCUUGAAUUAUCUAAAUAAAACUUACCAAAAAAUACUUUAUCCCAAAUUUAUUUUCAAAACUUUCUUAUUAAUAACUGUCACAUACAUAAACUAUUUUACUAUACAAACAAAUUCUUAUUUUAUUUUCUUUAGAGAAAAACUCACUUGUUUAUUAGACAUCAAAGAAUGUAUUUUUAUGUCUAUAUAUAUUUAAAUUCUCUUAUUUUCAUACAAGAAAUUUCUAUUUAUGCCUAAAAUACUUUUAGAAAAAUCAUUGCCAAAAACAUUUUAUUUUUAAAAUUAUUUCCAACAUUCUUAUUUAAAAAAAAAAAAGAAGUUAUCAUUGGAUGAUUUUCAAAAAAAGAUAGUCCUAAAAAAAUUAAUCAUUUAUAGCUCAAUUUUAACUCAAAAAUUAUCCCCAAUAUUAUUUUUAAAUUCCUAAAUUAUUUCAAACAAAAUAACAAUUAUUGAUAUUUUGGUUCGUUUUUAAAUACUUUCACAAAAAUAUAUUUUAACCAUAGAUUAUUUUUAUUUAUCAAAAUAUUUUUAGGAAAGGAGCUAUUACCCAUUUAUUACUAUCCUAUUUUUCAAAAAUAUUUUCAGGCAUUUCAUUCAUGUUUUAAAAUUUCAAACACUAAAAUUAUUGUUUUUAUAGAAUAACAAAGCAUGCAAAUUUCAACUACUAAAAUUAUCGUUUUUAUAGAAUAAACAAAGCAACAUACACUUCUCUUCCACUUACUAAUUCAACUAUUACAGUCAUCUCAAUAUUUUAUUCACCUACCAAUAUUUCAUUCCAUUUAGGUGACUAAAAAAAAAUCAUAUCUACAAUACCCUUUACCACUAUAUGAUAUCCAAUAUUCUAUUCCAUUUAGGUGACUCUCAACACAAACAAAGUGGGAAGGUUUUCUUUGGUUAACUAAAGAAAACCCUAAACAACUUAAGUGCUUUUGGAUUAAUUGGGCGUCAUCUUGUAGCACUAGCCAAUAUGCUAUUGUUAGACUUCAUCCAAAAACUCCUAGCAUGGUGGAAAAAAGUACCAAAUGUAGUCAAGUCUUCAAUAAAAUAUUUUCACAUGUGAAAAAUUACAACCAAUACACUACAGUCAAGUCUUCAAUAAAAUAUUCUCAAAUGUGAAAACUUACAACCAACUAGUGUAUCUCUCAUUCUCAAUUAGACAAAAAUUUUAAAAAUCACUCAUUUUUCUUGUUUUCAUUCGUUUUGGGUCUUAUUAGCAAUGAAACGAAAAAUAUGUUAGAAUGUUAAACCUAGUUUUUACUUUCCUAAAACUCAAUAAAAAAUGUCAUUCACAAAACCUACAUCAUAGAUAUACUAAAUCAAGCAAUAUAAAACAAUUAUACUAAUAAAGAUUUUUGUAGUAAUAAAAAAUAAAUAAAGAUGAUAGAUAAGGGAUUUUGACUUACUCGAGAUUUUACAAAGCAAAGAAUAUCAGUUAUGGGUGUGUCGACCGUGGGUGUGAGAAAAAGGAGAAGAAGACGAUAGUUAGGGUUAAGAUCUUUUAUAUUAGUUAAUGUAUAUAUGGAAACAAUGGACUUUUCAUAAAUUUUUCCUACUCACUAUUUUAAAAAAGGACCCAUUGAGUUAUAAAAUUAAUUUUUUUUUAUAUUUCAUAUGGUGUCACUUCCAAAAAAUGAUACCAUUAAUAUAAAAUUAGCAUCAUCUAACUACCCCAAUUGAAGAUUUUUUAUAUGAUGUGUUGCCUUUAUAAAUUUUAAGCAUUGUGGUGUCAUUAUUUUAAAUGUGACACCAUAAAUUAUUUUAUAGUAGUGUACCUCUAUUGGGAUUGAACUCCUGAAAGAAAAACAUGAUGUAACAAAGUUAGACUUAACCAUCCCCUUGUUAUCUUUUUGGUGUAUUGACAUUGAUUCGAACAUUCAACUCAUGUCUCUUACAUUGUACAUGACUUAUGUGCAUUAGGAGUUACACGAAAGAUACAAGUCAUAGGUUCCUUGUAAGUAGAUAAGUUGUCUAUAGUCGAUUCAUGGAUUUGGGCAAUCUAAUAGAGACUGUAGUGCAUCACCUCCUAAUUGGAGGGAUGACUUGUCUUGGUCAUCGGGAUGAGUUUCCCAUGAUGGGUACACUAGUAUAUGUGAUGCACACUAGAUAGGAUCUACAAUGAAUUAUGACGCAAAGUUAUCAAUUGUCAUGAUUCACCAAGCUACUAUACUACAUGGACUCUCAACCUUGAGAGGAUAUUGAGCUUGCUCCAAAAUCAAUAAGAGGCUUUGACCAAUAGGUGAGACCCUAAAGUAGUCAUUUAUCCUUAUGGAUUGGGCCACUAUUGAUGGAGGCUGGUGACAACAGAUAUUCUCAAUAGAGACACUAUGAUAUCUCAUGGGAUUGAGACAAUGUGUCCUCUUGGGUGAUCCAAAGGACAUGUGAUCAUGAAAUCUAUGAACACUGUAAUUUCUUUAAUGGAAUUUGACUUAUGCUCCUUAGAGUUAGGGUAUGUUAGUUGAUCAUAUAAUAAGUGAGAUCUAUAAAUCAAGGAUUUGAGAGGUAAUCUUGAUAGAUGAUAACACUACCUUGUUAGAUUAUAGACAUCAAUUCAUAGGAAGUCUACAUGCAAUGGAUAGUAGGUUAUGGACCGAACUUCGUCUCGUUGUUAUAUAAAUAGUGUACUAGAGUGGAGUUGAUUCUAUUUAGUGGAAUAUUGAAUCAACUUCAGAAUUAGAUUACGAGGAAGCUAGUACUCCUAUGGGUCCCAAUGGUCCCCACUAUGAGCUCAUAUACCAAAAUGAUACAGUUAAUGAGGUUGGAUUGACUCUAGGUUCAUUCUUGUGUAUAAGGGCAUUUGGUUAAUUUUGUAAGAUUGCAUAGGAAAUAACGAACAAGAUCUCUAGAUUGGUUUAAUUGAUUAAUUAGAUGACCCUAUGUGGUUAAAUAAUCAAUUAAGGCUUGUUUUAGGCUAGAUUAAGUGACCUAAGCCUUGAUAGGCUUAAGUCACUUAAGCCCAAUGGGCAUCCCUAUAAAUACCCUUUUAUCGGUUAGGGUUUUCUAAUGACUUUUGGUGAGAGUUGUUUUCCACCUCCAGAGAGAGCAUAGUCUUCUCAUUUCCAAAACCCAUACUUUAGAGUGCUAAGAUCGUGGUUCAAGUCAUUAGACAAAAAAUCUUGGGUGUACGAGACCUCCUUGGAUGAAGGGCUACAACAUUGGAUGUGCACAAGUCACAUACACGAGAAGCUCACAGGACAUGGGACAUUCACAAGCCCCAUGCACGGGAAUCACACGAGACAUGCACAUGGAUAGCAGCAUGAGGAGAUAGACUCUCUAGUUUUUUCAAACAUGUUUUUCAGCAAAUGAAUUCUAUCUAGGAACAUCCAGAUCACAAGUAUGAGUUUUGUAUCUUUAGAUCUUUAUUCUAAAAUGGUUUUAAAGCUAUUAUUUUUCAUUUAUGUUAGAUCUAGAGAGCCCUGGGGAUAGAUGCAUGCAUCCUACGAGAUCCUGGACACAGGAACAAAGUAAUCCAAGGUUCCUAACAACCUCCUAAUUUGAGGGAUGAUUGACCUUGACCAUCGAGAAGAGGUCCCCAUGGUGAGUGCAUUAGUAUGUAUGGUUACACAUUGGACAAAACCUAUGGUGAGUCAUGAUGUAAAGCUAUCGGUUUGUUAUAACUUCAAUAGGCUACUAUGUUAUAUUAUCUCUCAACUUCGAGAGAAUAUUGAGCCUGUGCUGAAGUUAGUAAUGACUUUGAGCUAUAUAUGAGAUCCUAAAGUGAUCAUAUAUUCCUUAUUGAUUGGGCCACUAUUGAUAAAAGUUGGUAGCAAUGGGUGAUUGGAACCAAAAUAUGCACUCCAAUCACACAAAUAUGACAUGAUUUAUGUAACAUAAAAAGCUCCAAUUAUCUAAGUUAACUCAAAUUGAUGCUAAGACCCUAACUAUGGAUCUAACUUUUAUUUUGAGCCUAAUUCUAGGUUUAAGGGAUGAAAAGAAUGCUAAGUGUAAAAGUCAUUUUCAACCAAGGAAGUAGAAGAGGUUAAAUAUGCAUAAAUGAGAGACUUGGGACUUAUUAACUAUGAAGAGUCUAAGAAAUGACAUAAUGAGCAAACCAUAGGCAUGAAAUACUAGCAAGGGGUGUUAUGGAUUAAGAUAGAGGUCAAGAAACCAUAAUAGAGGAGGGUUGAACCACAUGCAAUCAAGUUCACAUGGAAAUUUAGAACUCAAAAUCUAGCUACAACAUAUUCUUUGAUUUUAAGGUAAAAUUUGGAGCACUUACUAAUGUCAUUUUUGGGCAUACUAUAUAUCAUUUUGAAGCUCGAGAAGUAAGGAGUCCAACGCUUUAAAUAGUGUGCAAAUCAAAAUUGUGAUGAGGAAGUUAUGCACGUUAGAAACAAACUAGUAGUGGGUGAGUUCAAAAUUCACAGUGAAUUUUGAACUUUCAUGUUUUCACUAGUAGGAAUAGAUCCUCUCUGUUAGAUCACCUUAGAUAAAUUAUAUAGGAUUCUUAUCAAAAUACUACUAAUUCUUGGGAAGACCUUGAUUGCUAGUUACUAUAGUUUGAUCCUAUUGUUAACGAAUUUAAGGGUUGAAUCUAUGAAGAUGGAUAUGGGAUUUUGAUUGAAUAAAAUUGAAAAUAAAAACAAACCAUCAUUUCUAAUUGAUUUAAGAUUUACAAUAAUGAGAUUAAUGACUGGUUGGGUUACAAAUUAUGAAUGUUUAGUCUCAUCCUUGUAAGUUAUAUUAGGGAAUGAUAUGGUAGGUUAUUACUAGAUACUAAUGAUUCCUAACAACUCUUGAUCAAGUUAUCUUGGUCUUCCCAAUCAUUACCUGCCUUAAAACAAAGCUACAAGGAGUAGGAAGGGUUAGCCUCAUAGCAAUGCUACAAGGAGUAGGAAGGGUUACAAAGCUAAACCUUAAACCAAUAAUUAAUCUCAUUUACUUGAUGUUUUAGGAAUCUAUUUUAAAAAGGAAAAACUAAGUUUCCAAUGCAAUAUUGGUCUUAAUAUUCAAUUUGGUUGUGGAUUGAUUUUGAUCUUAAAUCCUAAAUUUUAUAAUGUUCUUUCUCUCUCUCUAGGAAUUAACACUAGAUUGUGAAACUCUCUAGAACAUUCUUUCUUUUAUUUGAUUUAUUUCAUAAAAUAGUUUAGGAAAUUUUUAUUCAUGUUUAUCCCUAUUUAUUUAAAUUAAGAUUUCAGUAUUUUUAGCAAAUAAUUACUCCUUUUCAUCUAAAAGAAAAUAAACAAAUUAGAGUUGAUCCUAGAAGACAACAACCCACUACACUACAAAGUCGUGGUAACUCUAUCUCUAAUUUUUCUUAGCUAGAGUUAUCAUAUAUUUAAGCUUAAUUAUUUUAAUUACAAUAGAGAUUUGCAGUGAAUGGGUAUUCUUAAUGGAGAUACUAUGAUAUCUCAUGGACUUUAAGACAAUAUAUGCCCUUGGGUGAUCUUAAAGAUACGUGUUUAGAUAAACUAUGGUCAUAGUAGUUCCUUAAGCUCUUUGUGAGAUAGGACAUGUCAAUUGAUUACAUAAUAGGAGGAUUUGUAACUUAAUUAUAGUAGAGGUAAUCUUAAGUGGAUGAAAGUUUUUACCUUGUUAGAUUAUAGACAUCAAUUCAUUGGGAGAUUAUAUAUAGUGGAUAGUAGGUCACGAACCCGAACACUUAGUGUCUUGUUAUAAUAUGUAUAGGGUAUUAGAGAAUAAUUAUCUUAGUAUAAUGGGAUGUUUUGUCAACUUCAAAAUUGAAUUAUGAGAGAGCCAAUACUAUCCUAGAAGUUCCAAUGGUCCUCGUUCAAACAUAUAUACCUUGAUGACACAGUUUAUGAAGGUUGAAUUGACUUUUGGUUCACUUAUAUGCAAAAGGAUGUUUUGGUAACUACAUAAGGUUGCCCAGGAAUUAGUGGACAACAUCUCUAGAAUAGGUUAAUUGAUUAAUUGAAGUUUUGAUGGGUUAAUUAAUCAAUUAAAACUCUUUUUUGAGAUAGAUUAACUGACUUAAGUCGAAGGUAGGCUCAAGUCACUUAAGCUUAGUAGGAACCCUAUAAAUACCCCUUAUAAGAUUAAGGUUUCAAGUCUUCUUUUAUCAUUCUCCCUAUGUUCCAAAGAGAACCCUAACUUCCAUCCUCAUGACUUCCACCAUUUGUGUGCUUAGUUUCAAGAAAGAGUCAUUUGGAACAUUGGGGGUUUGUGAGAUCACAUUUGACUACCGCGGCAUCAAAUAAUGAUAUUCACCAUAAGGAUUCAAUCUAAACAUGUAAUCUAGGUCUUGUAAAUAGUUUUAAAUGUUAUAUUUUUGCUACACAUAGAUCUAGUAGCCUUAGGAGUAAUUUGAUGCACCUAACCUGAUCCUUGGACAGGAAUAAAGUAAUCUAGAUUUCCCAUCAGUUGGAUUACCUUGUUGAAAAGAAAAAUUGUUUUCAUGCUUUGAAAGGUAUGGUUUUCUAGGAAGCAUAUGACCACUGGUGUGGUGUAGUGAUUAUGUAUGAUGAAAAAAAAUAUAUAAAAAAUGAAUAAAAUAAAAUAAAAGAAUGCAGUGGGCUGCGAGGUUACAUAGUAGUGAUUGUGCUGUUGGAAGAGAUGAUAAUAAUUUGGUGAUGGUAUAGAUUAUUGGGAGAAGUGAGAGUAGGAAAGUAAAAUAAAAUUAUUAUAUAAAACAAUAAACAAAAACACAAUUAUGCUGGGCUAAUAACAUGACAACGGAAUCUGAAGCAAAGACAUGAAGAACAAUAAGAAACUAAAAACAUGAACCACCUUACACACAGACACACUCAACUCCAAAACCCUUACUGGUAGAAGUUAAACUUAAACCUAAAAUGAGAACCAUGAUCACAACAAAUUCAAGGGAAAGGAGGAGAACCAGCGCCACCACCAGGACCACCGAGUCCACCACCGGUGCCCACUCCACUGCCUAUGCCGCCUAGGGUUCCGAGACCACCGGUGCCACCCAAGCCACCCAAGCUGCCGAGCCCUCCUGUCCCACCUAGUCCACCUGCACUACCGAUUCCUCCGCCAACUCCGCUGACUCCACCUAGCCCACCAAAUGGCAGUCCAGAAUCACCUACUCCUGCAAAGCCACCGAGCCCGCCAAAGGUGGCGAUGUUCUUUUGGUCAUCGAGACCAGCAUCACUAGGCACAGUCCUUGCAGUGGUGUGAGCCACUGCUAGGGCAAGCACUGCCAUGAUAAACCACUUUGCCAUCUCUCUCUUUUCUCACUCACUCACUCACUCACACUCUAAUGCUUCUUUUUGAGUGUGUACUCUGUUGCACCUGAAGGGUGUUGCGGGUCUCCUUUUAAAGGCCUAAAGGGAGGUGGGGGACAGUUGCAAGUAGUAAAUGAAGUUAAAUGCUGAUCAGUCCACAGCUAUACUCAGUCGAUGGAAUUGAACAGGAUUUGUUGCGACUAUGCUCCGAGCCUCAGGGCCUCAAAUUGAUCAACAUCUAACAAAUAAAAAUGAAAAUCACUUGCAUAUCAUCAUGGCUUCCAUACAGAUAUUAUGCAAUAUGUAUGGCUGUGCUGGGAUUCAGAAAAAUGCCCCUGCCAAUAUUUGCAUGACAGAAAACCUAAAGGACAUGAAUAUUAGGGGUUUGUUUUGACGUACGUAAAAUUUGAAUGACAGGCCACAAAAAAUGUCUCUUUCUCUGGUAAUUCUUUCGCGUUUUAUUUUUCAUAUCCUGAAUUUUUCAGUUGAUCUCUAAGAGAAUGUAUGGAAAAAAUGAAUAGCAAAUUAGAUAAAUUGAUACCUAAUACUAUAUUAAUACCUCUCUGGGGUGCAUUUCGUCUUUUUGGGCUUACCAUAUGAGAUAGAAAGGGAUGCAAAAUAACAUAAAGAAAUUCUUGGAAUUAUUAUGUGUGGACCCCGCAUUUCGAUCGCUCGAAUGCGUUUCCCACUCGAUGGCGAACUCGAUUUUUAUUUUUGAAAAAAUUGAUUUUUAUUGAUUAUUUGAAAAUGACUUAGAGUCGCCACUUAUUUUUGUUUUAUUUUUAAAGGGUAAACAAAAUAAGAAAGAAAAACCCUAAGUGUGACUCCUUAUUUUGGAAAAGGUGGUCUGUGAAAAACCGGAUCGGGUUCGGGGGUCAGGUUACUUAUCAGGAAGGUACGGUAAAGACCGUAGCACCCUUCUAAGUCCCUAAAGUCGGGUCUCUACUAAUGAGAUGAAACUGACAUGGCAAUCAAUGAGAAAAUCAAUAAAUACUCGAAUCAAUCAUGCACAUAUGAGUAUCAGAAUAUGCAAUAGAGGAUAACUAAAGUGAAAGUGGAUGCGUACCUGAUCAGCAAACGGCAACGCGCUAUCACAAAAUGAGAUUAGUGCAUAGUAAUGAACAUAAAGUACAUGUCACCAAAACAGAGAAAGAAGCACCAAUAGCACGCAUGAUAUUUCAUUCAAAAUUCAUUGUUAUUUUUAAAGCAAAUUUAUUUGAUGUCGGGCCCCCACCAAAGCCCAUUUAUUUUUGCAUGAAUUAAUUCCAUAAAUUCUAUUAUUCGGAAUUACGGAAUUUAAUUCAUACUUAUUUUAAAACAUUUUAAAACAAAAGAGAUGUUGAAAUUGUUUGCCAGAAGGAAAGAUGGCAACCAAGUUUUAUUAGAAAAAGAGACUUUGGAACCUAAGGGGUUCUAAGGAUGAAGGAGGAGAGUUGAAAUUUAUCGGAAAAUCAAAAUUUGAAGAGUUGUUUACAAAAUGGAAAUUGAAAAAUUAUUUUUGAGGAAUGAGAGUGUGAGAAAUUAUUUUUUAAAAAUAGAUGAAAGGAGGAAGUGAGAAGGACACAUGGCCAAAGUAGUAUGCCCGAAGGUGGCCAUGUGAUACAUGCCCUGGAGGUUUGACUGGAUGCCAGAAUAGUCACUGAAUCAGGCCACGAUGCUAUGAGCCUUGCUUGCCCUUUAGACCCCAUCUUCAACUAUUAUUGACUUGGCGUGCCGAGCAUAGAAAUUCUUACUCACAACCAACCGACAUAUUCCCAUCCAUCUUUUCACAACAAAAACUCAAAACUCUAUGGCAAACUCGCUGAACAGCAUGUUAUCCAAGAAGCUUGAAUCGUAGUGACUCUCCUUUGAAUCUCUGUAGCCAGCUUUCUCAUCCUUCUUCCUUCUUACAGAGGUUAUUUUGAGUCUGAGUGGCACAAAUGAGAAUCCCUAGGCAUAUUGAAAUUGCCUUAACCCCAAAACCUGAGCCUCUGUUCUCAGCAAGUCUUCAGUCUGGGUCUGUCCGUGUUCGAUUAGGUCGACUCCAUCCUCUUUUGAUUGUGCAAGCAUGAUAGUGAUGAGUGUGUUGGCGGCACCUUGAUAUUCCCAUUUUGAUGCUCUGAUAUAGAGAACGUCCAGAUCAGCCCUUUCUUUGGCUACAGUUAUUCUUCAUGCAAUGACACCUUUGAACUAGUUGAAAAACUCCACAAAUAUCUAUCAAUGCGCCACGUGACGUCUACCUUGGAGUUUCCACGAUUGAUUUGUCUCUUUGCUGAAUGCAGGAGAGUGGCAUAAGCAUGACAUCACCCACAAUCUCAAAUGAGACUCUAAAUGAUAGACUUAUCCCAAGUGACUUAGCACAUUCCCUCACCUGUAUCUUUUGAAGCAAGCGGAUUCUUAUCAAAUCUAAAUAGCCGGGAUCACUUACAUUCGGAUCGGUGUUAAUAUUUCAUAGCCUGCAGCUUCCUUUCACAUAAAUACCUUCCCAUAUUGAUGUUACGAUUUGUACAAACUAGAAUAACAAGCUGCUCUGUGUCAUAGACUACACUCGUCAUCAUAUCUGACUAGUUCGCGCUGAUCAAAGAGGUUUCUCACCAUACUCACAGCUUCAUUGUGACGAAGGCAGCAAAGAAGAAUCUCAUCACAUGUGGCCAGUCAAGCUCUAGGCGCGCCAAACAUCUCCGUGUCUUUCAAGAAGGUCAUGCAUGCGUUAAAACGAUCAUGCAUAUGGGUAUGGUCUCCUCAAUCGAUGAGUGGACUGGGUGGUGGGGUUUAGUGAGAGAGAUGGGGCAACGGUUUGAGUAUAGAUAGGUGAUGGUGUAGAAUCUAUAAAGGUGGUAUAGAAACGGAGUGGAUUUGUAAGGCAUGGUGACAUGGGUAUGGUAGCAGCUUCUUGGAUUCCUCGGCAUCUUGUUGAGCAUUUCCUCAUCGCCCUGAUCAUCAAUCUUCUUUGCAUCAGGAUCUGCAUAUGGCUUAGACCUUCUGUAGGCAGUUAUCAUACCCAAGCAUCCAUUCGUAUACACUUCCACUGAAGAGUAGAAAGCACCAGAAGCCCUAUCCUCUGAAACGUCUUCACUUCAAACACAUAUUUUAUCUCCUCCACCUGCAGGUCCAAGAGAAGAGAAGCAUCGGUUUUACUGGAGCUUGACUUUCUCUUCUCACGGGCAUUUUCUUCAUGGGGACUCUCUAUCUGAUCUGUUGCUGCAGCUGCACUUUCUCCCUCAUUCUCAUGGCAUUCUAAUCUGCUUCCACGGAUGCUGCAACUGACACCACGGCCUCUUGAAUGCGAGUGGAAUCCAGCUGACGAUGGACCUAAUGGAGGUCUCCCAAUGGGUUUACUUUAAGAGCUUCUUGAGGGCUCAAAGGAUAUUGCAGAAUCUUGGACUUAGGACGCCAUCUGGAGGGAUUAUCAUGAUAUAAAAGGAACACGUGGCAGUUAUGCUGGAUAAGCUGAAAGUUCCAUGGCUUGAGGCUGCAAUUUGGUGUCAUUCUUGAACAGAGGAAACACUGAAUCUCUUACCAAUUAGAUACUUUACAUCAGAAACAGUGUUGAUGGGGUCAUAGGUAUUUGACCGCUGAGAUCACUAGACAUCAGCUGAAGAUUGAUCCAACUAUGAAUACUUGAGAGCUAGUGAUGGAUCAUUCCAAUGAGGUUGUCCUGAUUCGAAGUCAAAACCGCAGCUGCUUAAGAUCACCAAGGCCAGAUGCCAUUUCGUCUAUUAAUCUGUCACUGCUCGAAUGUAAGGUGGUCAGGUUCUCCGUCAUGAACAGUCCAGCAUCAAACAUCCUCCAGAAAUUCUUUUCAGUCAGCUCAGACGCUGCGUAUUGUGGCUGGAAUCCAGAGUUUUCAAUCGAUCAGUUCUCUAUUCCGCGAACUGCUUCUGCACCAUCAAACUGAGUUGUAUUCUCUCCAACGAGAUUGACAAGGACUCAGCAAACCAUCCUUAUUCUUCCUUGCUUAGCUCCUCUCCUUACUCUGCUUGUAACAACUUCAACCAGAGAAAACUCCCCUUAACAAUAAACCCACUGCUAUUUGAACUAUAUCACCACCUCCGGUUCCGAUGGCUGUGAGGAAUUCAGCCCUGUGUGCAAGUGAAACGCCUUCACCAUGGCUCUCCUACUGGAACAUAACUCAGAUUAAGAGCAACUUUAACUUGCUCAUAGGUGGCAAAAUAUGGGAAGGAAAACCAUAGAGGACAUGGGUUAAAUGGGAAGGAGGCAGUAGCAUUAACCACUACUAAAAGUCUCUCCUCUGGCAGGGUAACAAGCCUUGAACCAAUUUCUAUGAGCAGGACCUCAAAUUCACUAGCCAAAUGGGCGUGCUUGCUUCUAAGAGCCUCUGGGAUAUCCUUGACAGCGUCAAAAGCACUGGCAGCAGAAGAUACCAAACCAAAAAAAACACCAUUGCGCCUUAAUGCAUUUUGACCACCUUCAUUAAUGGUUGAAGAAUUCUGUUGCAUAGGUUGGUCAUUCCCAGCAUGUGCACUGCCAUCAAAUUCAUGUCUCAUAUUCCACAAAUACUAAGACAAAGCUUUCAAAGAAUCAGGAAUCAUUGGUGGCUGUAGUUGCUCUAGAGUAGCAUCAUUUGGAAGCAAAGAAGCACCAUUGAGAGAAACAGUUUGAUUAAUUGUAACAGCUUGGUUAAGUUGCUGUUCGCCAGAGUCUCUCAGGCCACUUAAACUAGAAGUUCCUAUGCCCCUCUCUGAGACAGGAUCCCAAAAUUUUGAAGAGGAUUUAUCUUCAUGUGAAGAAGAAACAGGGCAUGUAGCAUCAGUGAAGUCCCUAAACCAUACAAGCCCAUCCUCUGUACCACAGCUAGUAGUGAUAACUCUUUGCAUCGUCCUCAAAUCGAUUAUGGAAACAUAGGAACCAGCAGCAACAAAGAGCAAUGAUUCAUAACAUUUCAUGUCCACAGGUGCAUCAAGAACAGAAGUCAUUCCCACGCAGCAUGAAGAAUGGAUAUUCAUCUACUCCGGUCUCAAUGUCUUCAGCUAUUAGUCUUUCCAGAAGGUCCCUCAUGCUGAUUCUGGUCAUUCUUGGAACCUCGGCUUCCAGCUAUUGCUCUGACAGCGAAGCCAAAGCAAAAAUAGUAGCCUAUCUUAUUCUUCACCAGACUGUAGAACCAGCAACUUUUCUCUGAUGGGAGUGUGCAGCCAGACCUGGAUAUACCCUUUCAAAGCCAUUGCAUUGAGCAAGGCAUAGAAACAAAUAGUGGCCACAACAAAGAAGAGUCCAUAGAAAAUAGAACACAAAAGAAAAUGAGUAAAGGGGAUCUUCAGAGGCUUCACUUCAUGGGUCAUCAGUGAGCCCUCUGAUCAGGUGAGAAAGACCAUCUCAAAUGCAACUAUGAGCAUUUUCACAAUAGGAGCAAAACAUACUAAGAUUAACAGUGGUAAACAUGUAGGCAUGAUUAUGUUUCAACAAGCAAUAAGUGGCCUUCAUUAUCCACCCCAAGCAAACCAACAAAUAUCCAGAUAUCAACAAGAAAUGUAGAGGGAUAGCAAGGAUCCGAAAUCAAACAAUAUACCUGUUGUAUUCAUACCUGAGAGUGCCCUUCUCUUGCAAGGUUCUGUUCAGCUUCAAACACCUCAAAACCUCUGUCAAAAAGCCAUGAAAAACCUCCCUUUGCAGCUUCCAACUUCUUCCGUAGCAGCUUGCUCCUCCUUCUAGCAGCUUCCUCUCUCUUGCUUGCAACCCAAGCUUUUCUUUCUAGCUCUGUAACCAGUAACCUCUCCCAGAAAAAAUACUGUCCAAAGCUCCCGGAGUCCCUCUCUCCCCCUCCAAAAAAUCUCUUCUUUCUCUUUUUCUUUUCCUCUACCCCAAAAUAACCAAACAAAAAAAUCCUCUCCCAAAGAUCUCUGCAGUCUUCCCCUCUAAAGAUCUCUGCCCACUUUCCUCUAACGGCUGAGCCUCUCUCCCCCCACUACUCUGCACCACUACCUUGCUAAUAACAGAAGACGCUCCUCAAUACAACGGCCUGCAGAUCCUCAUGCCACUUGUCAACCUUCCAUUGGCAUCCUAAAAGCAUCAUCUGAUUCUGCACCAGCCUCUCAAGAGAAGACACGUGGUGAAACAAGGCUCUUCCACGUGGCAAAAUGAGCAGCUGCCCGAAUGGCCCCAAAUGGGGGGUCUACAUUAUGUUUUAAAUAAUUAAAAAAAAAAAAAAAAGAGUUAUGCAUGAUGUUAUUUAUUUUGACUGGAAUGGAGACAAAGUAUUAUAUAUAUAUAUUAACUUUAUUUGUUUUUUUCCAUAAAAUUUUACUUCAGGGUGUAGGUAAGAAGAUUAUCAAUCCACCAAACUGCUGAUAAUCUUUCAAUGUUAUGUUGGAAUCCAUGCGGUGUCUGGCUUUGUCAUUAUAGAUGUGUCAUUGUGAGAUGGAGAAUUAAUUAAGCCUUGGUUUGUAUUAUUUGAUUCUUUUUAGUUGAAGUCUUCACCAAAAAGAAUUGACAAACUUUUGAGAACAUUAUAAUCAUAAUGCCAAAAAAAAUAAAAAUUAUAGCUACACCCAUUUAAUCAAAUUAAGAUUUUUCAUGUUAGUUUGGAGUCAUGAAAAGGCUAAGUACUUUAUCCAAAUAAAAAUUAGUUAGGUCUCGUUUUUCUAGUCUGAUGAACAUGAUGAGAAUUUGGUGAGAACUGAAAGAUAAAGGCCAAGGGUUGCUGAAGCUCCACUUAUUGGGCAAAUACUAAGAGAGAAGGAGAGUGAGGUGAUCAGUGGAGUAGGGAGAAUCAAUAACAGCUCCUCCAGCUGCCCUUGACAGGACUAGGGCUGAGGAUGCUGACCUUGGAGGAGGAGACAGUAAAUGCAUUUGUGAGGACGGUUUGUGGACUCCUAUUAGUUUCACUUGUUCUUAAAAAUUCAUUUUGUGACCUACAACUCUGAUACACACAUAUUCAUGCUCAUGUAUAAUGCAUGCGAGAUAUCUAUCCCAUAUGCAUCUUCUUAACUAAGCCUAUUUAGCAACUGUUUUCUAUAACAAUUUUUGUUUUCUGGAAAUGAAAAAUAAAAAAAAAUAUUUUACAACUAGAAAACCAUUUUCUAUUUUAUGUUCGAAAGUAUAAAAAAUAUAAUAUUUUUAGAAAAAUAUCUUUUUAAAUAUUUUCGGUUGAUUUCCAAAAAUUACUUUAUAAAAUAAUUAUACAAAAAUGUAAAAUAAUAAAAAAUAAAGCAUUAGAUAUAAAAAUUAUUUUUAAAAUAUUAAAAAUAGGUUAAAAACAUAUUAGGUCCUAAACACAUUUUUAUUUUUCAAAACAUCAAAUAGUAGUUUUAAAAAACUGUUCAAAAAAAUUAUUUUUAAAAUUGUUUUUGAAAACAGUUACCAAACAAGGCUUAAGUAUAUUUUUUGUUUUUUAUUUUUAAAGUUAGAAAAAUAGUGGGAAUUUUCAUGUCAGAGACAAGUACUUUUGGAAAUUUAUAUUAAAAAAUUAAUGAUUUUAAAUUUGUUUAAAAAUUUUGAGAUAUUAAUAAAAUUUUACUAUUGAAAAAUUUUAAAUAUAUAUUGAGAAUAUAUAUCAACAAAUCCAACAAAAUUGAAAAACAAUACGGCAUAUAGUACUUCCACAAAUCAAGACUUUUAAAAAUAUGGAAGAAGAAAUUAAAAAAAAAAAUUACCACCACAAGAUACCUCUCCUUAUACUGGUUUACCUUGAGACUCCUAAAUAUAAAUAAUAAUAAUAAAAACCAGACCAGAAAAUACAAAUCACAAAAAAAACCAAACAUAACAUUUAGGAUUAAGUGUCAAAUGAGAAAUAAAAAUUAAAAAAAUUCAAAAUAGAUCACUAACAAAGAUUUUGGAAAUUGGCGGCUAGUUUGGCCUCAGUUCAAAUUAAGAAAUAUACCAUUUGAACCCAAUCUAAUCUCAAAUCCAAAAUACUUAAUUCAAACCCAAUUCAAACUCAAUUUUUAAACUUUAACUAAACUUUUAUUAAUUGGAUUAAGCUUGAGUUGGUUUGAUUAUAUGAUUUAAAAUACAUGUAAGAAAAAAAAAUGUAUAUAUUUAUAGAAAAAUGAAACAAGUAUAUAAUAUAAUUCUAAUUUGAUAUUUUUACUCAAAAAUCUAAAAAAAAUAAUAAAAAUGAAUAUUAUUAUACAAUAUAUAUUAAUUCUAAAUAUUCAAAAAAUAUUAAAUCAAAUAGAAAAAUGAAACAAGUUGUGGACCCCGCAUUUCGACUGGCUCGAAUGCGUUUCCCACUCGAUGGCGAGCUCGAUUAUUUAUUUGGAAAAAUUGAUUUUUAUUGAUUAAGAAAAAUGACUUGGAGUCGCCACUUAUUUUUUGUUUUAUUUUUAAAGGGUAAACAAAAUAAGAAAGAAAAACCCUAAGUGUGACUCCUUAUUUUGGAAAAGGUGAUCUACGGAAAACCGGAUCGGGUUCGGGGGUCAGGUUUCUUAUCGGGAAGGUACGGUAAAGACCGUAGCACCCCUCUAAGUCCCUAAAGUCGGGUCUCUACUAAUAGAAUGAAGCUGACGUGGCAAUCAAUGAGGAAAACGAUGAAUACUCAAAUCGAUCAUGCACAAUAUGAGAAGUAAAGCAUGUAUAAAGAAUAGGCGAAAUAUGAAUAGAUGCGCACCCGGACGGCAAACAGCAACGCGCUAUCAUGGAACAGGGUUAGUGAAUUAUGAACAGAUAUAAUUAAGCGCAUAUCAAGAACAGAGCAAAUCAAUCAUGCCGGGAAAGCCAAUCAACUAAUCAGUAAAUCAAUCAAACAAUCAAUCAAUCGUCAAUUCACAUAUGUGGGGCCCCCACCAAAGCCCAUUUAUUUUUGCAUGAAUUAAUUCCAUAAUUUCCAUUAUUCGGAAUUACGGAAUUUAAUAGAUGCUUAUUUUUUAAAACAUUUUAAAAUCAUGGAAAAUUCGAAAGUGGCUCGCCAAAAAGAAAAAGGCGACCAAAUUUUAUUGAAAAUGGGAUUUUGAGUCCUAAAAACUCUAAUGAUGAAAGCUUUGGAAACUUGAAGUUAUUUAAAAACCGGAAUUUAGGAAAUUAUUUACAAAACGAAGCUUGGAAAAAUCUUUUUCAAAAUCAAAGAGGAUUGGAGAAAAUGGAAAAUGACACGUGGCCCCUUGGUUGCAUGCCAAAGGUGGCCAUGCAAAACGGGUCAUGCUUGUGGGUCCAGUGCACAAGUGGGAUAGCCAUCUGUAGGUAUCACUGAUAGGGGUCUGAAGAAAUCAUAACCUUUCCUCUCCAACUUCUUCUACAUGUAGUCCUUGCUAUGCACAACUGACUUACACAAGGCCUGAAUUACAGAUGGGUCUCUUUCUUUAUAAGGGAAUCACCAACGUAGCAAUGGAGCCCGGGUCCCACAUAGGGAUUGGUCAGGCAGCUGACCUGCGGAAUGUUUAGUCUACUUCCAUAGGGUGCUCGUCAUAUGAGAAGGUAAAGGCAAAUGAGCAAGGAUGCCAUGAAUUUCAGGAUCAUCAUUAGUUUCUUCCUUAGGAUCAGGUUUGCUACCCUUCAACUCUGAAGUCUUUAUUUGAUGAAUCAUCUCCAUCGUUGCAGGUAUGUCCCCAAUCCCGUGUUCAUUGAUGGAGUAUCGCCAGUACUCUCUUGAAGAAAUUUUCUUGUCGACAUGUUCCCUAGAAACCNNNNNNNNNNNNNNNNNNNNNNNNNNNNNNNNNNNNNNNNNNNNNNNNNNNNNNNNNNNNNNNNNNNNNNNNNNNNNNNNNNNNNNNNNNNNNNNNNNNNNNNNNNNNNNNNNNNNNNNNNNNNNNNNNNNNNNNNNNNNNNNNNNNNNNNNNNNNNNNNNNNNNNNNNNNNNNNNNNNNNNNNNNNNNNNNNNNNNNNNNNNNNNNNNNNNNNNNNNNNNNNNNNNNNNNNNNNNNNNNNNNNNNNNNNNNNNNNNNNNNNNNNNNNNNNNNNNNNNNNNNNNNNNNNNNNNNNNNNNNNNNNNNNNNNNNNNNNNNNNNNNNNNNNNNNNNNNNNNNNNNNNNNNNNNNNNNNNNNNNNNNNNNNNNNNNNNNNNNNNNNNNNNNNNNNNNNNNNNNNNNNNNNNNNNNNNNNNNNNNNNNNNNNNNNNNNNNNNNNNNNNNNNNNNNNNNNNNNNNNNNNNNNNNNNNNNNNNNNNNNNNNNNNNNNNNNNNNNNNNNNNNNNNNNNNNNNNNNNNNNNNNNNNNNNNNNNNNNNNNNNNNNNNNNNNNNNNNNNNNNNNNNNNNNNNNNNNNNNNNNNNNNNNNNNNNNNNNNNNNNNNNNNNNNNNNNNNNNNNNNNNNNNNNNNNNNNNNNNNNNNNNNNNNNNNNNNNNNNNNNNNNNNNNNNNNNNNNNNNNNNNNNNNNNNNNNNNNNNNNNNNNNNNNNNNNNNNNNNNNNNNNNNNNNNNNNNNNNNNNNNNNNNNNNNNNNNNNNNNNNNNNNNNNNNNNNNNNNNNNNNNNNNNNNNNNNNNNNNNNNNNNNNNNNNNNNNNNNNNNNNNNNNNNNNNNNNNNNNNNNNNNNNNNNNNNNNNNNNNNNNNNNNNNNNNNNNNNNNNNNNNNNNNNNNNNNNNNNNNNNNNNNNNNNNNNNNNNNNNNNNNNNNNNNNNNNNNNNNNNNNNNNNNNNNNNNNNNNNNNNNNNNNNNNNNNNNNNNNNNNNNNNNNNNNNNNNNNNNNNNNNNNNNNNNNNNNNNNNNNNNNNNNNNNNNNNNNNNNNNNNNNNNNNNNNNNNNNNNNNNNNNNNNNNNNNNNNNNNNNNNNNNNNNNNNNNNNNNNNNNNNNNNNNNNNNNNNNNNNNNNNNNNNNNNNNNNNNNNNNNNNNNNNNNNNNNNNNNNNNNNNNNNNNNNNNNNNNNNNNNNNNNNNNNNNNNNNNNNNNNNNNNNNNNNNNNNNNNNNNNNNNNNNNNNNNNNNNNNNNNNNNNNNNNNNNNNNNNNNNNNNNNNNNNNNNNNNNNNNNNNNNNNNNNNNNNNNNNNNNNNNNNNNNNNNNNNNNNNNNNNNNNNNNNNNNNNNNNNNNNNNNNNNNNNNNNNNNNNNNNNNNNNNNNNNNNNNNNNNNNNNNNNNNNNNNNNNNNNNNNNNNNNNNNNNNNNNNNNNNNNNNNNNNNNNNNNNNNNNNNNNNNNNNNNNNNNNNNNNNNNNNNNNNNNNNNNNNNNNNNNNNNNNNNNNNNNNNNNNNNNNNNNNNNNNNNNNNNNNNNNNNNNNNNNNNNNNNNNNNNNNNNNNNNNNNNNNNNNNNNNNNNNNNNNNNNNNNNNNNNNNNNNNNNNNNNNNNNNNNNNNNNNNNNNNNNNNNNNNNNNNNNNNNNNNNNNNNNNNNNNNNNNNNNNNNNNNNNNNNNNNNNNNNNNNNNNNNNNNNNNNNNNNNNNNNNNNNNNNNNNNNNNNNNNNNNNNNNNNNNNNNNNNNNNNNNNNNNNNNNNNNNNNNNNNNNNNNNNNNNNNNNNNNNNNNNNNNNNNNNNNNNNNNNNNNNNNNNNNNNNNNNNNNNNNNNNNNNNNNNNNNNNNNNNNNNNNNNNNNNNNNNNNNNNNNNNNNNNNNNNNNNNNNNNNNNNNNNNNNNNNNNNNNNNNNNNNNNNNNNNNNNNNNNNNNNNNNNNNNNNNNNNNNNNNNNNNNNNNNNNNNNNNNNNNNNNNNNNNNNNNNNNNNNNNNNNNNNNNNNNNNNNNNNNNNNNNNNNNNNNNNNNNNNNNNNNNNNNNNNNNNNNNNNNNNNNNNNNNNNNNNNNNNNNNNNNNNNNNNNNNNNNNNNNNNNNNNNNNNNNNNNNNNNNNNNNNNNNNNNNNNNNNNNNNNNNNNNNNNNNNNNNNNNNNNNNNNNNNNNNNNNNNNNNNNNNNNNNNNNNNNNNNNNNNNNNNNNNNNNNNNNNNNNNNNNNNNNNNNNNNNNNNNNNNNNNNNNNNNNNNNNNNNNNNNNNNNNNNNNNNNNNNNNNNNNNNNNNNNNNNNNNNNNNNNNNNNNNNNNNNNNNNNNNNNNNNNNNNNNNNNNNNNNNNNNNNNNNNNNNNNNNNNNNNNNNNNNNNNNNNNNNNNNNNNNNNNNNNNNNNNNNNNNNNNNNNNNNNNNNNNNNNNNNNNNNNNNNNNNNNNNNNNNNNNNNNNNNNNNNNNNNNNNNNNNNNNNNNNNNNNNNNNNNNNNNNNNNNNNNNNNNNNNNNNNNNNNNNNNNNNNNNNNNNNNNNNNNNNNNNNNNNNNNNNNNNNNNNNNNNNNNNNNNNNNNNNNNNNNNNNNNNNNNNNNNNNNNNNNNNNNNNNNNNNNNNNNNNNNNNNNNNNNNNNNNNNNNNNNNNNNNNNNNNNNNNNNNNNNNNNNNNNNNNNNNNNNNNNNNNNNNNNNNNNNNNNNNNNNNNNNNNNNNNNNNNNNNNNNNNNNNNNNNNNNNNNNNNNNNNNNNNNNNNNNNNNNNNNNNNNNNNNNNNNNNNNNNNNNNNNNNNNNNNNNNNNNNNNNNNNNNNNNNNNNNNNNNNNNNNNNNNNNNNNNNNNNNNNNNNNNNNNNNNNNNNNNNNNNNNNNNNNNNNNNNNNNNNNNNNNNNNNNNNNNNNNNNNNNNNNNNNNNNNNNNNNNNNNNNNNNNNNNNNNNNNNNNNNNNNNNNNNNNNNNNNNNNNNNNNNNNNNNNNNNNNNNNNNNNNNNNNNNNNNNNNNNNNNNNNNNNNNNNNNNNNNNNNNNNNNNNNNNNNNNNNNNNNNNNNNNNNNNNNNNNNNNNNNNNNNNNNNNNNNNNNNNNNNNNNNNNNNNNNNNNNNNNNNNNNNNNNNNNNNNNNNNNNNNNNNNNNNNNNNNNNNNNNNNNNNNNNNNNNNNNNNNNNNNNNNNNNNNNNNNNNNNNNNNNNNNNNNNNNNNNNNNNNNNNNNNNNNNNNNNNNNNNNNNNNNNNNNNNNNNNNNNNNNNNNNNNNNNNNNNNNNNNNNNNNNNNNNNNNNNNNNNNNNNNNNNNNNNNNNNNNNNNNNNNNNNNNNNNNNNNNNNNNNNNNNNNNNNNNNNNNNNNNNNNNNNNNNNNNNNNNNNNNNNNNNNNNNNNNNNNNNNNNNNNNNNNNNNNNNNNNNNNNNNNNNNNNNNNNNNNNNNNNNNNNNNNNNNNNNNNNNNNNNNNNNNNNNNNNNNNNNNNNNNNNNNNNNNNNNNNNNNNNNNNNNNNNNNNNNNNNNNNNNNNNNNNNNNNNNNNNNNNNNNNNNNNNNNNNNNNNNNNNNNNNNNNNNNNNNNNNNNNNNNNNNNNNNNNNNNNNNNNNNNNNNNNNNNNNNNNNNNNNNNNNNNNNNNNNNNNNNNNNNNNNNNNNNNNNNNNNNNNNNNNNNNNNNNNNNNNNNNNNNNNNNNNNNNNNNNNNNNNNNNNNNNNNNNNNNNNNNNNNNNNNNNNNNNNNNNNNNNNNNNNNNNNNNNNNNNNNNNNNNNNNNNNNNNNNNNNNNNNNNNNNNNNNNNNNNNNNNNNNNNNNNNNNNNNNNNNNNNNNNNNNNNNNNNNNNNNNNNNNNNNNNNNNNNNNNNNNNNNNNNNNNNNNNNNNNNNNNNNNNNNNNNNNNNNNNNNNNNNNNNNNNNNNNNNNNNNNNNNNNNNNNNNNNNNNNNNNNNNNNNNNNNNNNNNNNNNNNNNNNNNNNNNNNNNNNNNNNNNNNNNNNNNNNNNNNNNNNNNNNNNNNNNNNNNNNNNNNNNNNNNNNNNNNNNNNNNNNNNNNNNNNNNNNNNNNNNNNNNNNNNNNNNNNNNNNNNNNNNNNNNNNNNNNNNNNNNNNNNNNNNNNNNNNNNNNNNNNNNNNNNNNNNNNNNNNNNNNNNNNNNNNNNNNNNNNNNNNNNNNNNNNNNNNNNNNNNNNNNNNNNNNNNNNNNNNNNNNNNNNNNNNNNNNNNNNNNNNNNNNNNNNNNNNNNNNNNNNNNNNNNNNNNNNNNNNNNNNNNNNNNNNNNNNNNNNNNNNNNNNNNNNNNNNNNNNNNNNNNNNNNNNNNNNNNNNNNNNNNNNNNNNNNNNNNNNNNNNNNNNNNNNNNNNNNNNNNNNNNNNNNNNNNNNNNNNNNNNNNNNNNNNNNNNNNNNNNNNNNNNNNNNNNNNNNNNNNNNNNNNNNNNNNNNNNNNNNNNNNNNNNNNNNNNNNNNNNNNNNNNNNNNNNNNNNNNNNNNNNNNNNNNNNNNNNNNNNNNNNNNNNNNNNNNNNNNNNNNNNNNNNNNNNNNNNNNNNNNNNNNNNNNNNNNNNNNNNNNNNNNNNNNNNNNNNNNNNNNNNNNNNNNNNNNNNNNNNNNNNNNNNNNNNNNNNNNNNNNNNNNNNNNNNNNNNNNNNNNNNNNNNNNNNNNNNNNNNNNNNNNNNNNNNNNNNNNNNNNNNNNNNNNNNNNNNNNNNNNNNNNNNNNNNNNNNNNNNNNNNNNNNNNNNNNNNNNNNNNNNNNNNNNNNNNNNNNNNNNNNNNNNNNNNNNNNNNNNNNNNNNNNNNNNNNNNNNNNNNNNNNNNNNNNNNNNNNNNNNNNNNNNNNNNNNNNNNNNNNNNNNNNNNNNNNNNNNNNNNNNNNNNNNNNNNNNNNNNNNNNNNNNNNNNNNNNNNNNNNNNNNNNNNNNNNNNNNNNNNNNNNNNNNNNNNNNNNNNNNNNNNNNNNNNNNNNNNNNNNNNNNNNNNNNNNNNNNNNNNNNNNNNNNNNNNNNNNNNNNNNNNNNNNNNNNNNNNNNNNNNNNNNNNNNNNNNNNNNNNNNNNNNNNNNNNNNNNNNNNNNNNNNNNNNNNNNNNNNNNNNNNNNNNNNNNNNNNNNNNNNNNNNNNNNNNNNNNNNNNNNNNNNNNNNNNNNNNNNNNNNNNNNNNNNNNNNNNNNNNNNNNNNNNNNNNNNNNNNNNNNNNNNNNNNNNNNNNNNNNNNNNNNNNNNNNNNNNNNNNNNNNNNNNNNNNNNNNNNNNNNNNNNNNNNNNNNNNNNNNNNNNNNNNNNNNNNNNNNNNNNNNNNNNNNNNNNNNNNNNNNNNNNNNNNNNNNNNNNNNNNNNNNNNNNNNNNNNNNNNNNNNNNNNNNNNNNNNNNNNNNNNNNNNNNNNNNNNNNNNNNNNNNNNNNNNNNNNNNNNNNNNNNNNNNNNNNNNNNNNNNNNNNNNNNNNNNNNNNNNNNNNNNNNNNNNNNNNNNNNNNNNNNNNNNNNNNNNNNNNNNNNNNNNNNNNNNNNNNNNNNNNNNNNNNNNNNNNNNNNNNNNNNNNNNNNNNNNNNNNNNNNNNNNNNNNNNNNNNNNNNNNNNNNNNNNNNNNNNNNNNNNNNNNNNNNNNNNNNNNNNNNNNNNNNNNNNNNNNNNNNNNNNNNNNNNNNNNNNNNNNNNNNNNNNNNNNNNNNNNNNNNNNNNNNNNNNNNNNNNNNNNNNNNNNNNNNNNNNNNNNNNNNNNNNNNNNNNNNNNNNNNNNNNNNNNNNNNNNNNNNNNNNNNNNNNNNNNNNNNNNNNNNNNNNNNNNNNNNNNNNNNNNNNNNNNNNNNNNNNNNNNNNNNNNNNNNNNNNNNNNNNNNNNNNNNNNNNNNNNNNNNNNNNNNNNNNNNNNNNNNNNNNNNNNNNNNNNNNNNNNNNNNNNNNNNNNNNNNNNNNNNNNNNNNNNNNNNNNNNNNNNNNNNNNNNNNNNNNNNNNNNNNNNNNNNNNNNNNNNNNNNNNNNNNNNNNNNNNNNNNNNNNNNNNNNNNNNNNNNNNNNNNNNNNNNNNNNNNNNNNNNNNNNNNNNNNNNNNNNNNNNNNNNNNNNNNNNNNNNNNNNNNNNNNNNNNNNNNNNNNNNNNNNNNNNNNNNNNNNNNNNNNNNNNNNNNNNNNNNNNNNNNNNNNNNNNNNNNNNNNNNNNNNNNNNNNNNNNNNNNNNNNNNNNNNNNNNNNNNNNNNNNNNNNNNNNNNNNNNNNNNNNNNNNNNNNNNNNNNNNNNNNNNNNNNNNNNNNNNNNNNNNNNNNNNNNNNNNNNNNNNNNNNNNNNNNNNNNNNNNNNNNNNNNNNNNNNNNNNNNNNNNNNNNNNNNNNNNNNNNNNNNNNNNNNNNNNNNNNNNNNNNNNNNNNNNNNNNNNNNNNNNNNNNNNNNNNNNNNNNNNNNNNNNNNNNNNNNNNNNNNNNNNNNNNNNNNNNNNNNNNNNNNNNNNNNNNNNNNNNNNNNNNNNNNNNNNNNNNNNNNNNNNNNNNNNNNNNNNNNNNNNNNNNNNNNNNNNNNNNNNNNNNNNNNNNNNNNNNNNNNNNNNNNNNNNNNNNNNNNNNNNNNNNNNNNNNNNNNNNNNNNNNNNNNNNNNNNNNNNNNNNNNNNNNNNNNNNNNNNNNNNNNNNNNNNNNNNNNNNNNNNNNNNNNNNNNNNNNNNNNNNNNNNNNNNNNNNNNNNNNNNNNNNNNNNNNNNNNNNNNNNNNNNNNNNNNNNNNNNNNNNNNNNNNNNNNNNNNNNNNNNNNNNNNNNNNNNNNNNNNNNNNNNNNNNNNNNNNNNNNNNNNNNNNNNNNNNNNNNNNNNNNNNNNNNNNNNNNNNNNNNNNNNNNNNNNNNNNNNNNNNNNNNNNNNNNNNNNNNNNNNNNNNNNNNNNNNNNNNNNNNNNNNNNNNNNNNNNNNNNNNNNNNNNNNNNNNNNNNNNNNNNNNNNNNNNNNNNNNNNNNNNNNNNNNNNNNNNNNNNNNNNNNNNNNNNNNNNNNNNNNNNNNNNNNNNNNNNNNNNNNNNNNNNNNNNNNNNNNNNNNNNNNNNNNNNNNNNNNNNNNNNNNNNNNNNNNNNNNNNNNNNNNNNNNNNNNNNNNNNNNNNNNNNNNNNNNNNNNNNNNNNNNNNNNNNNNNNNNNNNNNNNNNNNNNNNNNNNNNNNNNNNNNNNNNNNNNNNNNNNNNNNNNNNNNNNNNNNNNNNNNNNNNNNNNNNNNNNNNNNNNNNNNNNNNNNNNNNNNNNNNNNNNNNNNNNNNNNNNNNNNNNNNNNNNNNNNNNNNNNNNNNNNNNNNNNNNNNNNNNNNNNNNNNNNNNNNNNNNNNNNNNNNNNNNNNNNNNNNNNNNNNNNNNNNNNNNNNNNNNNNNNNNNNNNNNNNNNNNNNNNNNNNNNNNNNNNNNNNNNNNNNNNNNNNNNNNNNNNNNNNNNNNNNNNNNNNNNNNNNNNNNNNNNNNNNNNNNNNNNNNNNNNNNNNNNNNNNNNNNNNNNNNNNNNNNNNNNNNNNNNNNNNNNNNNNNNNNNNNNNNNNNNNNNNNNNNNNNNNNNNNNNNNNNNNNNNNNNNNNNNNNNNNNNNNNNNNNNNNNNNNNNNNNNNNNNNNNNNNNNNNNNNNNNNNNNNNNNNNNNNNNNNNNNNNNNNNNNNNNNNNNNNNNNNNNNNNNNNNNNNNNNNNNNNNNNNNNNNNNNNNNNNNNNNNNNNNNNNNNNNNNNNUAGGGUUGACAAAUAGCGUCAUCAAUUCCAACUUUAUUUGCAAUUCCCACAUUUGUACCCACAAACUGCCUGUAACCUCUCCUAUCUAAUAUCAUCCUUCUACAAUGACUGCAAGACUUGUAGAAGUAUAUGGACACACUUGGCUCCACCACAUAAUACCAUAGAUAAACACCAAAAUACAGAGGAGUGCAGAGGGAAAAAUUGAUAAAACAGAGCAAGAAUAGAUGAGAUGAAAGUGUAUUAAGCAAAACCUGUUCUCACAAAGUAUCAACAGGCUUACCAGCUGGUGGGAGAAAGAAGGGAUUUAAAUUAAAGGAUACGAGAGUGACCUUCAGACAUCACACAAUAAAUCUGGACUAUACUCAUGUUAUUUCUUCCAACACAAACACAGAAAAAUCAGAUGGUGAUGCAAUCAUAGCAGGUCCAGGGGAUGCUCAGAAAUCAAUAAAAAUGGUCAUAGGAUAUCCGCACACAAAUAGCUAAAUGAUACUCAGCAAUACACAGAGGAGAGUGGAUAGCAAAAGAACUAUAGAAACAGAUAAGAAAACUCCCUGGAAAUACCUCUCUACCUCCUCUGUUUUGCUCUUCUCAGCCAAAAAAUCUCUCCUCUCUCCGGUUCCUCUAAGCUUUCUGAAAUCUGCCCUCCUUUCUCAGCUUCCUUCCUGAAGCUCCUCCCAAAAAGAACCAAACAAAAGCUCUCCCCCUCUCUCUGUUCUCUCCUUCUCUCCGUAACUCUCCCUCUCUCUCUGUUCUCUCCUUCUCUAGUUGCUCUCCAGAAAUCCUUCUCUCUAACCUCUCCAGCUUGCUCCCCCCCUCUAAGUUCAACUAUCCUUCUCUCAAGCUCUCCUCCCACUCUCACCUUUCUCACCAAAGCCACUUUUUCUCCAAGCCACCACACCAAAAGCUCCUCUUUUUCUCUAGCUAAACUCCUCUAAGCCUUCCCUCCGUAGCAGCCUAAGCUCCAGGAAUCCUCUCCACAAAAAAAAACCAAAAAAACCCAAAGCUCUCUCUCUAACGGCCUGCUAAAAGCAAAACCCCCCCCUCUCUAGAAGAUCUCUGCAGCCUUCUCUAAAAGCUACCACCACCUGCAGGAGACGUUCCCCAUAACAGAAACGUACCUCUUCUGCAACUCCCCUCCAGGUGUCAACCUCUGAUUCGUCCCUCAAUUCCACUAUUUUGAUCCCAUAUUGCCUAAUCCGGGAGUGACACGUGGCCAUGCAAGAUGGUGACACUUGUCAAGCAUCAGCUGCAAGAAUGACUCCCAAAAUGGGGUUCUACACAAGUAUAUAAUAUAAUUCUAAUUUGAUAUUUUUACUCAAAAAUCUAAAAAACAAUAAUAAAAAUGAAUAUUAUUAUACAAUAUAUAUUAAUUAUAAAUAUUAAAAAAAUAUUAAAUCGAAUUCAAGUAGAUUCAAGUUAUAUAAAUCUUAGCCUUAACUCAAUCCAAUCAAAAUUGAGUUUGGAUUAAAAAAACUUUCACAACUAUUAACAAUGAUUAUUUAAAUUAAUUCAAAAGUCAAAUUAAGUUUGGACCCGGUCCACACAAAUUACGAUGCUUACCUAUGACCCAUGAAAUUGUAUACUUUAUUUAAGUAAUUUUAAAAUUUAUAGUUAGUUAUAUUUAAUGUUUAUUUCUAAUUUUUCACUUAUUUAUAUAAAAUCUUUUAUGAUGUCCCAUUGGAUAAAGGAAAAAAACUUCUGAAGUUAUUUUUGUAGAUGCAUUUUAAAAAGGGCCACAAUGAUGAUGUAGCAUGGAGAUGUUUUAUGAUAUCCCAUAUUAAAUUAACAUGAAAAUUUCAAAAAGAAAAAGGAAAAAAACUUCUAAAGUUAUUUUUGUAGAUGUAUUUUAAAAAUGGCCACAAUGAUGAUGUGGCGUGGAGAUGUUUUGUGAUAUCCCAUAUUAAAUAGGGGAGAGUAGGUUUCGCUACAUUUUUACUCUUUUAAGUAUAUUUAUCUUAGUGAAAGUAUUCCUAAAAUCCUAAUACGUAUCUAACAUGAAAAUUUCAAAAAGAAAGAGUAUGUACACAUAUAAUCGCAUGAAUUCGUCGUCGUUAAUGCAAAUUGGUGGACUUUUUUCAAUAGUACAGUAAUUUUAAAAAGUUAUGCUUAAAUUAUUGUAGUAGAAGAAGUUAUUACAAAUAUAUGGUAGUUUUUGCUAUAUAAAAGAGAGGGUGAACGGAUAAAUUCUUUUAAAAAAGGGAACUCGUCUCUUCAAGAGACGAGUUCCAUGAAAAAAAAAUAUAUAUAUUUUAAAAAUUCCCCAUUUACUCAAGGGAACUCGUCUCUUCAAGAGACGAGUUCCAAUUAAAAUAUAUAUAUAUAUAUAUAUAUAUAUAUAUAUUUUAAAAAUUCCCAAAUUAAAAAAAAAAAAAAAAAACAAUUCCUCAAUGGAACUCAACUCGGAAAGAAGAGACGAGUUCCCAUGGAAAAAAAAUAUUUUUUUAAAAAAAAAAUAUAUAUAUAUAUAUAUAUAUAUAUUUUAAAAAUUCCCAAAAAAUAAAAAUAAAAAAAAAAGAAUUUCCUCAAGGAACUUGUCUCUUCAAGAGACGAGUUCACAUGGGAAAAAAAAAUAUUUUUUUUAAAAAAUGUAUAUAUAUAUUUUAAAAAUUCCCAAAUAAAAAAAAAAGAAAAAAAAAAAGGAAUUUAAGGGAACUCGUCUCUUCAAGAGACGAGUUCCCAUGGAAAUUUUUUUUUUUAAAUAUAUAUUUUUUUUAAAAAAAUUCCUAAUUUAAAAAAAAAAAAAAAAAGAAUUUCCUCAAGGAAAAGAGACGAGUUCCCAUGGAAAAAAAAUAUUUUUUUUAAAUAUAUAUAUUUAAAAAAAUUCCCAAAUUAAAGAAAAAAAAAAGGAAUCUCUUCAAGAGACGAGUUCCCAUGAAAAAAAAUAUAUAUAUUUUAUAUAUAUAUUUUUAAAAAAUAUUUUAUAAAAAAUUUUUUUUUUUUAUAAAAUAUAUAAAAAUAAUUUUUUUUUUCAUGGGAACUCGUCUCUUGAAGAGAUGAGUUCCCUUGAGGAAUUUUUUUUUUUUUUUUAAUUUGGGAUUUUUUUUCAUGGGAACUCGUCUCUUCAAGAGACGACUUCCUCGAGGAAAUGUUUUUUUUUUUUUGGAAUUUUUUAUAUAUAUAUAUAUAUAUAUAUAUAUAUAUAUAUAUAUAUAUAUAUAUAUUCAUGGAAGUUCCCUCGAGGAAAUUUCUUUUUUUUUUUUUUAAUUUGGGAAUUUUUUUUUCCAUGGCGGAUUGUUUUUUUUUUUUUUUUNNNNNNNNNNNNNNNNNNNNNNNNNNNNNNNNNNNNNNNNNNNNNNNNNNNNNNNNNNNNNNNNNNNNNNNNNNNNNNNNNNNNNNNNNNNNNNNNNNNNAAAAAAAAAAGUUCCCCGGGAAGGGGUCUCUUCAAGAGACGAGUUCCCCUUAGUUGAUUUUUUGGGAUUUUUUUAAAAAAAAUAUUAUAGUUCCCUUUUUUAUUUAAUUUUAAUUUUCGAAUUUUUUUAAAAAAAAAAUUUUAUUUUUUUUAAAAUUAAUAUAUAUUUUUUUCCAAGGAACUCAUUUCUUGAAGAGACGAGUUUCCCUGAGGAGUUUUUUUUUUUUUUUUUUUUUUUUUAAUAAUUUAGGAAUUUAAAAAAAAAAUAUUUUUUUUUUCAUGGGAAGAGACGAGUUCCAUUGAGAAAUUGUUCUUUUUUUUUUUUUUUUUUUUAAUUUGGGAAUUUUUAGAAAAAAUAUAUAUUUUUUUUUAAUGGGAACUCGUCUCUUCAAGAGACGAGUUUCCUUGAGGAAUUGUUUUUUUGAGGAAUUUUAUUUUAUUUUAUUUGGGAAUUCCAUGGAAACUCGUCUCUUGAAGAGACGAGUUCCCUUGAGCAACUGUUUUUUUUUUUUUUUAUUUUAUAAUUUGGAAAAUUUUAAAAUAUAUAUAUAUAUUUUAUAAAAAAAAUAUUUUUUUUUUCAUGGAACUCGUCUCUUGAAGAGACGAGUUCCCUUGAGUAAAUGGGGAAUUUUUUUAAAAAAAUAUAAAUUUUUUUCAUGAAACUCGUCUCUUGAAGAGAUGAGUUCCCUUUUUUAAAAAAAUUUAUCCAUUCACCCUCUCUCCUCUCUCCUCUCUCCUCUCUCCUCUCUCCUAUGUGGUAAAAGCUAUCAUAUAUUUGUAAUAAUUUUUUCUACUAUAAUAAUUUAAGUAUAACUUUUUUAAAUUACUAUACUAUUGAGAAAAGUUCCGCAAUUGCGACCGCCCUCGGUUAAAGAAGGAAACAAAAAACUCCACCGGCUAUUAACGUCAAGAUGACAUGGAUGGAUAAGAAUCAGAGUGGAUACGCCUGUCGCCAAACAUGCCAAACCACUGGCGGUUCUUUUGAAAGCUUCUCGGCCAUCGAUCUUAUUGACUUCUCAUCUCCAUCACAUGUUCUCCUACGCCCACUGCUCCUCACCACACUUGGGGUGGCUUCCCAUUUUUCCCUUUACUCAAUUAUUGAUUUCAUCUGGGCCCACAUAAGAGGCUAUCCAAUAACCUUCUUGGAUCAUUAACUUUGGGAUUUGACUUUCAUGUGGGUUGUAUAAGUUGUUUUGCAAAAAUGUAAUUCAACUUUUUGAAAGUUCCAACAACCGUGAAGUGAUUGGUAGUGAAACAUGCUAUGUUCGUCAUCGGAAAGUAUUAAGGAAAGAAAUUAUAUAUAUAUAUAUUUAUGUUAUUGUAUUAAAAUGAGUAAGAAAUUUAUAUAUUUAUAAAUUAUUUAAUUUUUAUAUGUAAGAGUUAAAUUAGUGAAAUAAGUUUGAUGUAUGAUAUAACAAUAAUUUAUUGACUUUAAAUUUACUUUUUAUUUUUUUAACCUCUGUUUUUGUUCUAUUUUUCUUUUUUAUUUUCUUUUCUUCAAAUUUUAUGGGAACCAAAUAUGUACUAUAUGAACUUUCAUGGUAGAAAAUGAGUUUUUCACGAGAAAGGUAUUUCUCAUCAAAAUUUUUUAUUUUUAAUGAUGAAAAGUUUGUUUGUGAUGAAAAAAAAAAUAUUUAGUCACCAUAUAUACAUGUGAUACAUAAUUUUUUUUAUUUAUAAUUUUUAGUUAUGAAAUUAAUAUUUAUAGCAAAAAAACAUAUUUAAAAACAAUAUUUAUUAAUUUUUUUUUAAAAAUCUUUUUCAAUAAAUUAAUUUUUAGUUUAUACCAAUAAAUCCCAUUUAUACACAAAAUCAAUUUGUAAUAAAUAGUUCUCUAUUUAUAAAAUAUUUGAUAGAAUUUUUGAAAGAGCUGAAAUGAUCAAAUUGACAAUAAAAACAUUGUUUUAUAGGUGAAAUUGGUUAAACAUGAGGAUGAUGGUGGCGAAAACGGUUGAAGAAUGGAACAAUAUUUAACUGUGGGGGAUAAUAAACUAAGAUAAUGCUCGGACAACUUGUCUAUAUUUGGCCAUUUGUUGGGAUUUGAUGCUUACAUCUAGUGAGAUGCUUACAGCAUAUGUUCAUCUAUUUGUAUUUUAGAGUGGAGAGACUAGUACCAAGCAUAUCGUUCUCUAUUUUGCUUUCAUUGGUGCGUAGUUAAGCUUGUCAAUGAGUUAUGGUAAGGUGUUAACCCAAGUGGACAAAGAGAGAGAGUGAGAGAAUCCGCAAAACUUAAAGAGUCUAUUUUACCAUGUCAGUAAAAAAUAGCCUUUAAAAAUUCAUAAUACUAUUUGACUAUUGUUCUCUAUUUAUAAUUUUGAAAAACAAGUGAAAAUAAAGAACAAUUUUUAGAGAAUAAAUAAAAGUUAUUUUCAUUAAUUUUUAAAAAUGAAAGAAAAAUAUAAGGAAAUUUAAAAAAAAUCAUAAAAAACUAAAUAAAAUUGAACAUCAUAUCCUUUUUUUUUUUCUUUCCCAGAGAUCUAAUAUUGAUAUUGAAAAUCUUUAAAUAUUAUUUUCUUACAAAUUACACUUGUUUUUCUAAAUUUCUUUGAACUUCUUUAAAAUUUUUCAUUCAACAAAUAAAUUCUAAAUCAAAUUAUACUUUAUAUAUAACAUUUAUUAAUUGUUUUAAAUAAUUUAAAACUCAAAAAUUGAUAUAAUUAGUACUAAAAGGUUGUGGAACUUAAUAAUAUUAGAAAGUCAUAGACCAAAAUUUAUUUUAGGACAUAGUUUCUUCUUUACAUAUAGCAUAUUUUUACUAAUUUUUUCAUUAGAAAAAUAAAUUUCAAAUUAAGUAAGACCUAUUGAGUUGGAUUCAUGAAUGAGUUUAAUAAUUUUUAAAAAUAACUUAAAACUCAAAUAAUGAUCCAAUCAAUAUUAGAAAUUGAUGGAUAAAAAUUGGUCUAAAAUGACUCUAUUAUUAUUAUUAUUAUUUUACAUAGAAUUAUUAUUUUCUGAUUUUGUUUUAUUAUGCAAAUAAAUUUCAAAUUAAAUAAGACUUAAUGCAUUAGAUUCAUCAAUGAGUCUAGUAAUUUUUAAAAAUAACUUAAAACUCAAAUAGUGAUCCAAUCAAUACUAGAAAUUGAUGUAUAAAAAUUGGUAUAGAACGACUCUUAUUUCACUUUUACAUAUAAUUAUUAUUUUUCAAAUUUUUUUUUGCUAGGCAAAUAAACUUUAAAUUAAACAAAACAUAAUGCAUUGGAUUCAUCAAUGAGUCUAGUAAUUUUUUAAAAUAAAUUCAAAUUCAAAUAGUAAACCUAUUAAUAUAAAAAAUUUAUGGAUAAAUAUUGGUUUACAAUGACUAUUAUUUCUUUUCUACAGAUAAUUAUAUUUUUAUAAAUUCUCUUACUAGAAAAUGAACUUCAAAUUAAGUGACGCUUUAUAUUAAAUUUAUUAUUGGGUUUAACAAUUUUUAAAAAUAAUUUGGAACUCAAAAAAUAGAUCUAAUCACUAAAAAAAAAACUAAUAAAUCAAAAUUGAUAUAUUAUGAGUCUUGACUUUACUAUUUCUUUAUACACACAACUAUAUAUAUAUACUAAUUUUCUCAUUAGGAAAAUAAAUUAUAAAUUAAGUAAGACACAAUUCAUAAUUUAAAUUCUUUAAUGAAUUUUAAUUUUUUUUAAAUAAUUUGGUUAUUUAAUUUUUAAAAAUAAUUUGGAAUUCAAAAAACCAAUCUAGUUAAUUUCAAAUUAAAUCAAAAUAUCUUAGAAUAUUAUGUUCAUAAUUGAAUACUGUGUAUGUAAUAAAAAACUUAGAUCAUUUACAUGUUAAAAAAUUAAAUUUUAUUCAUGAUUCAUCUUAAAUAAAAUAUUAUUAAUAAUUAUUAUUUUAAAAUUAUUACUGUUCCCUUUUAACAAAAAAUUUAUAAAGAUGUAAAUAUCCUUAUAUUUCUAACAUGUACUAUAAUAUUACUAUUCAUGUUUUACUAAAAACUAUUUAUUUAUUAAUCUAUUUAUAAUUGCAAAACUAUUUUCGGUUUUAAUAAGAUUUAGAAUAAAAUUUAAUUCAUAUUAUAUAAAUUGAAUUUACAAUAUUUUUACCAUGUCAAAAUAGAAAAAUUAUUUUAAAAAACAAAUUAUCCAAAUAAAGUUUUUGGUUUUUAUUUUUAAGAAUUGUUUUUAAAAACAACUUGCCAAACAUGCUUAUUUUUAUAAAAUAUUAAAAAACUAUUUUUUGUUCUUCAUAUGAGAAAAUUCUUUAUUGUUUUUUUUUCAAAACAUUAGAUUAUGUAUCGAAAGAGAAGUAUGAGAUAAAGGGUAUUUCCGAUUUUAUCUUAUCUAUCGGGGGUCCGUUUCAGCGUCACAAACUUUUUGUUUUCACACCAGAAGGCUCUUAACAAUCUUUAUGUUAUGAAAGGAUACGAAAAUAAAAAAUAAUCUUAUUUGGUUCUUAUUUUAUUUGAUCAGAUCAAAAAGAAACUUUGGGAUUGCUGAAUCAUAGAGGAAAUAAAUAUAUAACGUAACAGAGCCAUCAUAGUAUUUUUUAACUUCUCCGAAAGGAAGGGUGGUAAUUGGAUCAUUUACUGAUCUGGAUCUAACAGAUCCUACAUUUUUCGAUGGCAGGUAAAAGUCAAUUCCAUUGUAGAGUCGUAUGCAAUUCGCAAAAUUAAAAAACAAGUCUUUGAAAACAUGGCAAAUGAACCCAAAAUUUGCGUAUCCACAACUUACAUGAAGCCUUUUCAUCAAGGAUAUCAAGGCCAUUUUGCUUUAUACUUGUUUUCUUUAUUAGGUUGUGAAGAAAAACUUUGGAAGUGUACUAGGCUUUUCUUUUUACUUAUUUAUGGAAGUGGUUUUUUGUAACACCCCGACCUAGAAUAAGGGCUAUUUAUGGAAUUUAAAAAUUAAGCAAAAAAUAGAGAGAAGUAAGAUAUUUUUGGUUCCUAUAACUACUCACUGUCUUUAUCUUGUUAUGAUUUUUUCCUUUCCAAUUCUUCAUCCUUGUUAUUAGGAACGAUAAAAAAAUAUAUAUAAAGAGAAUAGAGUUUUUAUGAUUAAUCUUUCAAGGAAAGAAUCUAACCUAUAAAUUUAAUAUCCGGUUCCAUUUUCCUGGUUGUGUAAAAUAAAUAACCUUGAAUCUUUUAGGUAUUCUCUUGAAAAGAUUUGAAUUUAGGAUUAAUUUAUUUUUUUUAAAAAAGAAUAUAGAUAGGUUGAUUUAUUCAUGGAGAUAGGAAAAUUGUAUAGAUCCAAGUCAAUUAAAAAAAUAAAAUAAAAAUCUAUUGCAACAUUAAUUAGAAGAAAAAGUACAAACUUGAUGGCCUAUUGGUUUAUUGUUACAUCUUUGAAAAGAAAAAGAAAAAGAAAAAGAAAAAGAGAUAUUUUAUGGGUUUCAAAUUUUAUGCCAUUAGUGUUAGGAUAAAGACCUUAAAAACAUGACAUGAUUUAAUAAAUUUGGAAUUUAUUAUUUAUUUAAUUAUACUUUAGUUGCACUUUUAUCUAUCCUUAUUCUAUGCUUUAUAUUUUGAGUGUUUUAACCUAUAAUUCUUACAUUUUACAUGACUUGAGUGCAUUAGGAGUUGCACAGAAGAUCCAAUCCAUGUGUUUUUUGCAAGUAAAUGAUUUGUUCACAACUGAAUUGAUUCCACGUGAUAAAGUUGAAAAAUGAAGUCACAAGAAGUACAAUAAACCGGAAGUUUUCCACCCGAUGACUUGUACCUUGAUCUUGACACACUUCCGAUGGGGAUGGAAGAGAGGGUAGAGACUAUGACCCUCUCUCUCUUUUUAGGUGGAAGACAACUCUCUAGAAAAAACUAUGGAAACCCUAAACCCUAAGAAAUGUAUUUAUAGGAUUUCCCAUUGGGCUUAAGUAACUUGAGCCCACUAAGGCUUAGAUCACUUAACGGGUCCUAAUUAAUUAAUUAACCCAAUAGACUCUACAAAUUAAUCAAUUGGCCCAAUCUAGAGACCUCAUUCACUUACCCUUGUACAACCUUGCAUAAUUACCAAAAUGCCCUUAUGCACAAAAGUGAACUUAGAGUCAAUCCAACCUUCAUAACCUAUGCCAACAAAGUAUAUAAGCUCAGAAUGGGGACCAUUAGGACCCAUAGGAGUAGUGACUCCCUUAAAAUCCAAUUCUGAAGUUGAUUUAACAUCCCACUCACAAUGGGAAACCCAUGUCGAUAGCCAAUACUAGUCAUCCCUCUAAUAAGAAGGUGGUGCACUACAACCUUUAAUGGGUUGUCUAAACCCCAUGAACCGAUUAUGAAUGAGUCAUCUAUUUACAAGGAACUUGUGACUUGGAUCUUCCGUGCAAUUCCUAAUGCACCCAAUUUACGUAUAAUACAAAAGAUGUAGGUCAGAGUGCUUACAAAGUAUAAUGCAUGGAAAUAAGAUAGUUAAAAGUGAACUAGAACUUUAUUAAACAAAUAAUAAAAUUCAAGAGUUUAUUACAUCAUGUCAUGCUUUUAAAGCCUUUAUCCUAACACUUAGGUCAUCCAGUUGAGGUUGUAGUACACUACAUACCUCUAUUGGGAUUGAACUUCUAAACGCAAAACAUGAUGUAACAGAGUUAGACUUAACUAUCCCCUUGCUAUCCUUUUUGGUGUAUUGACAUUGAUUCGAGCAUUCAACUCAUGUCUCUUACAUUGUAUAUGACUUGUAUGUAUUAGGAGUUGUACGAAAGAUACAAGUCAUUGGUUCCUUGUGAGUAGAUAAGUUGUCCAUAGUUGGUUCAUGGAUUUGGACAAUCUAAUAGAGAUUAUAGUGCAUCACCUCCUAAUUUGAGGAAUGGCUUGUCUUGGUCAUCAGGAUGAGUUUCCCAUGUUGAGUGCACUAGUAUAUGUAAUGCACACUAGACAGGACCUGCAAUGAAUUAUGACGCAAGUUUAUCAAUUGUCAUGAUUCACCAAGCUACUAUACUGCAUGGACUCUCAACCUUGAGAGGAUAUUGAGCUUAUGCCAAAAUCAAUAGGAGACUUUGACCAAUGGGUGAGACCUUAAAGUAAUCAUUUAUCCCUAUGGAUUUGGUCACUAUUGAUGGAGGCUGGUGACAACAUGUAUUCUCAAUGAAGGCACUGUUAUAUCUCAUAGGAUUGAGACAAUGUGUCUUUUGGGUGAUCUAAAGGACAUGUGAUCAUGAAAUCUGUGACCACCGUAAUUCCUUUAGUGGAAUUUGACUUAUGAUCAUUAGAGUUAGGCUAUGUUAGUUGAUCAUAUAAUAAGUAAGAUCUGUAACUCAAGGAUUUGAGAGGUAAUCUUGAUAGGUGAUAACAUUCCCUUGUUAGAUUACAAACACUAAUUCAUAGGGAGUCUACAUGUAGUGAAUAGUAGGUUAUGGACCAAACUUCGUCUUGUUGUUAUUUAAAUAGUGUACUGAAGUGGAGUUGAUUCUCUUUAGUGGAAUUUUGAAUCAACUUUAGAAUUAGAUUAUGAGGGAGCUAAUACUCCUAUGGGAACUAAUAGUCCUCGCUCUGAGCUCAUAUACCAUGAUGACACAGUUUAUGAGGGUUGAAUUGACUCUAGGUUCAUUCUUGUGCAUAAGGGCAUUUGGUUAAUUUCGUAAGGUUGUAUAGGGGAUAAUAAACAAGGUCUCUAGAUUGGGCUAAUUGAUUAAUUAGAUGACCCUAUGUGGUUAAAUAAUCAAUUAGGGCCUGUUUUGGGCUAGAUUAAGUGACCUAAGCCUUGAUAGGCUUAAGUCACUUAAGGCCAAUGGACAACCCUAUAAAUGUAAAUAUUGGCCAUUUAAAACUCAAAAAUCGAUAUAAUUAGUACUAAAAGGUUGUGAAACUUAAUAAUAUUAGAAAGUCAUAGACCAAAAUUUACAUGGUUAGUUUCUUCUUUGCAUAUAUCAUAUUUUUACUAAUUUUUUCAUUAGAUAAAUAAAUUUCAAAUUAAGUAAGACUUAUUGAGUUGGAUUCAUGAAAGAGUCUUAUAAUUUUUAAAAAUAACUUAAAACUCAAAUAAUGAUCCAAUCAAUAUUAAAAAUUGAUGGAUAAAAAUUGGUCUAAAAUGACUCUAUUAUUAUUAUUUUUUACAUAGAAUUAUUAUUUUCUGAUUUUGUUUCAUUAGGCAAAUAAACUUCAAAUUAAACAAGACUUAAUGCAUUAGAUUCAUCAAUGAGUCUAGCAAUUUUUUUAAAAACUUAAAAGUCAAAUAGUGAUCCAAUCAAUACUAGAAAUUAAUGUACAAAAAUUGGUGUAGAACGACUCUUAUUUAUCUUUUACAUAUAAUUAUUAUUUUUCAAUUUUUUUUUGCUAAGAAAAUAAACUUUAAAUUAAACAAAACAUAAUGCAUUGGAUUCAUCAACGAUUCUAGUAAUUUUUAAAAAUAAAUUAAAACUCAAAUAACAAACCUAUUAAUAUAAAAAAUUUAUGGAUAAAAAUUGGUUUACAAUGACUAUUAUUUCUUUUCUACAAAUAAUUAUAUUUUUAUAAAUUCUCUUACUAGAAAAAUGAACUUCAAAUUAAGUGACCCUUUAUAUUAAAUUUAUUAUUAGGUUUAACAAUUUUUUUAAAUAAUUUGGAACUCAACAAAUAGAUAUAAUGAUUAAAAAAUACUAAUAAAAAAAAUUGAUAAAUUAUAAGUCUUGACUUUACUAUUUCUCUAUACACACAACUAUAUAUAUAUAUAUAUAUAUAUAUAUAUAUAUAUAUAUAUAUAUAUACUAAUUUUCUCACUAGGCAAAUAAAUUAUAAAUUAAGUAAGACACAAUUAAUAAUUUAAAUUCUUUAAUGAAUUUUAGUUUUUUAAAAAUAAUUUGGUUAUUUAAUUUUUAAUAAUAAUUUGGAAUUCAAAAAACCAAUCUAGUUAAUUUCAAAUUAAAUCAAAAUAUUUUAGAAUAUUAUGUUCAUAAUUGAAUACUAAAUAUGUGCAUAUAAUAAAAAAACUUGGCUCAUUUACAUGUUAAAAAAUUAAACUUUAUUUGUUAUUCAUUUUAAAUAAAAUAUUAAUAAUAAUAAUUAUUUUAAAAUUAUUAUUAUUCACUUUUAACAAAAAAUUUAUAAAGAUGUUAAUAUCCUUAUGUUUCUAAAAUUUACUAUAAUAUUACUAUUCACAUUUAACUAAAAACUAUUUAUUUAUUAAUUUAUUUAUAAUUGCAAAACUAUUUUCGGUUUUAAUAAGAUUUAGAAUAAAAUUUAGUUAAUAUUAUAUAAAUUUAAUUUACAAUAUUUUUACUAUAUCAAAAUAGAAAAAUUAUUUUAAAAAACCAACUUAUCCAAAUAAAGUUUUUGUUUUUUAUUUUUAAGAAUUGUUUUUAAAAACCAACUUGUUAAACACCCUUAUUUUUAUAAAAUAUUAAAAAAAUAGUUUUUGUUCUUCAACUUAAAAACAAGUCUUUGAAAACAUGGCCAAACGAACCCAAAAUUUGCAUAUCCACAACUUACAUGAGGCCUUUUCAUCAAGGAUAUCAAGGCCAUUUUUUUAUACUUGGUUUCUCUAUUAGGUUGCAAAGAAAAAUUUUGGAAGUGUACUAGGCUUUUGUUUUUUGUUUUUUGUUUUUAAUUAUUUAUGGAAGUGGUUUUGUGUAACACCCCGACCUAGAAUCAAGGAUAUUUAUGUAAUUUAAAAAUUAAACAAAAAAUAGAGAGAAGUUAGAUGUUUUUGAUUCCUAUAACUACUUACUAUCUUUAUCUUGUUAUGAUUUUCUCCUUUCCAAUUCUUCAUCCUUGUUAUUAGGAACGAUAAAAAUAUAUAUAUAUAUAUAUAUAUAUAUAUAUAUAUAUAUAUAUAUAUAUAUAUAAAGAGAAUAGAGUUUUUAUGAUUAAUCUUUCAAGCAAAGAAUCUAACCUAUAAAUUUAAUAUUUUGGUUCCAUUUUCAUGGUAGUGUAAAAUAAAUAACCUUGAAUCUUUUAGGUAUUCUCUUGAAAAGAUUUGAAUUUAGGAUUAAUUUAUUUAAGAAAAAAGGGAAUAUAGAUAGGUUGAUUUAUUCACGAAGAUAGAAAAAUUGUAUAGAUCCAAAUCAAUUAAAAAAAUAAAAUAAAAAUCUAUUGCAACAUUAGAAGAAAAAGUACAAACUUGGAUGGCCUAUUAGUUUAUUGUUACAUGUUUGAAAAAAAAAAGAAAAAGAAAAAGAAAAAGAGAUAUUUUUAUGGGUUUCAAAUUUUAUGUCGGUGGUGUUAGGAUAGAGACCUUAAAAACAUGACAUGAUGUAAUACAUUUGAAAUUUAUUAUUUAUUUAAUUAUAUUUUAGUUACACUUUUAUCUAUUCUUGUUCUAUGCAUUAUAUUUUAUGAGUAUUUUAACCUAUAUUUUUUACAUUUUACAUAACUUGAGUGCAUUAGGAGUUGCACGGAAGAUCCAAUUCAUGUGUUUUUUUGUAAGUAAAUGAUUUGUUCACAACCGAAUUGAUUCCAUGUUAUGAAGUUGAAGAAUGAAGUCAUAAGAAGUAUAAUAAACCUGAAAUCUUCCGCCCGAUGACUCGAAGUUUGAUCUUGACAUACUUCCGAUGGGAAUGGAAGAGAGUGUAGAAACUAUGACCCCCUCUCUCUCUCUGUAGGUGGAAGACAACUCUCUAGAAAAAACUAUGAAAACCCUAACCCCUAAGGAGGGUAUUUAUAGGGUUUCCCAUUAGGCUUAAGUAACUUGAGCCUACUAAGGCUUAGAUCACUUAAUGGGUCCUAAUUGAUUAAUUAACCUAAUAGACUCUACAAAUAAAUCAGCUGGCCCAAUCUAGAGACCUCAUUCACUUACUCUUGUACAACCUUACGUAAUUACCAAAAUGCCCUUAUGCAUAAAAGUGAACCUAGAGUCAAUCCAAUCCUUAUAACCUAUGCCAACAAAGUAUAUAAGCUUAGAAUGGGGACAAUUAAGACCCAUAGGAGUAGUGGCUCCCUUAAAAUCCAAUUCUAAAGUUGAUUUAACAUCCCACUACAGAGAAUCAAUUGAGCUCCAAUAUCCUAUGUAAAUAACAACGAGACACUAUGUACUCGGGUCUAUGAAUUGUUAUCCAUUGCGUUCAAUCUCCCUAUGAAUUGGUAUCCAUAGUCUAACAGGUGAAAGCUAUCAAUCUUUCAAGAUUACCUCUACUAUCUUUGAGUUAUAAACCCUCCUAUUGUGUGUUUAAUUGACAUAUAUUAGCUUUCCAAGAGCAUGAUGUCAAGUUCCACUUAAGAACUACUAUGACCAUAGUUUACAUGAACACACCUCUUUAGGAUCAACCAAGGGGCACUUUGUCUCAAUCUUAUAAGAUAUUAUGAUGCCUCUAUUGAGAAUACCUACUACUACCAGCUUUCUUCAAUAGUGACCCAAACUAUAGGGAAUAUAUGAUCAUCUUACAAUUUCACCCGUAAGUUAAUUAAAACAAUUGCUAACUUUAGCACAAAUUUAAUAUUCUCUCAAGGUUGAGAGAUAACACAAUGAAACAACUUGGGGAAGUCAUGGCUACUUGAUAGCCAUACACACUAGUGCAAUGUGUAACCAUAUACACUAGUGCACUCAUAAUGGGAAACCCAUAUCGAUAGCUAAUGCUAGUCAUCCCUCUAAUAAGGAGGUGGUGCACUACAACCUUUAAUGGGUUGCCUAGACCCCAUGAACCGAUUAUGAAUGGGUCAUCUAUUCAUAAGUGUGGACCUCGCAUUUUUAAUGAUGCGUUCCCACUCGAUCGGCGAGACUCACUUUUCGUUAUUUGGGUGAAAAAUAUGUUUCUCAGAAAAGACUUGGAGUCGCCACUUACUUUUAUUUAUUUUUAAAGGGGAAAACAAGUAAGAACAAAACCCCUAGAUGGACUCCUGAUUUUGUUUUUGGAAAGUUGCCUGCGAAAAAACCUGAGUCUGGGUCCGGGGAUCAGGUUACUUAUUGGGAAGGUACGAUAAAGACCGUAGCACCCCUCUAAGCCCCUAAAAAAGGGCCUCUACUAAAUAAGGUGAAGCAAACAUGGCAAUUAACUAGGAGAUCAAUGGAUACCAAAAUGAUCAUAGUUAAAAAAUAAGUCAUGAUAACGAAAUAAUAAACAGAGUGAGAGUGUACCUUAUUAGCAGCUAAUAAAGUGCUGUCAUGAAAACAAGGUUAGUGUACAAUGACAAGUGUAAAAACAAUCUCAUACAGAACUAAAUCAAAAUCAAACAGAAUGGAGAGCACAACUUACUUGAAUUAUUUUCGAAGAAAACGUUAUGAAUGUCAGGCCCCCACCAAAGCCCAAUUUAUUUUUGCUAUGAAUUAAUUCUCAUAAAUUCCAUUAUUUUGGAAUUAUGAAAACUUAUUCAUUUCUAAAUAAAAAAAAAUUUGAAAAAAGGAAUUUAGAAAAUUAAAUUUGAAAUUUCGGAAGUGUGGAAUUUUAUUUUAAAAAAAAAUGAGUUUGACAAUUUUGGAAAUCUCUUUGAGAAUGGUAUUUCAAAAUAAAUAAAUAAAUAAAAUAAUUUGAAAUGGAAUUAAAUAAAAAAACGAAUAAAUAAAUAAAUUUUGAAUUUUGGAAAAUGGAAUUUUGAGAAUGGAAUUUUGAAAAAUUAAAUUAAAAAAUUGAAAAUUUGGAAGGAUUAUUUUUGAAAAGUGAAAUUUCGGAAAAUUAAAUUUUAAAAAUUGUAAAUUUGGAAAAUUGGGACUUGGAGAAUGGAAUUUCAGAAAAUUAAACUAAAAAAAUGAAAUUUUGGAAAAUUAUUUCGAAAAUAGAAAUUUUUGGAAAAUUGGAAUUUUUGAAAAUCGAAACGUGAAGAUCAAAGUUUUGAAAAUUAUAUUUUUUGAUGUAUGAGAAUAAAAAUAAAAAAUAAUAAAUAAAAAGAUGGUACGUAGUCGGUGGGACUCGCAUCCCGAAAGUGGCCAUGCAAAGCGUGGGCCUGGGAUGGAAUAUCUUAUAACAUAAUAAUAAUAAUAAUAAUAAUAAUAAUAAUAAUAAUAAUAAUAAUAAUAAUAAUAAUAAAACAAUCUCAACCUCACAUACUUUAAUACUAUUUACACAUGAAAUAUUGAAAACUAACAACUGAAUAUCAGAACAUGAGAAAAUUAGUUAAGGGAAACUAACCCUAAAAUUAUUAAGAGUAUAUACUAACAUGAAACAUUAAAAUAAAUCGACAACUAGGGAUGCUAAAAACCUAAAUUAAUGAGGAACAACCAAACUAAUGCUAGAGAUAAUAAAAAAAAAAACAUGAACUAAUUUAGGUUCAACAAGAAUGAAUAAUUGGAAAAUAAUAAAAACUAACAUCUAAGGAUAUUUAAAUCCCAAACUAAUAAGAGGUAAAUAAAUACUAAAACCUUAAUAUUUAAAGAAAACUAUUGAACAACAAUGGAUCAACCGAAAUAUCAAUUAAUCAUUCAAAGAGCAAUAUAUGCCAACAUGGAUCAGCCCAAACCAAAGACUAAAAAUUCAAGAAGUAAUAUAUACUAACAUGAGUUAUUAAAAUCAACAAUUAAAAACUCCUAGGUAUAUACAAAUUAUCAUAGGCCAUCAAAUUAAAAACUAAAAAUUCAAAGGACUACAAAGAAUUAACAUGGGUCAACCAAAAUAACAAUUCAUAAUUUUAAUGACAAUGUAAAUUAAUGUAGAUUGACCAAAAAUAAGAAUAAAAAUUUAAUGAGCAAUAUAAAUUAACAUAGAUAUUUAAAAAAUUAACAACAAAUGAUUUUAUGAAAAUGAAGAAUAAUAAUAAUAAUAAUAAUAAUAAUAAAUAAGCAAACAAAAUUUCAUGAAUAUUAUAAAGCUACAUAGAUAUUAGUUUUCAUUUCUUUCAUUUUAAAUUUAUAACAAUGUAAACCAAUAACAUAUGAUCCACCAUAUUCACUUGAAUUUUUAAUUCAAUGAAACAAACCACUAACAUGAAACAUCUCAUGGCCGGCCAUUAAUCUUACUUUGAGUUUUUUUUAUUAAAAAAAAAAACAAUGCUCAAGCUUCCACUAUUAUUCGAAAUUAGCCAAAAUUAAGGAAAAAAUAAAAUAAAAUCCUAUUAUUUAAAAAAAAUCUAAUUUUCCAUUAUUAUUAAAAUUGAUCAAAACUAAAUUUAUUUUUUUUUAAAAAAAAUUCCAAUUUUCUACUAUUAUUCAAAAUUUGACCAAAACUAAAAUUAAUUAAAAGAGAAAAUUUAUGAGGAAUAAAACAAAAAUUCUUAUGCCGUGAGAUCAAAUCGAACACUUAAAAUAAAAUGAUAAACACGCAAUAGCUUAGAACCUAAAAUACAAGAGCCUAUAAAAAUAAUAAACAUUCAUGCAUAUUAUAAUACAAGUCCACACGCAAUGCUAUAUCCACUAUGCAUCAACAAUUCUUUAAACAAUAAAAGUUAGUGGACUUUGAAUGUCAUGCAAUACCAUAAUAAUUAAUAAACAUUGACAAUGGUCAUUUGACGCAUGCUGGAAAACUUUCUUGUGCCUGUUGCCAAAAAAAAAACUUUAAAACAAGGAUUUUAAAAACACUAUUUGGGCCAGAAAAGUGAAUAAAAUAUAUGGUUUAAUAGUUUUUUUUCCUUUCUUUCUUUUUGUUUCCUUUUGACCUUGACAGAGAAGCAAAGUGAAUGGACUGCAUAAAGACGAGCUCUUGCAUGCGACGCUGGGAAGCAGUCAGUUUGCUACCGCCAACGAGACUCACAUCUAAAGACUACCCGAACAAUCCUAUAUAUUCCGGCGAGGGCAAAGGAAGUCACUACAACCGCUAGUAGGGCUGCAACCAAGGCCGGCCACCAGAAAAAUAAGUUGCAGCCCCCCCUAUGCGCAGCUGAAGCGAGCACCUGGACAGGGUUUCAUCUCCAGCUUUCAGCCGCCGCCACCAACAGUAUAGCCACCCCGUUCAGACACCGCAUGGCUGGUUUGAAGAACAUGAACCUGCCUAGCCCCAACAAUGAAGAAAACGGUGCCUAGCUCUUAACGUUUUGACAUCUUGUUCAAACACUACAUGGAUAUCAUCUCAUGAUCAUCCACGACUUCUCAACAUCCCAUAUUCACAGGGUCCAAUUCUCCAUGGUCAGACAUCCGGAAACAAAGGUCAAACACCCAGAAAAUAGAGCACAUAACGAAAGGGAUGGAAUGAACUACCCAUAAUAGCGUUUCAUGUCAUAGCCAAUGAGCUCAGAUUGGUGGGAUGGAAGCAGGUGAGUCCAAGGUCAAAUAGAGACACAAACCAGAAAAAUGUCCAACAACCAAACUAAGACUGCAUAUUCAUAUUGUAUUUCUGAGCAAGAAGAUGAAAGUAAAAACAAACAUGCAACAAUGGUAAAUAGAAAUAUCAGAACUAGAUUCCCACGGACAACAAGCAUUCUUCACUGUCUAUUCUCAAGUAAUUUAAAAUAUCCAGGAAUCAUGAAAGAGAAAGGAGAGUGACAUGGCAUGCAAAUUAAACAACAGGAAUAAUAUACCUCGGAAGUCAUCUCUGGCUGUAUGAAAUAUCAGUUUCCAGCUACUCCCUUUUUUGCUCAGAUUCCUCCUGUUAGCUCUUUCUUUUACUUUUCUUUCUUUCUUUCUCAAAACCUUCCCUCUUACUCCUUUUAGAUUUCUCUCAAACUCCUCUCAGACUUCUCUCAAACUCCUCUUUUCUUUCUUUUUUUCUCCUUUUCCCGUUCUUUCUCUGUUUUUCUCAAAACCUCUCCCCUUCAUUUCUCUUCCUUCCUCCCAAAAAAACCCCUCGAGAACCUCCUUUUCUAGCCGAUCAUUUUCUUCUUCUUCAAGACUUCCCUUCUCUGCAUUUUCCCGUGCCAAACUCUUCGAAAGUCCCCCUAACCUUUUUUCCAAGCUCCUCUUCAUUCCAUGCAGCCCGCUGACCCAUCCAUUUUCUUUUCAAACCCUAUUCCACCAUUUUAUUUUAUUUUUUUAUGUGGCUGCCCAACUCCCAUACCUUUCCAUUUGCUUAUUAUUAUUAUUAUUAUUAUUUCUUUUUUUUAGUUAAUAAAAUAAGAAAAUAAAAAUAAAGAUAAAGAUAAAUAAAGAUAAAAAAAAUGAAGCUAAAAUAAGAUGAAUAACAUAAUGAUAAAAAGAACAUACAAUAAAUGAAUACUAAUAAUAAUAAUAAUGAUAAUGAUACUAACAAUAAUAAUAAUACUAAUAAUACUAAUAAUAAUACUAAUAAUACUAGUAAUAAUAAUAAUAAUAAUAUAAGAUCCCCAAUCACCUGCAAAUUUUUUUUUUUUUUUUUUUGAGAAUAAAUAAGUAGAUGGAUAAGUGACUAAAGCAAGAAAAAUAAAUAAGUGCCCAAUGCACGUAACAAUAAUCUAAACAUUAAACUAUAACACAGAUAAAACUAAAAAAUAAAAAUAGACAAGAUAUCAAAUUGACACAAUCAAAAUAAUUGAAAAUUCAUCUCAAGCAAUCCAAAAAAUAUAAAAAAUAAAAAUCAAGCCAAAUACUCGCCUAAUCUUAAAAAUAAAUCAAUCAAGAAAUUAGUCUUAAAUAAUUAAGCCUAAAGAAAAUAUCUAAGUGACCCAGGUAACCUAAGUGGAAAGUGUCAAGGUGAAUUAGGUGCCCAAUGGGUCAUCAGAGAAUUAUCGUAAAGUAUCAAAUGGACACAUAAUAGAACAUGUGCUAGUAGGACAAAAUAAAGGGUCUACAAUAAGGAACUUGUGACUUGGAUAUUCCAUGCAACUCCUAAUGCACCCAAGUCACGUAUAAUGCAAAAGAUGCAGGCCAAAGUGCUUACAAGGUAUAAUGCAUGGAAAUAAGAUAGUUAAAAGUGAACUAGAACUUAUUAAACAAAUAAUAAAAUUCAAGAGUUUAUUACAUCAUGUCAUACUUUUAAAGGCUUUAUCCUAACACUUAGGCCAUCCAUUUGAGGUUGUAGUACGCUACCACUACAAGGAAAAAGCUACAUGGUGAUGUUUAUAAUGAGUCACCAUAAACAUAGGGUGUCACUACAACAUAGCGCGUCAGCUGAUCCACUAACACCGUAAAGAGUACCAAUUGGUGACGUACUUGGAAGUGAUACCAAAGUAGAUAAAUUGUGACACAUUUAGAAGCGACACCAUAUAUUUUUUGUGAUGAUUAUUUUGUGUUGUGUGAGAUAUAUAGGGUGUCACAUUAAAUACAUCACCUUUGAGUUAUGAUAUCACAUUAAAUGUAUUACCUUUGAGUUAUGGUGUCACAUCAUUGUAAAUGAUUGUGGAAGAUAUGGUUGCUUUUGGUUGAUUAACUGUCUGUGGAUUUUUGUAAUGCUUAUAAUUAACAAGUAAGAUUAACCCAUGUAUAUUUUAUCCAUAAAUAUAAUAAUCAUAUUAAUACAUCGCAUCAUCUAAUAAUAUUUGUAUAUCAAAUGUUCACAAAAGAGUAGUACAUCAAACAUAUCAAACCCACCAAAAUUAAAAAGGAAAAGUGAAUACAUACUAAAACAUCAUUUAGAAAUGUUAAACAUCCCAAAAUAAAUGUAUACCUCCAUUUCAUAAGCAUAAAACUGGCUAACUAUAAAAUGACAUAAAUGUUUCAUUUAAAAACCUAAAAUUUUCACUACUAAUUAAAGUAAUAUUUAUGUCCUUCAAUGUAUGAUAUAAGAAUCACAUUUAAAAACCCAAAAUCUUGUUGUCUCCUUUCUUUUUAUUCUCCAUUCCAUCCUCCCAAGAGUGUAUACCUGCAUUUCAUAGUUUAAUGAAUUUUAGAGUUUUUAUUGAAAAUAAAUAUGAAUUGAUGUUAUCAUAAAUGAAUAAACCUAAGAACUAUUUUUUUUCUUUCCUGUUUUCAAAUAGAAACAUUAUUAAAAGAAUAAGUAAUACUAUACAAUGCAUAUGAAAAAAAUUCAUAUAGUGGCUAAGGGACUCACCAUGCAUGAUUAUGCUGCAUCAACAUGAUUCACGAUUAAUUGUAACACAAAAAUAGCCCAUUCUCAUAUAAUUUCAUCAAAUUCUACUUGAGAAUAUGUUUUUUUGUUUUGUAUCACAAAAUUGAAAUCAAAUAAGAAAAUAACAUUAAUAUAAACAACAAUUGGAAGCCUAAACUAUGUACAAUUCACUAAAUGAGUAAUGCCUUUGACACAAUAAUUAUAGGAUCAACAAUUAUCUUUUUAAUGAAUCUCAUAAUAAAGUAGCCACAUUUGAUACCUCCUUCUUGUCUUGGACACUAAUUGAUCAAUUAUAAAAUAACAUUAGUACUUUUAUAUAUAAACGGUGCAAAUGCAUAAUUUGAAUAUGUAAAGCAAAAUUUUGGAUCUCACUUGCAAUAAUUGCCAAGAUGGCUCCCUCUUAAAUGUUUUCUUUGCAAAUAUUCGAAGAACCCUUUAUUAAAUAAGUUCAAUGGGCAGUUUUUUAAAAUAGGUAAAUGUUACAUGUUUUAAUAUAUAGAAAUAAAAAUAAAAUGUGUUUGAUGUGAAUGUCAUUUAAAAAAAAAUGCAUGGUUCAUGAAAAACAUGGGGCUAUGAAGCCUUUUAGCUGAGUUGGUAGUUAAUAUAUGGGGUGAUGUCAUAUGGCUGGAUGACUUAUUGUGAUGGUGGCAUCACAUCUAAAUUUUUGUGACCAUAUUUUAUGUGAAAAGGAUAUUAAAAAAAUAUUAUUUUAUUAUUUUAAGAAAAAUUAAUAAAUCACUUUAUUAUCAAAUUAUCUAAACAAAAACUUAAUAAAAAAUAUUUCAUCCCAAUUUUAUUUUCAAAACUUUCUUAUCGACAAUUAUCUCAUAUGUAAAUUAUUUAUUAUACAAAGAAAUUCUUAUUCUAUUUGUGAGAACAAUAUAGAAAAAGUCAUCUUCAUUAUAGCGUAAAGCAAAACAACAAUCUUCAACAUUGAAAAUUAGAGUUCAAAACAAAGCAAGAGUCUUCCAUGUUUAAUACACCUUUAGUGAAAGAAAUUGGAAGUCUAAAAUUCAAAACUCAUUAGAUAAUAAUACGAAGAAUUUUUCUACUUUUAAUGCUCAUUUAUUUAUAGUUUUCUUACUUAAUACUUACAAUUAUUAUUUAAAAGUUUUAUAUAUGAUUAAUGUUAAAACCUGUAGCAAGUACAAGUUUAAGGGAUAGUGGAUAAGUGCUAUGGUAAAGGUCUUGUCAAUUGAGCCAAAAAGUCAAAAUUUAUAUGAAAACAAAAAUUAAGCUUUAAAAAAUAAAUUAAUUAACACAAAUGAUUUUAUGUAAACUUGUUUAUUAGACAUAUCAAAGAAGUCUAUUUUUAUAUUAUUUUUUAAAUCCUCUUAUUUUCAUAUGAGAAAUUUUCAUUUAUACCUAAAUUACUUUUAAAAAAUUAAUCAUUGCAAAAACAUUUUAUUUUUAAAAUUAUUUUCAACUUUCUUAUUAAAUUUUUUUUUAUCAUUUGAUUAUUUUCAAAAAAGAUAAAGCCCUAAAAAACCAUUUAUAGCCUAAUUUAAACUCAAAAAUUAUUCCUAGUAUUAUUAUUUUUUUACUCUUAAAUGCUUUUCAAGCAAAAUAACAAUUAUUGAUACAUUGGUUCAUUUUUAAAUACUUUCACAAGAAUAUAUUUUAACUAUAAUUUAUUUUAAUUUAUUAAAAUAUUUUCAAGAAAUGAACUAUUAUCCAUUUAUUACUAUCCUAUUUUUCAGAAAAUAUUUUCAGUCAUUUCAUACACAUUUUCAACUACUAAAAUGAUUGUUUUUAUAGAAUAAACAAAGAAGCAUAUACUUCUCCUCCACUCACUAAGUCAACUAUUACAAUCGCCCUAAUAUUUUAUUCACUUACCAAUAUUUCAUUCCAUUUAGGUGACUCUCAACAAAAUCAUAUCUAUAAUACCCUUUACUCUCUUAUGAUACCGAGUAUUUUAUUCCAUUUAGGUGACUCUCAACACAAAGAAAGUGGGGAACGUCUUCUUAUGUUAAUUGAACAAAGACCUUUUUGUUUUUUACUUUCUAAUAUGUAUAUUAAAAAAAAUAUUUAUUACAAGGAGUGUGAUAGAAAGAUCAUUUUAUUUUUAAAGAUUUUUUUAUAGAAUUUCUUAAGCAUUUACAAAUAAUAGAACCUAACAAUUUUAUUUCUAAAAAAAUGAUCAAUUAGAAAAAAAAAAAGAAGAAUAUUAUUUUAAGAAAAGUUAAUAAAUCACUUUAUUCUUGAAUUAUCUAAACAAAACUUACCAAAAAAUACUUUAUCCCAAAUUUAUUUUCAAAACUUUCUUAUUGACAACUGUCACAUACAUAAAUUAUUUUACUAUACAAACAAAUUCUUAUUUUAUUUUCUUUAGAGAAAAACUCACUUGUUUAUUAGACAUCAAAGAAUGUAUUUUUAUGUCUAUAUAUAUAUAUAUAUAUAUAUAUAUAUAUAUAUUUAAAUUCUCUUAUUUUCAUACAAGAAAUUUCUAUUUAUGCCUAAAAUACUUUUAGAAAAAUCAUUGCCAAAAACAUUUUAUUUUUAAAAUUAUUUCCAGCAUUCUUAUUUUUUUUUUAAAAGUUAUCAUUGGAUGAUUUUCAAAAAAAGAUAGUCCUAAAAAAAUUAAUCAUUUAUAGCUCAAUUUUAACUCAAAAAUUAUCCCCAAUAUUAUUUUUUAAUUCCUAAAUUAUUUUCAAACAAAAUAACAAUUAUUGAUAUUUUGGUUCGUUUUUAAAUACUUUCACAAAAAUAUAUUUUAACCAUAGAUUAUUUUAAUUUAUCAAAAUAUUUUUAGGAAAUGAGCUAUUACCCAUUUAUUACUAUCCUAUUUUUCAAAAAUAUUUUCAGGCAUUUCAUUCAUGUUUUAAAUUUCAAACACUAAAAUUAUUGUUUUUAUAGAAUAACAAAGCAUGCAAAUUUCAACUACUAAAAUUAUCGUUUUUAUAGAAUAAACAAAGCAACAUACACUUCUCUUCCACUUACUAAUUCAACUAUUACAAUCAUCUCAAUAUUUUAUUCACCUACCAAUAUUUCAUUCCAUUUAGGUGACUCUAAAAAAAAUCAUAUCUACAAUACCCUUUACCACUAUAUGAUAUCCAAUAUUCUAUUCCAUUUAGGUGACUCUCAACACAAACAAAGUGGGAAGGUUUUCUUAGGUUAACUGAAGAAAACCCUAAACAACUUAAGUGCUUUUGGAUUAAUUGGGCAUCAUCUUGUUGCACUAGCCAAUAUGCUGUUAUUAGACUUCAUCCAAAAACUCCUAGCAUGGUGGAAAAAAGUACCAAAUGUAGUCAAGUCUUCAAUAAAAUAUUUUCACAUGUGAAAAAUUACAACCAAUACACUACAGUCAAGUCUUCCAUAAAAUAUUCUCAAAUGUAAAAACUUACAACCAACUAGUGUAUCUCUCAUUCUCAAUUAGACAAAAAUUUAAAAAAUCACUCAUUUUUCUUGUUUUCAUUCAUUUUGGGUCUUAUUAGCAAUGAAACGAAAAAUAUGUUAGAAUGUUAAACCUAGUUUUUACUUUCCUGAAACUCAAUAAAAAAUGUCAUUCACAAAACCUACAUCAUAGAUAUACUAAAUCAAGCAAUAUAAAACAAUUAUACAAAUAAAGAUUUUUGUAGUAAUAAAAAAUAAAUAAAGAUGAUAGAUAAGGGAUUUUGACUUACUCGAGAUUUUACAAAGCAAAGAAUAUCAGUUAUGGGUGUGUCGACCGUGGGUGUGAGAAAAAGGAGAAGAAGACGAUAGUUAGGGUUAAGAUCUUUUAUAUUAGUUAAUGUAUAUAUGGAAACAAUGGACUUUUCAUAAAUUGUUCCUACUCACUAUUUUAAAAAAGGGCCCAUUGAGUUAUAAAAUUAAAAUUUUUUUAUUUCAUAUGGUGUCACUUCCAAAAAAUGACACCAUAAAUAUAAAAUUAGCAUCAUCUAACUACCCCAAUUGAAGAUUUUUUAUAUGAUGUGUUGCCUUUAUAAAUUUUAAGCCAUGUGGUGUCAUUAUUUUAAAUGUGACACCAUAAAUUAUUUUGUAGUAGUGUACCUCUAUUGGGAUUGAACUCCUGAAAGCAAAACAUGAUGUAACAAAGUUAGACUUAACCAUCCCCUUGCUAUCUUUUUGGUGUAUUGACAUUGAUUCGAGCAUUCAACUCAUGUCUCUUACAUUGUACAUGACUUAUGUGCAUUAGGAGUUACACGAAAGAUACAAGUCAUAGGUUCCUUGUAAGUAGAUAAGUUGUCUAUAGUCGAUUCACGGAUUUGGGCAAUCUAAUAGAGACUGCAGUGCAUCACCUCCUAAUUGGAGGGAUGGCUUGUCUUGGUCAUCGGGAUGAGUUUCCCAUGGUGAGUACACUAGUAUAUGUGAUGCACACUAGAUAGGAUCUACAAUGAAUUAUGACGCAAAGUUAUCAAUUGUCAUGAUUCACCAAGCUACUGUACUACAUGGACUCUCAACCUUGAGAGGAUAUUAAGCUUGCUCCAAAAUCAAUAAGAGGCUUUGUCCAAUAGGUGAGACCCUAAAGUAGUCAUUUAUCCUUAUGGAUUGGGCCACUGUUGAUGGAGGUUGGUGACAACAGAUAUUCUCAAUAGAGACACUAUGAUAUCUCAUGGGAUUGAGACAAUGUGUCCUCUUAGGUGACCCAAGGGACAUGUGAUCAUGAAAUCUAUGACCACUACUGUAAUUUCUUUAGUGGAAUUUGACUUAUGCUCCUUAUAGUUAGGGUAUGUUAGUUGAUCAUAUAAUAAGUGAGAUCUAUAAAUCAAGGAUUUGAGAGGUAAUCUUGACAGAUGAUAACACUACCUUGUUAGAUUAUAGACAUCAAUUCAUAGAAAGUCUACAUGCAAAUGAUAGUAGGUUAUGGACCAAACUUCGUCUCGUUGUUAUAUAAAUAGUGUACUAGAGUAGAGUUGAUUCUAUUUAGUGGAAUGUUGAAUCAACUUCAAAAUUAGAUUAUGAGGAAGCUAGUACUCCUAUGGGUCCCAAUGGUCCCCACUAUGAGCUCAUAUCCCAAAAUGAUACAGUUAAUGAGGUUGGAGUGACUCUUUCUUGUGUAUAAGGGCAUUUGGUUAAUUUCGUAAGAUUGCAUAGGAGAUAACGAACAAGAUCUCUAGAUUGGGCUAAUUGAUUAAUUAGAUGACCCUAUGUGGUUAAAUAAUCAAUUAAGGCUUGUUUUAGGCUAGAUUAAAUGACCUAAGCCUUGAUAGGCUUAAGUCACUUAAGCCCAAUGGGCAUCCCUAUAAAUACCCCUUUAUCGAUUAGGAUUUCCUAAUGACUUUUGGUGAGAGUUGUCUUCCACCUCCAGAGAGAGCACAGUCUUCUCCCUUCCAAAACUCAUACUUUAAAGUGUUAAGAUCGUGGUUCAAGUCAUUAGACAAAAAAUCUUGGGUGUACGAGACCUCCUUGGAUGAAGGGUUAUAACAUUGGAUGUGCACAAGUCACAUGCAUGAGAAGCUCACAGGACAUGGGACAUUCACAAGCCUCAUACACGGGAAUCACACGAGACAUGCACAUGGAUAGUAGCAUGAGGAGAGAGACUAUCUAGUUUUUUCAAGCAUGUUUCUCAACGGAUGAAUUCGAUCUGAGAACAUCCAAAUCACAAGUAUGAGUUUUGAAUCUUUAGAUCUUUAUUCUAAAAUGGUUUUAAAGCUAUUAUUUUUCAUUUAUGUUAGAUCUAGAGAGCCCUAGGGAUAGAUGCAUGCAUCCUAUGAGAUCCCGGACAUAGGAACAAAGUAAUCCAGGGUUCCUAACAACCUCUUAAUUUGAGGGAUGAUUAACCUUGACCAUCGAGAAGAGGUUCCCAUGGUGAGUGCAUUAGUAUGUAUGGUUACACAUUGGACAAAACCUAUGGUGAGUCAUGAUGUAAAGCUAUCGGUUUGUUAUAACUUCACUAGGCUACUAUGUUAUAUUAUCUCUCAACUUCGAGAGAAUAUUGAGCCUGUGCUGAAGUUAGUAAUGACUUUGAGCUAUAUAUGAGAUCCUAACGUGAUCAUAUGUUCCUUAUUGAUUGGGCCACUAUUCAUAAAAGUUGGUAGCAAUGGGUGAUUAGAGCCAAAAUAUGCACUCCAAUCACACAAAUAUGACAUGAUUUAUGUAACAUAAAAAGCUCUAAUUAUCUAAGUUAACUCAAAUUGAUGCUAAGACCUUAACUAUGGAUCUAACUUUUAUUUUGAGCCUAAUUCUAGGUUUAAGGGAUGAAAAGAAUGCUAAGUGUAAAAGUCAUUUUCAACCAAGGAAGUAGAAGAGGUUAAAUAUGCAUAAAUGAGAGACUUGGGACUUGUUAACUAUGAAGAGUCUAAGAAAUGGCAUAAUGAGCAAACCAUAGGCAUGAAAUACUAGCAAGGGGUGUUAUGGAUUAAGAUAAAGGUCAAGAAACCAUAAUAGAGGAGGGUUGAAGCGCAUGCAAUCAAGUUCACAUGGAAAUUUAGAACUCAAAAUCUAGCUACAACAUAUUCUUUGAUUUUAAGGUAAAAUUUGGAGCACUUACUAAUGUCAUUUUUGGGCAUACUAUAUAUCAUUUUGAAGCUCGAGAAGUAAGGAGUCCAACACUUUAAAUAGUGUGCAAAUCAAAAUUGUCAUGAGGAAGUUAUGCACGUUAGAAACAAACUGGUAGUGGGUGAGUUCAAAAUUCACAGUGAAUUUUGAACUCACCAUGGUGAUUUUGAAUUUGGCACUUUUCCUCCACAUAUGAAUUCAAAAUUGAUUUGGAACUCACCCCAACUUUGAACUUAGCUAUUGGUGGUUGAGUUUUAAGCUCCAAAACAUGUCAAAAUGAGUUUCAAAUUCCUUCAUCCAGAUUAGAAUGCAUGACACUCAUUUAGAACUCAUAAUAUUUUCAAUCUUUUAAGUUGUUUAUGACUUUUCUUUGUAAUAAGUGGCCAAUGGAAGUGUGCACAUAUUAGGUUAUUGAAUUUAUUAUAUAAACUCUUUUAGUUAUAGUUUUAAGGAAGAGAAAAGAGGUUAGAUUGUAAAGAGGGAGAUUGAUAUCUCAUCUUGAAAUUCUUUAAUAAAGUUUUAGGUUUUCUUUUCUUUUCUUUCCUUUUUCAAUCUUUCUUUUUAUUUUCUUGGUAACCAAAUAUGGGUUGUGAGAACAAAUCCACCACUAUGUUUAACUAGCUUGAUUGAUUCAGAGAUGCUAACAUGAAGGUGAAGAAUCCAAAGGAGUGGCAAGAAAUGAUAAUGUAUUAAAUGGUUUGAUUAUAUUUUCAAGUUUUCACUAGUAGGAAUAGAUCCUCUAUGUUAGAUCACCUUAGAUAAAUUAUAUAGGACUCUUAUCAAAAUACUACUAAUUCUUGGGAAGACCUUGAUUACUAGUUACUAUAGUUUGAUCCUAUUGUUAACGAAUUUAAGGGUUGAAUCUAUGAAGAUGGAUAUGGGAUUUUGAUUGAAUAAAAUUGAAAAUAAAAACAAACCAUCAUUUCUAAUUAAUUUAAGAUUUACAAUAAUGAGAUUAAUGAUUGGUUGGGUUACAAAUUAUGAAUAUUUAGUCUCAUCCUUGUAAGUUAUACUAGGGAAUGAUAUGGUAGGUUAUUACUAGAUACUAAUGAUUCCUAACAACUCUUGAUCAAGUUAUCUUGGUCUUCCCAAUCAUUACCUGCCUUAAAACAAAGCUACAAGGAGUAGGAAGGGUUACAAAGCUAAACCUUAAACCAAUAAUUAAUCUCAUUUACUUGAUGUUUUAGGAAUCUAUUUUAAAAAGGAAAAACUAAGUUUCCAAUGCAAUAUUGGUCUUAAUAUUCAAUUUGGUUGUGGAUUGAUUUUGAUCUUAAAUCCUAAAUUUUAUAAUGUUCUUUCUCUCUCUCUAGGAAUUAACACUAGAUUGUGAAACUCUCUAGAACAUUCUUUCUUUUAUUUGAUUUAUUUCAUAAAAUAGUUUAGGAAAUUUUUAUUCAUGUUUAUCCCUAUUUAUUUAAAUUAAGAUUUCAGUAUUUUUAGCAAAUAAUUACCCCUUUUCAUCUAAAAGAAAAUAAACAAAUUAGAGUUGAUCCUAGAAGACAACAACCUACUACACUACAAAGUUGUGGUAACUCUAUCUCUAAUUUUUCUUAGCUAGAGUUAUCAUAUAUUUAAGCUUAAUUAUUUUAAUUACAAUAGAGAUUUGCAGUGAAUGGGUAUUCUUAAUGGAGAUACUAUGAUAUCUCAUGGACUUUAAGACAAUAUAUACCCUUGGGUGAUCCUAAAGAUACGUGUUUAGAUAAACUAUGGUCAUAGUAGUUCCUUAAGCUCUUUGUGAGAUAGGACAUGUCAAUUGAUUACAUAAUAGGAGGAUUUGUAACUUAAUUAUAGUAGAGGUAAUCUUAAGUGGAUGAUAGUUUUUACCUUGUUAGAUUAUAGACAUCAAUUCAUUGGGAGAUUAUAUAUAGUGGAUAGUAGGUCACGAACCCGAACACUUAGUGUCUUGUUAUAAUAUGUAUAGGGUAUUAGAGUAUAGUUAUCUUAGUAUAAUGGGAUGUUUUGUCAACUUCAAAAUUGAAUUUUGAGAGAGCCAAUACUAUCCUAGAAGUUCCAAUGGUCCUCGUUCAAACAUAUAUACCUUGAUGACACAGUUAAUGAAGGUUGGAUUGACUUUUGGUUUACUUAUAUGCAUAAGGAUGUUUUGGUAACUAUAUAAGGUUGCCAGGAAUUAGCGGACAACAUCUCUAGAAUAGUUAAUUGAUUAAUUGAAGUUUUGAUGGGUUAAUUAAUCAAUUAAGACUCCUUUUUGAGAUAGAUUAAGUGACUCAAGUCGAAGGUAGGUUCAAGUCACUUAAGCUUAGUAGGAACCCUAUAAAUACCCCUUAUAAGAUUAAGAUUUCAAGUCUUCUUUUAUCAUUCUCCCUAUGUUUCAAAGAGAACCCUAACUUCCAUCCUCAUGACUUCCACCACUUGUGUGCUUAGUUUCAAGAAAGAGUCAUUAGGUGAAACAUUGGGGGUUUGUGAGAUCACAUUUGACUACGUGGCAUCAAAUAAUGAUAUUCACCAUAAGGAUUCAAUCUAAACAUGUAAUCUAGGUCUUGUAAAUAGUUUUAAAUGUUAUAUUUUUGCUACACAUAGGGUCUAGUAGCCUUAGGAGUAAUUUGAUGCACCUAACCUGAUCCCUGGACAGGAACAAAGUAAUCUAGAUUUCCCAUCAGUUGGAUUACCUUGUUGAAAAGAAAAAUUGUUUUCAUGCUUUGAAAGGUAUGGUUUUCUAGGAAGCAUAUGACCACUGGUGUGGUGUAGUGAUUAUGUAUGAUGAAAAAAAAUAUAUAAAAAAUGAAUAAAAUAAAAUAAAAGAAUGCAGUGGGCUGCGAGGUUACAUAGACUAGAUUGUGCUGUUGGAAGAGAUGAUAAUAAUUUGGUGAUGGUAUAGAUUAUUGGGAGAAGUGAGAGUAGGAAAGUAAAAUAAAAUUAUUAUAUAAAACAACAAACAAAAACACAAUUAUGCUGGGCUAGUAACAUGACAACGGAAUCUGAAGCAAAGACAUGAAGAACAAUAAGAAACUAAAAACAUGAACCACCUUACACACAGACACACUCAACUCCAAAACCCUUACUGGUAGAAGUUAAACUUAAACCUAAAAUGAGAACCAUGAUCACAACAAAUUCAAGGGAAAGGAGGAGAACCAGCGCCACCACCAGGACCACCGAGUCCACCACCGGUGCCCACUCCACUGCCUAUGCCGCCUAGGGUUCCGAGACCACCGGUGCCACCCAAGCCACCCAAGCUGUCGAGCCCUCCUGUCCCACCUAGUCCACCUGCACUACCGAUUCCUCCGCCAACUCCGCUGACUCCACCUAGCCCACCAAAUGGCAGUCCAGAAUCACCUACUCCUGCAAAGCCACCCAGCCCGCCAAAGGUGGCGAUGUUCUUUUGGUCAUCGAGACCAGCAUCACUAGGCACAGUCCUUGCAGUGGUGUGAGCCACUGCUAGGGCAAGCACUGCCAUGAUAAACCACUUUGCCAUCUCUCUCUUUUCUCACUCACUCACUCACCCUCUAAUGCUUCUUUUUGAGUGUGUACUCUGUUGCACCUGAAGGGUGUUGCGGGUCUCCUUUUAAAGGCCUAAAGGGAGGUGGGGGACAGUUGCAAGUAGUAAAUGAAGUUAAAUGCUGAUCAGUCCACAGCUAUACUCAGUCGAUGGAAUUGAACAGGAUUUGUUGCGACUAUGCUCCGAGCCUCAGGGCCUCAAAUUGAUCAACAUCUAACAAAUAAAAAUGAAAAUCACUUGCAUAUCAUCAUGGCUUCCAUACAGAUAUUAUGCAAUAUGUAUGGCUGUGCUGGAAUUCAGAAAAAUACCCCUGCCAAUAUUUGCAUGACAGAAAACCUAAAGUACAUGAAUAUUAGGGGUUUGUUUUGACGUAUGUAAAAUUUGAAUGACAGGCCACAAAAAAUGUCUCUUUCUCUGGUAAUUCUUUCGCGUUUUAUUUUUCAUAUCCUGAAUUUUUCAGUUGAUCUCUAAGAGAAUGUAUGGAAAAAAUGAAUACCAAAUUAGAUAAAUUGAUACCUAAUACUAUAUUAAUACCUCUCUGGGGUGCAUUUAGUCUUUUUGGGCUUACCAUAUGAGAUAGAAAGGGAUCAUGCAAAAUAGCAUAAAGAAAUUUUUUGGAAUUAUUAUGUUUUGAAUAUUUUUUUUUAAAAAAAAAAGAAAAAAGAGUUAUGCAUGAUGUUAUUUAUUUUGACUAGAAUGGAGACUAAGUAUUAUAUAUAUAUAUGUAUUAACUUUCUUUGUUUUUUUCCAUAAAAUUUUACUUCAGGGUGUAGGUAAGAAGAUUAUCAAUCCACCAAACUGCUGAUAAUCUUUCAAUGUUAUGUUGGAAUCCAUCCAGUGCCUGGCUUUGUGAUCAUUAUAGAUGUGUCAUUGUAAGAUGGAGAAUUUAAGCCUUGGUUUGUAUUAUUUGAUUCUUUUUAGUUGAAGUAUUGACCAAAAAGAAUUCACAAACUUUUGAGAACAUUAUACUCAUAAUGGAAAAAGAAAACAAAAAUUAUAGCUACACCCGUUUAAUCAAAUUAAGAAUUUUCAUGUUAAUUUGGAGUCAUGAAAAUUAUUAGAAUUUUUAGAUAAGAUGGCUAAGUACUUUAUCCAAAUAAAAAUUAAUUAGGUCUCAUUUUUCUACUCUGAUGAACAUGAUGAGAAUUUGGUGAGAACUGAAAGAUAAAGGCCAAGGGUUGCUGAAGCUCCACUUAUUGGGCAAAUACUAGAGAGAAGGAGAGUGAGGUGAUCAAUGGGGUAGGAAGAAUCAAUAACAGCUCCUCCAGCGGCCCUCGGCAGGACUAAGGCUGAGGAUGCUGACCUUGGUGGAGGAGAAAGUAAAUGCAAUUAUUAGGACGGUUUGUGGACUCCUAUUAGUUGUUUCACCUGUUCUUAAUAAUUCGUUUUAUGACCUACAAUCUGAUACACACAUCUUCAUGCUCAUGUAUACAUGCAUGUGUUAUCCCAUAUGCAUCUUGUUAAGUAAGAGUUUAUUUGACAAUGAUUUUUGGAAAUGUUUCAAGUUUUUUUAAUAUUUGAAAGAUAAAUUUUUUUAAAAUGUUAAAAAGAGUAGAAACACUUUUUAAAAUCACUCUCAAACAUACUCUAAGUUAUAAAAUUAAUAUUUAUAGCAAAAAAAUCAUAUUUAAAGACAAUAUUUAUUGAUGGAAAAUAGGUUUUUAAAAUCUUUUGCAAUAAAAUUUUAAUUUACACCAAUAAAUCCCAUUUAUCCACAAAUUAAAGUUAAAAUAUUUGAUAGAAUUUUUAAAAGAUAUGAAAUCGGAGAACUUGUCUAUAUUUGGCCACUUGUUGGCAUUAGAUGCUUACAUCUAGUGAGAUGUCUGCGUUUGUAUUUAUAAAUGUAAAUAUAAGAUGGAACAACAUAUGUCCAUGUAUUUGUAUUUUAGAGUGGAGAGACUAGUACCAAACAUAUUGUUGUCUAUUUUGCUUUCAUUGGGGGGUAGGUAAGCUUGUAAUGAGUUAUGGUAAAGAGAGAGAGGGUGAGAGAAUCUGCAAAAUCUAAGAGUCUAUUCAACCAUGUGAGUAAAAAACAAUCUUUAAAAAUUCGUAAUACUGUUUGAGCAUUGUUCUCUAUUUACAAUUUUUAAAAACAAGUGAAAUAAAGAACAAUUUUUAAAGGAUAAAUAAAAGUUAUUUUCAUCAGUUUUUAAAAAUAAAAGAAAAAUAUAGAGAAAUUUUUAAAAAUCAUAAAAAUACAAAUAAGAUUGAACAUCAUAUCAUUCUUUUUCUUUGUUGAUGAUAAUACUAAUAUUUUAAAUAUGAUUUUCCUAUAAAUUAUACUUGUUUUUGUAAAUUUCUUUUAACUUCUCCAAAAUUUUUCAUUAAGCAAAUAAAUUUUAUAUCAAAUUAUGCUUUACAUAUGACAUUUAUUAAUUGUUAAAAAUAAUUUAAAACUCAAAAACCGAUAUAAUUAGUAGUAAAAAGUCAUAGAACUUAAUAACAUUAAAAAGUCAUAAACCAAAAUUUAUUUUAUGACAGUUAAUUUCUUCUUUACAUAUAUCCUAUUUUUACUAAUUUUUUUAUUAGGCAAAUAAACUUCAAAUUUAGUAAGGCCUAUUGAGUUGGAUUCAUGAAUGAUCUAAUAAUUUUUAAAAAUAACUUAAAACUCAAAUAAUGUUCCAAUGAAUAUUAGAAAAUUGAUGGAUAAAAAUUGGUUUAGAAUAACUAUUAUUUCUUUUCUACAUAGAAUCAUUAUUUUUUUAUUUUAAUUUUUUUGUUAGAUAAAUAAACUCCAAAUUAAACAAGACUUAAUGCAUUAGAUUCAUCAAUGAGUCUAAUAAUUUUUAAAAAUAACUUAAAAUUCAAAUAGUGAUCUAAUCAAUACCAAAAAUUGAUGUACAAAAAUUAGUCUAGAAUGACUCUUUUCCCUUCUACAUAGAAUUAUUAUUUUUUGAUUUUUUUUUUUGUUAGGCAACUAAACUCUGAAUUAAACAAAACUUAAUGCGUUGGAUUCAUCAACGAGUCUAGUAAUUUUUAAAAAUAAUUUGAAACUCAAAUAAUAAACCUAUUAUCAUAAAAAAUUUAUGGACACAAAUUGGUUUACAAUGACUAUUAUUUUUUUUCUACACAUAAUUAUAUUUUUUUUUAUAAAUUCUCACACUAGGAAAAUGAACUUCAAAUCAAGUGAAGCUUUAUAUUAAAUUUAUUAAUGGGUUUAACAAAUUUUAAAUAUAAUUUUGAACUUAAGAAAUAGAUCUAAUCACUAAAAAACUAAUAAAUCAAAAUUGAUAUAUUAUGAGUCUUAACUUUGCUAUUUCUCAAUGCACACAACCAUAUAGAUUAUUAGUUUGCUUGGAUUAAAAACUAUUUCAUGAACCAAUAAUAACGACAAAUACUCAUAAUUAACUUUGCUCUUUGAUAAUUGUUAGUUUAUUGUUCAUAUGUGGAUAUAGGAUAGUAAUGGUUUUAUAAAUAUUAUGUUGAUUUACAUUAUGAAUGCAUAACAUUGUAUAUUGUAUUAGAGAUAUGAUAUAUGAUAAUUCUAUAGGUAAAAAAAAAAAGUGAAAAAACACAACAAAUAAGGCAAAUGUUGUCGAAAUUUGGGUAGAAUUUAGUAUUUUAUUUUUUAGAAAUUUGUUUAAUUUUAAUAAUUUAUAAAAUGCAUACUUAUGAUGUCACCGGUUUGACCAUGGUUUGGUUCUCAGUCAAACCAAUGAACUAUAUAUAUCUGCUUAUGUUCAUAUAAAUAUGCUUUGCAUGAUUGUAUGUUGCAUGACUACCCUCCUUUUGCAUGGUGCAUGAUUUGUUUAUCUAUGUGGACACACAUGCAUCCUUCUACUCCGAUUUUCAUAGCUCGAUCAAUCAUUUUCUUGUAUUUAGUUGAAAAUGACCAUGUCUUUGUACUAUGCUUGCUCUUCAAUUGAGCUAGUGACUAGGAGUGAGAUCUAGAUUUGGGCUACAUGGAAUUUGAAAGUUGUUGUGACACCAUCAGACUAGUGUCGCAUCAUCAACACCAAUAUUGUUUGCUUAGUGUUAGAGCCAUCUCAUCAGCAUUGCCAUGUCAUCGUUCGAUCUUCAGUGACAUCUUAUCACUAAUAUCAAUGCCACAUGCUAACCAUUAGAGCAGAUCAUGUGAUGAAGGACUCGGCUGAUCACGGUCAGACUAUGUGCCGAUGGUUUGCCCAUCCCCUAGGCGUCUACAAGGCCAUGCAUCCUCUGAAUAGCCUCUCUAGGCUCAAAACCCGACACAGUGGGCCAAGCCUUGGACUCAUACACCCUGAGUCCAACUGAAGGGAUGUCGAAAAUGCGGCAAAUGCUUUCCGGGCUCCGCUUGAUCUCAACACCUCAAACGAAUUUAGGGUUAAUUCCAAUUUUGGUUUUGAAACUUGAUGCAUAACUAUCAGAGUAUAAAAGGAUUGACAUUGAAACAUAAUCAUUGAUGUUCAAGGGAAAACAACUUACUAUCUAGUUCUAUAUUUUGAGAUUGAAUUCUUAGAAGGAAUCAAGUCAUGCCUUUUGUCAAAUUAGAAUCACAUCCAAUCAAUUUGUUCUAAGAUUGUUGGAUUUUUGUUUAACACGACAUUGUUCAUCUACAUACAACACAACUUAACUCCCCUUUAAUUAUACAGGCUAAACCAAAAUAUUGCUACAUACUAAAAGAGAAAAAGACAAUUAUGCAUGUAUCUGGAACGUUCAAUAAAAAUAACUAAUUCGGAGAUUUCUCUUUGGAUUUCGGGGCAUUACGUUAUCAACUAUAUAUAUAUAUAUAUAUAUAUAUAUAGAGAGAGAGAGAGAAAUUAUUUUGUGCUCUUUGUUCUUUUAUGACAUAGUUAGUUUCUUCUCUAAUCAUAAACCCUAAACCAUCGAUAAUAUAAUCUAAUAUUAUAGUAUAUGUUAGAAACAUAAGGAUAUUAACAUUUUAGUAAAUUUUUUGUAAAAAUUAAAUAUAAUAAUAAUUAUUAAUAUUUUAUUUAAAAUGAAUAACAAAUAAAGUUUAAGUUUUUAACAUGUAAAUGAGCCAAGUUUUUCAUUACAUGCACAUAUUUAGUAUUCAAUUACAAACAUAAUAUUCUCAAAUAUUUUGAUUUAAUUUGAAAUUAACUGAAUUGGUUUUUUGAAUUCCAAAUUAUUCUUAAAAAUUAAAUAAUCAAAUUAUUAUUAAAAAAUUAAAAUUCUUUAAAGAACUUAAAUUAUUAAUUAUGUCUUAAUUUAUAAUUUAUUUGCCUACUGAUAAAAUUAAUACAUACAUACACACACACACACACACACACACAUAUAUAUAUAUAUAUAUAUAUAUAUAUAUAUAUAUAUAUAGUUGUGUGCAUUGAGAAAUAGCAAAGUUAAGACUCAUAAUAUAUCAAUUUUGAUUUAUUAGUUUUUGUCUGGUCUGUAUAUAAGUUUUUGUCUGGUCUGUAUAUAGCCUAUUGAUACUUCAAUUGAUACUCAAAAUAUUUCCAAAAAUAUUUAUCAAUAAAAAUAUUGAUAUUAACACUCCUCAGCUAAACCAGCCUGCUUACUACCAGCAGACUUGAUUUAUAAUUUUUCAAUAUUAUAAAUGAUUUUUCAGCUAACUGAUUAAAUGAUUGUCCUGUCUGGGUUUCUUCAUCAGCUAUCUUGUUUGAUUGGCUGAUGUGUAUGCGUUCUUUACUUUCUUUCUUCACGUAUGUUUGUUUUGAUGGAAAAUGGAAUGGGGAAGAAAGAAAUGAGGUGGUGUUGCCAAUUGCCAGUUGCCCAGAAUCAAGAUCCCCUUCUCCUUUAUUUCUUCUUCAUUUCUUUUCUUUUGUUUUGUUUUUUAGUUUUGGAGCACCCAUUAUCAAUCCUACUUCCAAGCUUUCUUCUUUUAGUCCUCUCAAUAAAGAGAACACCUAUACCUGCAUCAGAUUUUUGUCUUAACCGAUUUCUUCUUAUAGAAUUGGAAAUUAAUUUUUAUGGAGGUAUUAAUCUCAUUGUUUUCUUGGGUAGGAGUGAUUUUAGAACUAUUCCAUGCUAUAUUUCUCCUCAUAAUUCUCUUUCUUGAAUUGUUUAAAUUGGAUUCGACAGGCCAAGUUGUUGUCUGGUCUAUGUUAUUUAAUUCUUGUUCAUUUUCAUCAGGAUUUAUUUCUUCAACUGUUUGAAAGUGGUGGGUGCAUUCUCAAACCUUCAGUACUAACAAAUUGUACAAGGCAAUGGAUGGUGGUGCUGGCUAUCUGUGAUAACCACAUAUAUUCAAGUUGUCAAUGGAUUCUAUUAACUUCUUUCUUUCUAUUUUCUUCAAGUGACUAUGAAAUGUGAAGUGCUCAGCUAUUUUUCUGGUAGUCAGAAUUUGUUUGUUAAUCAAAUCAAUUAAUAUCCGAAACUUUGAGAUUUUGUACAACUGUUAUACCUUCUCAACAAUCUCAAUAAUUCUUUGUUGUAAAUUGGUAGAACAGAAUCGACCCAUACCGAGCCAAUCUACAAAUAAGGGACGUGAUCAGAUUCUUGUAAUUGAGGUUCCAGUCGAAAAGGUGAAUUAAUGUAGUAUAAUUAUCUUGCUUUCAGUUGAAUAUAAACCUUAGUUCCAAUUUGCACUGCCAAUGCUUCCAGGUUGGUUUUCUCAUUGGAAGGAGAUGUGCAACCAUUGAUCAAAUACAACACACUUCUGGAGCUUUGAUUGGGGUUUGUGAUUUAACCACAAAAGCUUUAGUAUAUGUUAAGUUAUUCAAAUUAUCUUUCCUUACCAUGAGUGAUAUGUUAUUUGUCUCAUUACCUUCACUACAAGAAUUUUUUUUAUAAAAAAGUACACAUUUUAAGCGUCAAGAAAGAUUGUAAAUGAAAAAUUCAUUUUGGAAUAUAUAUAUGGAUUCAUCAUAAACCCUAAACUUGAUGAGGUUUGCUCGGAUUAAAAACUAUUUCAUGUCAACUGCAACCCAGAGUUGUUCAUAAUAUCUAGAGCCUUAAGCUCACGACCCAGAGUAGCUUAUGUCAUCCACAACCUGGAGUUGUUCAUAGCAUUUGGACACCUAAGCUCACAACCUAGAGUCGGCCAUAUAAACCAUAGCCUUGAACUAUUCAUAGUAUAUAGAACACUAAGCUCAUGACUCAGAGUUGUUCCUAUUAGCCACAUCCCUGAGCUAUUCAUAGCAUUUAAACCCUUGAGCUCACAAACCUAAGUAGCUCAUGUCAUCCAUAGUUGUUAAUUGUUCAUAGUAUUUAGAGCACUGAGCUCAUGACCUAGAGUUGUUCAUGUCAACCAAUCAUUGGGUGACAAGGAAAAUUUAAAAAGUGGUUUAGAAUCGAUUGAAAUCAUUCACAAAGGAUAAUGUUGUACACCUUUAUACAAUUAGUACAUUUUCCUUGUACAAUUAGUGUAAUACUCUUGUACAAUGACACAAAUUGCAUAUCCUUUCUAAGUUAUGUGUCCAUCGUAGGAGUGUUUAACCAUAUUUUCAAUGGUUUAGUUGAGAAGAUGGUGGCAUAUAGAUUGAAGCCAAAAUAUUUUGGUUUUCCAAAAUAUUCCCCAGCUGGUCUAUCAAAAAAGGCAAAUGAGGAAUUUUUAUUCAAUUUUUCAUUUUAUAUGGAAAGGUUUGGAAGAAUAAUGAAUUACAAAGGGUAAAAUUGUCAUUGAGUAUAUAAUUGACAAAAGAGUAGAUCAAUAAGAGAAAAGGGCAGGCAACAGAGAUUGACGAUAUUUUGGAUAAAAUAAAGAUGAUUGAUAAUCGUAGAUGAGAGGAGCACAAAAAUAAAUGGUGGUUUUGAUUAGAGGUUUGCUUGAUAAUUGAUGAGAUAUGGUAGCAAAAUGAUCUACUGCAAGAAUCUAAAAAACCCAACCUACAAUGAUUUUGAAAUUGAGGGUUUAGCUUCAUUUCUCAUGUUUGUGUGACUUAUUUCUUAUUUUGUAAUGGUCAUUCUUUAUCUCCUAAACUCAUGAUAUCCUCAUCUUACUUUUUCUUACAGUCCAUGAGUCUUAACUCACUCAUUUUCUCAUUUAACCCCUUAAUAUUUCAAAAUCUAAAAUAGUUUCAACUUGCACAAUUUACUUCUCAUAAACCUGAGAUAUAUCUCCAAAAUAAAAAUUAAACUUAUGAAUAGGGCUUUAGCAUUGAUUUAGGUUAAGUUGGAUGAUUUGAGUGUCCUUUAGUGUACAAAUGGUAUCAAAUAUGUGUCAUUAGAGCACAUAUUUUGGCUCCAAUUAGACACCUUCAUUCAUGUCAAGACAUAACAAUUCCAAUAUUAGAAAUCAUUUAAUAUUGGAAUUAAACCCAAUAUUUUCAUUUAUUGAGGAAGUAUAUUCCAAGGCGCAAACCAAAGAAGGCAAUGAAGAAUAGGCUACUUUAGGCAAGUCAUGACAAAUUACCACUCAUGCUCGAGAAUUUCCAUCCUUUUGGAAGAGAAGAUGGCCGUGACGUAACUAUUGUGGGUUGGCUAAGGCUUAUGGGUAACUGAGGUCUAAAAUAAAUAAAGAAAUGCUUCAACUUGAACUCAACUCUAUCCCACUCCUACAUUAAGAUACUCAAUUUAAGUUGAACUCAAUUUCAUAUUUCCAAAAUUCGGGUUGAAUUCAAAUUGGUUUUAUUAGAAUUGAUUCAGUUUUUUUAGAUUAUGUAGGCCAAAAUUGAAUUACGUAAUAUGCUAGGUUAGGUUGGGUUGCCUACAAUUUGAAUAAUAUAUGACAUGAUAUUUCAAAAUAAUAAAAACAAAUAAAAUUGCCUUUUUUGAAAAUAAAUAUUACAUGAUAUAAAUAUAAUUUGAUAUUUUUAAAAAAAAGUUAAAGAAACAAAUAAAAUAAAUACUAUUAUAUAGAAUAAUAAAAUUAUAAAUAUUAUGAAAAUAUUUUAUUAGGUUUGAAUUAGGUUGAAAACGUUGACCCAAACGCAACCAAUGUUAAACCCAGUCCAAAUACUAAAAAUAAUUACCUAAGUCCGGCUCAAAAUUGUAUUGGAUGAAUCCAAUCCUCCAAAUUUCACCCUAAUUUUAGCUAUAUAAACCACUUAUUUUAGUUUAAAAUUAUCCAUCAUUUCAAAAGUUUUAUUUUCUUACUCUGAUCGAUAAACUUUCCAUUAAAUUUUGUUAUGCAACAAGUUGAGUUGUAAUUUCAAAUAUUUGGUCUCCAUUGUGCAUCUUGAUAUUUGCAUGUGCAGAGAAAACGGAGAUAGCAAAGUCUAAAGGUCCACGAGAGUUUCUGAAUUGGAUUGACGUUCAGAAGAUGAAGUACACUUGGGGUGUGGCAUGAGAAACAAUGAGGCUUUCACCACCGCCUUAGGAACUUACCGACAAGCCUUAACUGACCUCACUUAUGGAGGUUACACAAUUCCAAAGGGAUGGAAGGUAUGCUAUAAAUACUGACAGAGUUUCACUUGCGGUUAGUCUAGGUUUAAGGUUGGCUAAGUUUGAUACAAUUCACUAACAUGACUGAAUCUAACAUAUUUUUCUCGGGUUUAAGUUGAUAAUAAUCUGUUGACCUAUAUAAUCUGUAUGGUAAACAUAAUUAUACAAAUUUAAUUUUAAUCGACCUAUUUAAUAAUUAUAUUAAUUAAUAUAAUUAUAACCAUAAUUUACUUAACUCACAUUUGACUCAUUUUAAAAUUUAAUUUUAAAUAAAAUUGCAAAAAGUGUGUUGAUUUCUUGCAGACACAUUGGAACGUGAUUUCAACGUACAGAGAUCCCCAGUACGUCCCCGAUCCUGAGCAGUUCGAUCCAUCGAGGUUCGAAGGAAAGGGGCUUGCACCAUACUCAUUUGCGCCGUUUGGAGGAGGACCAAGGAUGUGUCCAGGGAAGGAAUAUGCUUGAUUGCAGCUACUAGUGUUCAUGCAUAAUGUCGUGACAAGGUUCAAAUGGGAGAAAGUAGAUCCAAAUGAGAAGAUUACAUACACACAUUCACCUAUUCCUAUGAAUGGCUUCCCAAUUCGCCGCCACCCUAAUAAAAAAAUAUAGUCAUGAUUUAGCCCUUGGUAACUCUAUCAUGAGCAUAAAUGGGAGAUGAAUAAAUGGAUUAUAUGGAUUUAUAUUUGCAUUUUGAUCUGAAUAAUUAUGUAAUAAAAUGUUUGAGUAUGGGCUAUAUUUGUAUCUGCAUGCCUUGAUUUAGGAUAUUUUUUAAUAAGUUGUUUUAGUUGUUUUAAGAUAAAGACCACGUUGAGCUGUCUUGUAAAAAGUCUUUGUUAAUCAAAUCACACAUUCACAUGAGUAAAAAAUAAAGAAAAAAAUAAGAUUUUUAAUAUGGUUCGACAAUCAAUAUGAUCCCUAUAUCCACGAAAUACACCAAUACUUAACAAUUCACUAAUUAACACGAAUGAGAAGAGUUACAAUAAUGAAACUUUCGAAAAACACCUCUCAAUUACAACCGCACUCUCUAAGAAAUAAAACUCUAAAUAUAAAAGGGUUAAAUAUAUAAUAGGGGCAAACUCGAUCCUCAGCAUUCAGAACGAAGCAUAACAAAACUGAUUUAGAUUUCACAAUCCAACCAAUUUUGUGUAAUCUCAUUUUCUUUUUUAUUUUUUUCUUGGAGGAAAAAUAGAAGUUGAGAGAGAGAUUGGUGCUUCAGGCACGUUGGCCUUGUCCUAGUUUUGGUGUUAACAUGUCAAAUAAUUACCCCAAAGAAACCCAACAUAGACCACAAAAAUAAAAAUAAAAAUAAAAAUUCCUUUUUGACCCAAGUGACGUUGUACUUGAUUAAAUCAGCUAUAGUGAAUAUAGAGAGAGCAACCCAGCAAACACAAGCUAUGGCAACUUAUGAUAUCUUCUCCUUCAUCUCUACCAUCUUCCUCAUCCAUUCCCGAUUAAAAAAAUGUUGCCUAAACCCAUUUAUAUCUAUCCUACACUUGUCUUAUUGAAGGUAGGAAAACCAAUUUAUAUCUAUACUAAGCAUGCCUCAUUAAAGGUGGGAUGGGGUGGAUCUUCUAAAUUACUUGUCCCAUUGUCAUAUCUAGGUAUGGGCUUGACUCGAUUCUUUGUGGCCGUACCCAGCCCAAGUAUCCAAGGACUAGGCUCAAGCCCUGGAUUUUCUUACCAGCUAGUGGAUCUCUAUAUAGCUUCCCAUAAUAAAGAGAGUACACACAAAAUAAUGUUUAUUUUAUGCUUCUAAUUGUUUUAUAUCUCCUAUUUUUUUCUAAUAUAUAGCUCCAUGGUGCUCUUGUUUUGUGAUGCUAAAUCUUAGAAUUCAAUUAAGCUACUUCAAGGAGGUGGAGAAGUUGCUGAGGAAGAAACUGCGUAGUGAAGAAGCCAAGAUGCUAUUGAUGAAAGCUGUCUACUUGUUUAGUAUCGGAGGAAAUGAUUAUAGGGCCAUGGCAUCCUAUUUGCCUCACUCCCUUAAGAUUCAAUAUGUUGCCACUGUCAUUCGCAACUUGACACUUGCCCUUGAGGUUAGCAUUGCUCUCAUCACAGUCUUAAUAUAUAGUUUUUCUUUCUUCCUUUUUCAAAAUUUUCAAUCAUUUUUACUAAAGAUGGGAAGGAGGUAGGUUUUUUUGCGGAUACCCAUCAUUCCUAACUUCUAAUGGAAAAGUUUUAGUUUUGACUAACAACGAUAAACAGAUCCGGUUUAGACUUUUUUUUUAACCAUGGUUAGAAUCAUAUAAUUAAAGUUUAAACAAAUUAAAAAAAAUGAAAGGAAAAAAACAAAGAAAAAAGAAACUCUUCUCCCUUUUUAAAUAUUUUGCUUUGAGAUAAAGAUAAGAAUAUGUUUAAAUAAUAGAGGCAAGGCUUGGAUGGAAGGACCCUCCUAAAUUCGUCCCAUUAUCAUCUCUAAUUUUUACUACUAAAUGAUCAUUUGAAAAAUAAUAAUAUUAUUGCCUUAAAAGUUUACCUAAUAUGCAAAAUAUAAAGGGAAAUGAAUAGGAAUCAUAUUAUCAUAUAAUAAAAAUUGAGUUUUAGUUUCUAUGAAAAUAAGUAAUUUUAAUAAAAUAAUUAAUAAAAAAAAAGGGAUGAAUAUUUCAUUCUUAUUUUCUACUCUUUAGCUCUAUCCUUUCAAUAUAUAUAUCUAUGUAUAUUUGUCUACAAUUUUAUUCCAAAAAUACUUUAAAGAUUUAAAUAAUCUCGUAGAUAUUCUUGCUCAAUUUAAUAGCCAAACGUCUAAUAACCCUAAUAAACCUAUUGAAACCAUUGAAAUAAGACUCUUAGCUUUACAAGGCAACAACGUCUAAUAAGCCCAUUGAAGCCAAUGAAGUAACCCUCUCAACUUCACAAAGCAAAGGUGUCACAAUAGAUGGUUGCAUCUCUCCAUCUUCCAUAGCCACCAGCCAAAUCAUUGCAACAACUUGGGAAAACAAGUGUGCCUUCCACCUCUUUGUCCAUGUUUCUUGUUGUGAGGAGUCGACUAGAAACCCUAACUUCUAAAAGCCACCGAUUGGAUUUAUUUCAAUUUCAUGUAUGCACCACUCAAUUUUCUAAAUUAACUCUUUAGAAUCAAGUUACCAUUCCUGAUUAAAUAAAUUAUAUUCGUUAGCAAUCAUUCAGUCUACCAUGCAUUGAUUACCAUUGUAACCAUAUAUAUGGAUGUCUUCUUUUUUUAUUCUUCUUCUAACUUUCCACAUUCUUCCCUAAUUUUUCACUUUCACUUCCCUUUCAAUCUACUGCUUCCAUUUUUUCUUUUUUUCUUUUUUAACCUGGUGGGAAUUUAGGUUAUUACUUUAGUUUUCCAAGUAUUACAUUACAUUAUGCUAUCAAAUAUAAUAUUCUUUUUAAGAAAAAUUCCAUUCAUCUUUGAAUUUGGUGUAAUAAAUAGAUUGAUUGCAUUUUCUAAUGUCGGUCCUCUAUUCGACAAGCAAGAAAUUUGCUUAGAAUCAAGGGUACAUGAAAUUUCUAACUCUUCUUUAAAGGUUCUCCAAGCUCACAAAUCUCUUGUGUUCUCUAAAAAUUUGGUCGAUGGUAUCCUAUAAGGAUUUUGGUAUCUCAAGUUUCUAGAUUUGAGUUUGACUGAAAUUCACUCAAAAUACGUUUCUAAACUCGGUAGAAUUGUCAUGAUCGCUUGAGUGGACUUAGGUUGUUUAAGAGUUCUAACCACUUGAGUGGUCCCUGUUUUUUGAAAAAUCAUUUUGAAAAUAUUUUAAGCUCAAAAACGAUACCCCCCCCCCCCCCCCCCCACACACACACACACAACUGUGCACCCCUUAGAAUGUCAUGGCGAAUAGCAGAGUCAUAAGGAGCAAUAAACUAGUAGGAAGAAUUCCUCCCAUGGGGAACCCCCCUAGGCUAUGAUUUAGUGCAUGUGUAGAGGUGAUGACCACUUUGCAUGGAAAUGCCCGUCUCUUCAGAGACUUGUUGGAGGUUGCAUGCUAUUGGCGGUCUAGUAUGAUCAUUCCUACUAAGGUACCUUUGAUCCUACCUUUUAGAGCCAUCUUUACCCUAUAGAAUGAGAACUAGAACUUUGGCUUAGGAUACUUGCCCACAUGUGGUGCAUUUGUGUACAGUGAUUUUCAAUGGUAGAGUUUGAGAAGUGCUUUAAAUGAGGACUCAUAAGAUAUUGGUUAAGAGAAUUGCCUUCAAUGUGAUUAUUGAGUACACUAUCUUUUUUUUUUUUUUUUUUUAAUUUAUUGAAUACAUUAAUAUUAUUGUGCAUUUUGAAAGAUUUGUCCCGUAUUUUAGUUUCAUGAUAAUAUUGUUGAUUAAAAACUAUUUCACUCAAAUUAAUACAAGAAAUCUCGAUUUUACUUGAUUUUUUUCAAGUCUGUAUGAAAUAAAUAGGAAAUAUUUAUUUCAUAAAGACUUGAAAAAAUAAAAUUUUAUUAUCAUAAAUUCUCAUUAAAUUGGAGCCAAUUGGUGUAUUUUUAAAAAUUAUGAUUUAGGAGUUUAAUUAUUAACCCAAAUUAAACCUAUGAGAUAUUAAGAAUAAUAAAUAUAAUAAAAGAUCAAGCAAGGAACACAAUAAUUUUUACAUCCCCACUAAUUGCAUGUAGGGGUGCUAAUGAAGACUGAAAUAUAGAUCUCCUUUUCUUAAUCGGUACAUGCUCUGCUUUAUCACUGAAACGUCUCCCAAGAAUAGCGAUACCAAGCUUCUCAGAUUCAGAAACUGAGGCAUUCUCUGUUUUCUGAUGAAUUUCCAUUGCCCUUACAGCAUCAUGCUUUCACAUCUUGAGAUAAGUUCAUCUUACUGUUUAAUCAUGUAUUCUCAACUUGAAAGCUUUUCAUUUUCAUCCUUCAUGUUGAUCAGUAUUUCUUCACUGCUCGGCAUAAAUUGAAGAUCAAAACAAUCAGGCACAUAUUGACUUGAAGAAUUGGAAAGAACAAUUGCUUCAUUCAUUGUUGUGAAGAGAGAGAGAGAGAAAAAAAAAGGGAGAAUCCCUAAUUAUUGUUAUUGAAAAACUGUAAAGAAUACACAUUGGACUUGGGUAUAUAUAUAUACAUGCUAGUGGGACCCACAAUACAGUAAGGAAAGAAAAGGAAAAGGAAAAGUAAAUAACCUAAAUAACUAUACAUUAUCUAACACUCCCCCUCAAGCUGGAGCAUAUAUGUUAUAUGCACCAAGCUUGUUACAAAUGUGUUUAAUUCUAGGACCUCUGAGAGAUUUAGUAAAAAUAUCUGCUAGUUGAUCAUUUGAAUUGACAAAACUAGUCACCACACAUCCUAAUGCGAUCUUCUCUCUAAUGAAGUGACUGUCAACUUCAAUGUGUUUGAUCAUUUCAUGGAAGACUGGAUUGGAUGCAAUAUGCAAAGCGGCUUAGUUGUCACAAAUGAGCUUCAUCUGUUCAUCCUUUCCAAAUCUCAACUCCCGAAGAAGAUGUUUCAGCCAUAUGAGUUCACAUGUUGCCAGAGCCAUAGCUCAAUACUCGACUUCAGCACUAGAUCUGGCCACUACAUCUUGUUUCUCACUCUUCCAAGAUAUUAGGUUACCUCCAAUAAAAACACAAUACCUAGAAGUGGAACGCCUAUCUGUGGGUGAGCCAGCCCAAUUUGCAUCUGUGUAACCAACAACUUGGGUAUGAUCUAUGUUCUCGUACAACACACCUUGGCUUGGUGUGCUUUUGAUAUAUCGAAGAAUGCGGAUUACAGCAUCCCAAUGGCUAUCACAUGGUGAUUGUAGGAAUUGACUAACAACAUUUACAGGAAAAGAAAUGUCUGGACAAGUAAUGGUGAGGCAGCUUAGUUUACCUACAAGUCGCCGAUAUCUCCCAGGAUCUUCUAAAGGCUCCCCCUGUCCUGGUAUAAGUUUGACAUUUGGAUCCAUAGGAGUGUCUACCAGUUUACAGUCUAACAUACCGGUUUCUUCCAAGAUGUUUAAAGCAUACUUCCUUUGGGAAAGAACCACACCGGAACUGGAUUGAGCUAUCUCAAUCCCUAAGCAAUACUUGAGUUUCCCCAAGUCUUUAGUCUGAAAGUAGGUGAAAAGGUGUUGCUUUAGGUUCUGAAUACCAUUCUGAUCACUACCUGUAAUGACGAUGUCGUCCACAUAAACUACCAAAUAAAUACACUGCCCCGAAGAGUUAUGAUGAUAGAAAACGGAAUGGUCUGUUGUACUGUGGAACAUGGCAAACUCUUGAACAACAUAACUAAAAUGGCUAAACCAUGCUCAAGGAGAUUGUUUCAAGCCAUAUAGAGAACGACAUAACCUGCACACUAAACCAGACUCCCCCUGAGCAACAAAACCAGGUGGUUGCUCCAUAUAAACUUCCUCAGCAAGAUCCCCAUGAAGGAAAGCAUUUUUAAUAUCUAACUGAUAAAGAGGCCAAGAACGCAUAGCAGCCACGGAGAAUAAUAGACAAACAGAAGCUAUCUUGGCAACAGGAGAGAAAGUGUCACCACAAUUAGAACCAUAAACCUGAGUAUAGCCUUUAGCAACUAAGCGGGCCUUAAGGCGAUCAACCUGACCAUCAAGGCCAACCUUAACUGUGUAGACCCAACAACAACCAACUGUAGAUUUACCAGAGGGUAAAACAACAAGAUCCCAAGUGCCAUUGAAGUGUAAAACAACCAUUUCAUCUACCAUUGCCUGUUGCCAGCCUGGAUGGGAAAGAGCCUCAGGGGUGCUUUUGGGAAGAGAAACAGAAGAUAUAGCAGAAAUAAAUGCAGAAUAGGGUGAAGAUAAUCGAUGGUAACUCAAAAAAUUGUAAAUGGGAUGAGGAUUACGAGUAGAUCGAUUACCUUUUCGAAGAGCAAUGGGUAAGUCAGCAGAAGGAGGCAGAGUUGGGGCAAGAGAAGCCGAAGGGAUAAGAGGUGAGUCAGUAGGUACCGCGGCCAAAGAAGGAGGAACAACAAUACGAUGACGGCGAUGAUAAACCUAAAGUGGGUGAGAAGGCACUGCAUCAGGUGGGGAGAUAAUGGGAAGGGGUAAGACUUCAGAAAUAGGAAGAGACUCAGAGGUGGAGAAAAAUGGUGAGUCCUCAAAGAAAGUGACAUCAGCGGAGAGAAAGUAGCGAUGAGUCUCAGAGGAAUAACAACGAUAACCCUUUUGAAGUCUGGAAUAUCCUAAGAAGAUGCAUUUUGUGGCUCUGGCAGAAAGUUUGUCCUGUCCAGGAGUGAGAAUAUGAACAAAGCAAGUACAACCAAAAACACGAGGAGGAAGGAAAUAAAGUGGUUGGUCAGGGAAAAGAAGGGAACGAGGAAUCCGAUCGUGUAAUACAGAUGAUGGCAUAUGAUUAAUCAAAUAACAUGCUGUAAGAAUAGCAUCCCCCCAAAAACGAAAAGGAACAUGACUAUGGAGAAGGAGAGUACAAGCUGUCUCAACAAGAUGUCGAUUCUUAUGUUCAACUACCCCAUUUUGUUGAGGAGUAUGAGCACAAGAAGACUGAUGAAUGAUCACAUGUUGGGACAUAAAUAAAGUAAAUGGUGUAGAAAAAUAUUCCCUGGCAUUGUCACCGCGCAACACACGAAUAGAAAUAUUGAACUAGGUUUGGAUUUCAGCAUAAAAUUUUUGAAAAAUAGAGAAUAACUCAGCUCAAUUUUUCAUUAAAAAUAACCAAGUACAUCGAGAAUAGUCAUCAAUGAAAGUGACAAAAUACUGAAAUCCUAAAGUAGACGCGGUCUGACAAGGACCCCAAACAUUAGUGUGGACAAGUUCAAAAGGAGACUUUGCUCGAUUAUUCAAACGUUUUGGGAACGAGACACGAGUAUGUUUCCCAAGCUGACAGGACUCACACGCAAGCGACGAUAAAGAUGAAAAACUAGGGACCAUUUUUUUGGAACUUGGAUAGACUAGGGUGGCCUAGGCGAUUGUGGAUGAGGAGGAGAGCAUCAGUGGAAAUGCAAACUGCAGGUGAAGACGAGGUGAGGUGAUAGAGGCCUUGAGACUCACGUCCUUUGCCAAUCGUCUUCCCCGUACUCCGGUCCUGCAAGAUCACAAAUUUAUCAGAGAAAGUGAUAGAACAGUUAAGAGUGCGAGUUAUUUUGCUGAUGGAAAUAAGAUUAAAAGGACACUCAGGGGCAUAAAGGACAGAAUGGAGAGGUAGGGAAGGGAGAGGUAGUAGUAAUAGAAGAGAAAAGAUCCUUAUUACCAGAUAUGUGAUCAGAAGAGCCAGAAUCUAGAAUCCAAGGUCCAAGAGAAGAUGUGUGGGUAAGACAAGCAAAAGCAUUACCAGUCUGGGCAACAGAAGCUGACUGGGUGGCCUGAUAGCGGAGAUAGUCGUCAUACUCACUGUCAGUGAGGAAAAUACCCUGAGAUGUGGAGGAACUGGGAGGCUGAGGCGACUGAGGAUCAGAUGACUGGGCCACGUGGGCAGUGCGAGGAGGUCGCCCAUGUAACUGAUAACACCGAUCAUGAGUGUGGCCAAGCUUAUUGCAAUAGGUGUAAUGAGAAUGUUGGCCUCUACCUCGGUUACCACUACGUCCUCCUCGAGAGUUAGUUUGAGAAACUAACACAGAAGAAUUUGAAGUGUUAUCAGAUGGCAAAGUCUGAGUGGAGGAGAUACGGAGGAGGCGAGCAAACACAUCAUCCAAGGAUGAAACGGAGGAACUGCCAAGAAUCUGAUCGCGGACGGUCUUGAGAUCUGAACGAAGGCCAAUAAGCGUAAGAACCAUGAAGAACUUGUCAAUCUGUAUGCGUUGAUCCCCAACAUCAGUAGUAAGAGGCAUCACGGUCAAGAAUUCCUCCUUAAGAGAGGCAAUCUGGCUAAUAUAAGUAGAUAAAUCCAUGUCUUGUUGUUUGACAUUGACAAUAGAAGAAACCACCUUAUAAAGACGUUGGAUAUCAUUCGUGUAUAACCCUUUCACCUGAUUCCAAAAUUUAAAGCAUGUUUUGUAGGCUUAAAGAUGAUGCAGAAUCUUAGGAUCAACUAAUUGCCAUAACACACUACAUAACUGUGCUUCUAUCUUUCUCCAUUGUACUUUGUCAACCUUAGGGAUAUCCACCUCCUGCGUAACAAGGUGAUCCUCAUAACCUUGACCCAUAAACCAAAGCUCCAUAGAGGCAAACCAGGACAAAUAAUUUUCACUGCCAACCAAUUUCUCCGAAGUAAUCAUAGGAGAUCCAGAUAUGACAGAGGAAAAAGGGAACUUUUAGUAGCCAUAUCUACUUAUCUGGUGAAUGAAAUACGUUUGGAUCAAAGAGAGCCCUAAUACGGCUUAUCGCGGACUUCCUAAGACACAUGCAGGGCUCGGGGUGGAGAGGAAGUCACCGGAGGUCGCUGGAAAGGCGGUUUAGAGGGCCGGCGGAGACAAAAAAACCCAAAAAAAAAUGCACUUUUAGGGCUCAGAUGACACAAGCGUAGAUGGAGGGUGGCUAGACGGCGUCAGGCGAGGCUGGAGGUGGAAGCGCGUGGCCGAAAAAUGCCCCACGCCCCUUCACGCGCCGGCGCGUGAGAUUCAGGCCGCCGGAGAAGAGACACGCGUGGCUGGGAUUCUUCCUCCGGUGCUUUGAGAAAAGUUGAAGAUCUCCUCCUUGCGCACCUGAUGGUAUGGUCGGUGUCAGAAAAGGACUUCGCCGGAAAAGGUCGCCGGAAAAUUCGCCAGCGGUAAGGGUUUUCCGACGGCGGUGAGGAUUGAUCGGAAGCUUUAGGAGAUGGGAAGAGUGACCGGAAUGAAACAUGGUCACUGAAAGAUUUCCCAGAAUGGAUUCACGGAUAAACCGAAAAUAAUUAGGGUUUUUUUUUUCUCCCUAGGCUCUGAUACCAUGUGAAAAGAGAGAGAGAGAGAGAAAAUGGAGAAUCCCUAAUUAUUGUUAUUGAAAAGCUGUAAAGAAUACACAUUGGACUUGGGUAUAUAUAUACAUGCUAGUGGGACCCACAAUACAAUAAGGAAAGAAAAGAAAAAGGAAAAGGAAAUAACCUAAACAACUAUACAUCAUCUAACAAUUGUUACUAUAUAUUUCUUUAUAAUAGAAAUGCUGAAAUUAAUGAGAUGUAAAUGACAAACCCUAUCACCUUUGAGACCUUAAAAAGCCUCUUCUGUGUGUACAAUUGAUCAUCACCACAUCUUGAGCUUCCACUCAAUGAAUAUUGAACCAUCAUUUGCUCUGGCUGAACCGAUAAUCCUGUAUGCCUCUGUAUCAGCCUCUGUGCUUAAAGUUCUGUGCCCCUGUUUUCCGAUUAAGUAAACUGCUAUACUGGAUAGUUUUGGAUGCAAUUACUUAUUCACCACUAUCAUCCAACUCCAAAAUCCAUAAAAAUAAUCAGCAAACUACCAGGCCAACCUAAACUGGAAGCAACUAAGCUCCAUUGAUACCGAAGUCUCCAGUUCUUUCCAUAUCCACAUUGACUGAAUUUAUGAUUUUCCCACUAUUUGAAGCCAGCAUACUUGAUCGAUGGAGGCUUCUUGUAAAUCAAUACCGUGAGAGCUGCCCGCACUCUGAUGCCAAUCUGCUGCCCACCUAAGUACCAUUGUCUUUAUAAUAGAGACUCCACAGUCUUUGCCCUGAAUAAGGUCAAUGAAAGAACCAAGGAAUUUCUUAAAACCCGCAUCAAAAGCAGCCAAGAGCAUCUAGCAUCACACAAUAGAACCUCCCAAACAACUCACUAUUCACAACCAUUCUUCGUGAUAUUUUUUCUUGCGGGUCCAGAAUCUCAACCCCCACUGCAUCUCCUCAUUAUUUCCCAUCUCAUUCCAUAGUCCCCAAAUUUUUUGAAUCAACGUUGUCAAUGUUUUCCUUGCUUUCAUAUUCAUGCAUCUCUCUGUAGAACUAAUUAGAACUACUACUGAAGGUGAACGACCCAAAUUGCUUUCAGAUUCCGACACAUCCUCUAUGAGAGCUCUUAAUACAUCAUUCUAAUGCAGAAAAAGAGUGUUCUUUUUUUUUUUCCACUAUUUUCAAUUUUUAAUUCCAAAACAGAGAACAAAUAUUGAAGAUUGGGAAUGGAACUUGUUGAGGUGCGGGCCAAAAUAGAAGAAAACAACAAAAGAGGCAUAUAGAAAGAAGUAGAAAAUAACCAAUAGGAGCCACAAUUUCACAUUUCAAUCCAUUGGCUUAGAACAUGGGAGUGAUUCAAAAUAAGAUUUUAUCAUGAAUAAGGUAGGAUUUCUAUCAUCAGAUUCAAGGACAGACCCAAAUGCAUAUUGUUCUCAUAUGACAUCAAUGACAUUGAAAAGAACGAAAGUCCAAAAAAUAGGAAAUCAGAGAAAAUAAACAAACAACCAACCAAUCUCAAUAGAACUAAUUGUGGCCCUUAGCGUCCACACCAAUCAGCAAAGAUCGAAUAUUAAAAAAUGGUCAGAGAAUAAUGGAGGAUUGAAUAUGGGUAAGAAUUCCGAGAAUAACUAGAAACGUACCUGGAAGAACCUUGGUUGCAAUCACCCAUUUCCUACUCUUGUGUGCUUUUUUUCCUCAAGGCAAUCCCAAAAUCCCCCCUCUAAAAUCUGGUCAUCUUUCCUCUAAAAAAUCUGGUGUAUCCUUUCAAAAAUCUAGUCAUCUUUCUCUUCCAAAAAAGUCCAGCACAAUCAGAACUCCUCCUCAGUUCCUCAAGAAUCUGCUAAAAAUCCUUCCUUCCAUACUUGCUCCCACCUUGCAACCGUAGGGAUCCUUCAAUAUGUGGACUAUCCAGAUCUUUCACAUGCGUGCUGGCCACUUACCAUCCUUGCAUAGUGAUAUCUUCCUUCCUUUUUUUACAAGAUUCUUUCCAAGUCUCUUUAUUUGGCCGUGAUAUUCUCUCCUUGAUGUCUCCAAGUCUCAUGCAAAAAUUAAAAAUAAAAUUGAAAUAAGAAAUGUGAGUUAUGAUCAAAAUGAAAAAAAAUAAAAUGUCAAAUCACAUAGCCACAAAAUCCAAGAUAUCAAUUUAUGGGAUUAAAGAAUGAAUAAAUAAGUAGGUAAAUGAACAAAUAAAUUGAUAAAAGUAUAAAAAUAAAUAUUAGACGUAUGCAAUUAGGAAAAAUCAAGAAAUUAAAUUAAUGCAACGGAUUAUAAUAAUUUAAAUGUCAAACUCAAACCAUUAAAAAUAAGAAAAUUCAUUCAUGCAAAAAAAAGUCAAGCCAACACUCAUCUUAUCUCGAAAAAUAAGUAACCAAAAUCAAGAUCAUGCCUAAGUGAACUAUGUUAAAAGAAGUGUCUAAGUGACCUAUUCUGAAAGAGUGUCUAAGUAACCUAGGGUGAAUGUGUGCAAGCUAGAAGGUGCUAAGUGCAUCUAAAUGGGCCUAAGGUGGUGCCUAAUGGGCCAAGUGUAUCUAAAUGGGCCUAGGGUGCCUAAGUGAGCCUAAGUCUAAAUUAGGGCUGCCAAGAGUCACAACGGGGUUAGAUAAAUCUCUCAAACAAAGUCCUUAAGGUGGCUUAGAAAAGAUAGACUUCAUGAGUAGUAAUGGGCCACCAGGGAAUUGCCAUAAAGUACCAAACAAAUACUUAAUAGAACAUGUGCUAGGAGGACAAAAUUGAGGGUCUACAUUUGUCUUAUCUCUUCUUGAAAAACCAAAGAAAGAAUAUGUUUUCUCUUCCUUCUCAAAAAAUGAAAAUGAAGAAUGCAUUUUCUUUUCUCCCUUGAAAUAAACAAGAAAGAAUACAAUUCUUCUAAAGAAACAAAAAGUCCUUUAUCUUGAAGUUAUUCCUAGUUUUCUUCGUGAAACGAAGGUCAAGGCUCUUGUGUUGUGAGAAACGAAUGGUUAUAGUAUUCGUAGUCCCAUUUAUGACUUGAGGCGAAAAAUUUGGCUAGUGAAACAACCAAUAUGAACCUUAAACCCUAAACCCUAAACCCGGAGGUACUUCAUAGCCUUCUCUGGGCGUUACCCUACUAGACCAAAGUUAUUCAAUUUCACAUAUGUUUGAGUCAAUAUUUUCUUAGAAGUAGUGUACAAAUAUUUUUUUAUUUAUUAUAAGUGAUUUCUUUAUAUUAGAAACUAAUAAUAAUGAACAAAUGCAAUAUAAUAAUAAUGCUAAAAUGAUAGUUUUUUUUCAUUUGUAACUAUAAUCUGCCCCUAAGAACUUAAUAAGCAUGGUUAAGUCAUUAACUAAUCUCACUUAACCUUAAUCAAAGUUUAAUUCAUAAUUAAAUUGGAUUAACACUAAACUAGUUUUAACAUCUAAUUAAGCAUGUUUAAAGUUAAGUACUAAUAUAAUCAUUAUUGCCUAUUUAAUUCAUUGGUGCUAGGUAUUACAUAUACUGUAUUUGAGUAUCAAUUGUUCAGUUUGAAAAUAAAAAUAAAAAAUAAAAAUCGGGGAGUAAGAGAAAUCAUACAAGUGCAUGAUAAAGAAAUGCCAUCAUACAAGUGUUCUCGUCAUUUUGCAGUUAAGUUUAAGGUAUCCUAGUAUCAUAAGUGCCUUUAGAUCAUAAUGUCAGCUUUUGUGGAGUAGGCUGACAUUAUACCUUCUCCGGAUCAUAUUGAGUGAUGAAGAAACCCAGACAUAACAAUUCCAAUAUUAGAAAUCAUUUAAUCCCUCUCAUAAAUGUGGAAUUUGGAAUAAAUCCUAAGUUCAAAACACACAUGAAGCCAAGUGCCAGGCAUGACAAUACAUAGGUCUUGACAUUACAUUCCAAGGCUGAAAAAAUCAACAACAUUUUACACCAAUUUUAGUUUGAUUUCAUACGUACACACAUCACCAACAAUAAAUUUAAAUAUUUACUAGCUCUAUGUGAGUGAAAAAAAAAUAAAAAAAAUAACAAACAAAAAGAUAAAAAAAAAAAAAUACAAAAACAAGAAAUCGAGUGGGUAACACAUAUACAUCGAUUACGGUUACAUACACACACAAAACCUUUCAAUAUUUAGAGGCGAAUAAGGCAUGGUCGAUACCAGUAGUUAGCAGAGCUAGAAGAUGAUAGAUCAGAUCCUGGCCAAGGUGCCAGAUGCAUGGCUAAUGGGUUUGCCUAGUAUUGAGCAGUUGGUUGGAUUGUAUGGUUCCAUAAAGAUCCUGGCCAAGGUACUAUAUGCCUAUCUGAUGGGUUUGCCUGGUACUGAGCAGCUAGCUGGAUGGGAUGGUUCCGUAAAGAUCCUGGCCAAGGUUCUAUAUGCCUGCCUGAUGGCUUUGCCUAGUAUUGAGUAGCUGGUUAGAUGGGACGACUCCCCAAGUCCGAAAGGUGUAUGAAUAAAGAUCUUGGCCAAGGUAUCGGAUGCCUCCCUGAUGGGUUCACCUGACCCCAAAUGGAUGGUUGGGUAGAAGAGUCGCCAUAGUUUGACGGAUUUGUCGAAUAAGAUCUUGCAGGUUGAGAUUCUAGAGAGUUUAUGUAACCAUAAGAUGAAGGCUCUCGAAGAUGAUGAUCUGGUAUUGAGCCUACACAUGUCUUAAGGUCCUGUAGUAAAAUUAAGAAACUGAUAUGUUAUGAGCAUUAAGAAAAAGAAUAGAUGUAAUGAGCUUUGUGAUUGGUUAGUCAAUCGGAACCUUAGUUUGUUCUUCAGUUUUUAUUGCAUAUAUAAUUUUGUAGUAAUUCAAAUUUACCUUGUUGAUAUAUUCAUAUACAUCAUCAUUUAGUCAAAACAUCAUUAAUAGUCAAGAAACAAAUGUAGUUCAAAUACAUAGUCGAUUACAUAAUUAGUCAAUUCCUCACAUGAAAAUUAAUACAAUUUAUCAACAAGGUAAAUUUGAAUUACUACAAAAUUAUGUAAUAAAAACUGAAGAACAAACUAUUUUCCCCUAUCUGAUUGCUUACGACAAUUCAAUUUUCUUUUCCACACAAACUGCACUUGUUAGAUCUGUCACAUCGUUGUUCUAUAUGGUUUUGUCAUAGACCGCACCCGUUCUAAUUGGUCCCGACAACUUAGAAUCAUUUUUUUGCAUAGACCAGACUUAUACGAUGGGUCACGUUGUUGUCCUAUCUGCCUUUUCUCACAAACCAUACCCGAUCUGAUCAAUCACAAUAACUCAUUAUUGUUUUCGACGUAGACCUCACUUGUAUGAUUGGUCAUGUCGUUGUCUUGCCUGGUUUUCAUGACAGACCACACUCGAUCCGAUUGGUCACGAAAUCUCAAUUUUGUUUUUGGCUUAGACUACACAUGGAAGAUCGCUUAAAUCAUUGUCCUGUAUAGUUUCGUCAUAGACCACACUUAAUCUUAUAAGUCCCGAUAGUUCAAUAUUGUUUUUAACGUAGACCAGGCCUAUACGAUGGGUCACAUCGUUGUCCUGUCAUGUUUUCAUCGCAUACCAUACCCAAUCGAAUCGGUCAUGGUAGCUUAGUUUUGUUUUCGAAAAAGACCACAUCUAAACGAUCAGUUACAUCAUUGUCUUAUCUGGUUUUUAUGACAGUCGACACAAUGUCCGAUCGGUCUUGAUAGUUCAAUAUUGUUUUCGGUGUAGAUCACACCUAUACAAUAUGUCAUGUCAUUGUCCUAUCUAGUUUUCAUCAUAGAUUGCACUCAGUCCAAUCGACCAUGAAAAUUUAGUAUCAUUUUCGAUGUAGACUAUACUUGUACGAUCAUUCACGUCGCUGUCUUAUCUGGUUUUCAUCACAAUUCGCACAUAGUCAAAUAGGUCCCAAUAGUUCAAUUUCAAUUUCGGCAUUGACCAAACCUAUACAAUUGGUCAUGUCAUUGUCCUAUGUGGUUUUCAUCAAAGACCGCACCUAGUCUGAUCGAACAUGGCAAUUCAGUUUAGAUUUUGAUGUAGACCACAUCUAUUUGAUUGGCUAUGUCGUUGUCCUUUUUGGUUUUUAUGACAAAUGACACUUGGUCUGAUCGGUCAUGACAAAUCAAUAUCAUUUUUAGCGCAUACCGCACUUGUACAAUCGAUCAUGUCGUUGUCCAGUCUGGCUUUCGUUAUAUACCACACCUAUUCCAAUCAAACAAGAUAGCUUAGCCUUGUUUUCGAUGUAGACCACAUCUGUUUGAUCUAUUGAUUAAAAUUAUGCACCAUUAAGGUAGUACCUAAGGUUCCAAUUGACUAACCAAUCACAACAUAAUAAUGGCAUGCUUGUGUCUAGAAUGCAAUUAAAGAAAUUGUGUCUUGAGCAGAAAAGUUCUAACAACGUUCAUCUUCAAACGAUGUUCUCCAUCUCCAUCUUGAGUAGAACUCUAUGGGACAUGGGCUUAAAUAAAAGGAAGGGUUCUGCUCACGGUUUGUCCUCUCUGUCCUUUUCACUAAGAGUUGGGAUGGUAAGGAAAUGGAGAUCCAGUAUAACUAAUAUGAAUCAUUAAAACUUGCAUUCUUUACCAUGUAUGCAUGUCCCCACCUCUUCCAAUUAGCUAAUUAUAAGGCAAGGGAACAAUCACCAAUAUUCUGCACACAUUUAUAGUGACAUGUAGAAAAAACAUAUGUUACAUAUAAAGAACACACUAUCUAUAACUAAAUAAAUUCUUCCUUAACAAGUUAUAUACUUUUUGCUAAAAUGGCAUGAUGAUGCAUUACCAGCAUCACCAUCAUACAAUAAUCUUAAAUAAAAACCCAUCCAUGUCAGCAAAUAAAUGCAAAAUAGAUUUAUAUCUUCCCUUCAAUCAAGUGGUAAAUCACUUCCAAGCAUUAAUCAUGGUCCCAUAUCUAAUGCUACAAAAGAAGAGGUCUAAUAUAUUGAUACAAACAUAUUGGCAAAUUAUCAUAACAAAACUAAACCAGUGUUACAAUGAGAUUUUUAUAAGUAAAACAAGUCUAAUAUAGGAUGCCUGAAACAAGGGUGCUAACCAAGUACUCACAAGUCACAAAGUUCACGCUUUAGGGGGUGCGGCGGGGUUUGGAAAAGGGGGUUGCUCACCAUAGCUCAACAUCUACAAAAGAAGUUCAUUCUCAUAGAAAGUUUUAUUUCACUCUCACCUCACAUGAUAGGACAAGAGAGUCGCUCUCUGGAUAGGUGGCCUCCUUUUUUCCAAAACCCAACCCUGCCACCUCAAGAAAAGCUCCACCUGUGCCCAAACAUCAUCUACUGAACCACAAAAAUCACAAAACCAACAAAACCAAACACCACAGUUCAACAGAAAAUGGUUCACUGUCUCAUUAUCCUUUAUGCACAAAGAAAAUAUAACAUUUCCUUACCAUCUGACCAUUACAAAGAACCAACAAUCUCCAUCCCCUCUCUCUCUCUCCUCAUCCUCUUUGAUGGAUCUAUAAAUAGUAAAACUUCUUUAGACACCACUUGAAUAGAGCUACCACCAAACCUUCUUUCUAGGAUAGCUUCUUCAUCUUGGUCUAAUUAUUUUCCUAAUAAUGUCACUGAAAGUGUAGAGAUUUAACUACUCAUCUUUUUAUCUAGUCACCUAGCAUAUAUUAUUUCAAAAGAGUGUAUGUCAUAUAUCAAAUAUUGUACACACCUUAAUCUAGUCGCAUCAAAUGCUUGACUUGAAUUUCCUACACACAAGAUUCAUAUGAACAUUUCGUUUUUGACAAAGUCACAGACCUCAUCUUCUACUUAUUCAAGUCGCAUAUAUAAAAUACAAUGGAAAGUCCUCCCGUAAUGUAUGUAGAAGAGUUUUCAAGCACCCAUCUAGUUUUACAUGUGCAUAAAAGCAUAUGAGCGAUAAAUUCUUUCAAUUACCUAGAAUCCAUUACUCAAAUCUUGUAGAACUUAUUUGUAAAUUUAUUUAUAUUUCUUCAAUUUUUUAUGGUUUACCUUCUACUAAUAACUUUGGGAAUCCCAUAUAGAUUAUGACCUGAACCUAUUCUUUUUUUAAUCUCCAUACAAUAUUCUAGUUUGAAAACAAAGCUAAGCUAUCUUGUUUGAUUGGAAUAGGUGUGGUCCAUGACGAUAACCAUAGAAGGGCCUGAAAAGGGUGCUCUUGAGAUUUCUGCACAUCUUUUCCAUCUACCUUUCUCUUGCCACGAUCAAUGUUUUUUGAAUCUUCUCCUUGUUGAUCUUUUUCAUCCAUGUUAUGCUAGUCUGAAAGGGAAUUUAAAGAAUUUCUUGUAGGAGACAAGCUGAGAAAAGUCUUCUCUUACGCCUAGCCUAGAUCUAUGAAGGGACAGAUCAGAUGGAAAAUCAUUAGAUAGAUGAGUUUUAUGACGACCAUCAUGGUUUUCAACAUCUUCUUCAGAUGAGAUUCGAUUUGGGAACAUUCAAAUCGCAGGUAUGAACUUUAAUCUCUAAAUCUAGAUCAAUCUGAAUUAAGGACUAAUCACUAAAAAACUAAUAAAUCAAAAUUGAUUUAUUAUGAGUCUUCUACAAUAUUAGAAAUCAUUUAAUCUAAAGAAAGUACAUGAGAUAAUCUUGUUUGAUUAAGUGAGGAAUAAAGGCCAAUCAAACAAGGUUUGGCCUUCUACAAUGAAUAUUCAAAUCGCAGGUAUAAACUUUAAUCUCUAACCAAUUUUGUAAUUUCGUAGUAACUUGAUUUAUAAUUUUUCAAUAUUACAAAUGAUUUUUCAAAGUAUUUCCUUGCCAAACACCUUUUUUUUUUUCAAAAAUAAUUUUUAGGUUAAAGUGCUUCCUAGAAUCACUAACAAUUUAUAAGCACUUGUUUGAUUGUACUUCAAGUAGAAGUGUUUUUACUGGAACUGAUGUUUUCUUUAGUGCUUCUAUGAAAAACAUUUCUAUGAAAAUCCAAAAAAGUGAUGUUAAUAGUUUUUUGAUAAUAUGUUGCAAAAUGUUUUUAAUAUUAAUAAAUUAUAAAAAGAAUUAAAAAAUAUAUACAAUUUAAUUAGAAAAAAUGAAAUAUUGUAAUAAAGUAAGAACUUUUCAUUACAAAAUAAUAUAUAAAUAUCUAUGUUAAAAGAAUAUAUAAACAUUUAUAAUAUUAAAAAUAAAUAAAAAUAAUCAUUUUCAUGAUUUCAAGAGAAUUUAAAAAAAUAUUUUUUUAAAAAGGAUCAAUAAAUAAACAUCAAUCAUGAUAUAAUAAUUUCUCAAAAUAAAACAAAUUGUUUUGUUAAUUAACUAGCUAAAUUACUCAUAAUUAACCUUUAGGUUAAUAACUUAAUUAACUUAAAUUAAGUUAUUAGGUAAUAAGGACCAAUAAUAAUUUACUCAAAAAAGGAAAAUUUAAGUUGAUGUCUAAAUAUAUUUUUUAUUAAAAAAAAAUAGUACUAACUUUGAUUUUUUUUUUUUUUACAAAAAUGAUGAAUUUAAAGGAUUCUAUUACUUAAAUUCACAAAAAAUUAGUUCUAAUUUCUAAAUAUAUAAGAAAUGUCAGCAUAUAUAGGUGAACAAAUUUUUAAAAUGUAAUCGUAUCAGACUCCAAAACAGCACCGUCUAGCGAGGGUUUCAUAACAUAACUUCUAUUUCAGUAGUAUGGUUUGCGUUUACGUCCAUUUCCUACUUUAAAUGUUCAUAAUGUUCCUAUUUUGUUUUCAUCACAAACCACAUUUGACAGGAUAGGUCUUGAUAGUUCAGUUUUAGUUUUGGUGUAGACCAUAAGUAUAUAAUCGGUCACGUUAUUAUCAUGUCUGGUUUUCGUCAUAGGCGGUACUCAAUCCAAUCGAUCACAAUAUAUCAAUAUCGUUUUUGGCAUAGAGCACACCUAUACAAUUGGUCAUGUCAUUGUUUAGUUUUCGUCUUUAGACCACACCUAUUCCAAUCAAACAAGAUAACUUAGCUUUGUUUUCAAACUAGAAUAUCGUAUGGAGAUUAAAAAAAGAAUCGGUUCAGGUCAUAAUCUAUAUGGGAUUCCCAACCCUAAACCCUAAACCCUAAACGUUAAGGCACAGCUCAAGGUUUUCACUUUAUAUUAUCUCAAUUCAAGUUGACAUGAAAUAGCUUUUUUUUUAUCUCCACAUGCAAUUAGUGGGGACGUAAAAAUUAUUGUGUUCCUUGAUUGAUCUUUUAUUAUAUUGAUUAUUCUUAAUAUCUCAUAGGUUUAAUUUGGGUUAAUAAUUAAACUCCUAAAUCAUAAUUUUUAAAAAUACACCAAUUGGCUCCAAUUUAAUGAGAAUUUAUGAUAAUAAAAUUUUAUUUUUUUCAAGUCUUUAUGAAAUAAAUAUUUCCUAUUUAGCACAAGAUUAUAAUUUAAAGAAAUAAAUUAUUUUUGGAAAAAUAUAUGAUAGAUAAUUCAUGAUUAAGAUUACUUACCAAGAUAUUGUUUCAAAUAAAACAAAUUAAAAUGGUAAUUUUGGAUUUUGUAAAAAGAAUAAAUUUUCAUGAGUUUUAUUUCAAUUAUUAUUUAUUUAAGAAAUUGGUUGUUCUCAUUUGGAAUUUCAAAUUCCUUUUGGGACUUUCCUUUAUUUGGGAUAAGUGGUUCUCCAGGCUUUUCCCUCCAAAGAGAAGGAGAAUGACACCUAAAUUGGUCAUCUAGGCUUUCCUCUCCUAAGAGAAGGAGGAAACUGUUUAGUUUGAAAAGGAAAGUUUAAGGAUAAGGAAUAUGAAAGAUAUCCCUAUUUGGAACAGGAGUUACAGUUCAAGUAAUAAAUAAAAGUUUUGGAAAUUCUCAUGAUUAUUAAUUUUUUUUAAGAUAAUUACCAAAAUUAUCUUAAAGUCUCUCUUCCAAAAUAUUAAGUGGAAGCGGGCCAUAGGUAAGCUCAUAGCCUCCAAGAUCGAGCCCAUCUUGAUUUUGGGCCCAUCACCAUCCUAAAGAUGGGGUGGCCCAAGGAAUCAAGGGAUAUGGACUAUCCUUUAUGGACAAGACUAUAUAUGUUUGUAGUGGGAGUGACCAAUCCUAAAGAUGGAACUUUUCACUUGGUAACAUUGAUGUCAAGGAUCUUGGUUACACACUUAACUUAGACAUGAAUGUAGGAUCUUGAUAAACAUAAAGAUAUGUUGAUCAAUGCCUUAGAAUAACCUUAGGAGGUUUAAGACAGGUUGAUUAAUUAGAGAGGGUCUUUGCCUAGUAAUAAGAGUCAUGACUUGCCUAAAAUAGACUUGAUUCUUAUGAUACUAGGAUACCUUGCAUGGAUAUAUGUAGUUUGAGAGCACUAUAUUUUCCCUAAAUUAAUUAUCAACUUGCCUUGAAUGCUCAGUUUCUUUUUAUUAAUGCAUGAAAUUAUUAUAUUUGUUACAUAUAUCAUGUCUUUAACCUAUCACCCAUUAUCUUUUGUUUAAAUUGAACCUAAUUAUAUACCAAAAAUAAUUUGGAUAUAGUAUUAAUUGCAUAAAAGCCAAUUUUGGUAGAGUUUGUUAUCUCCUUUGAACACACCUAUCAUAAAGUAAGAGAAACAUAUCAAAAGUGGCAUAAGAUAGAUCAAAAGACUAAGUCUCUCAUACUUAGGUCUUUAGAUAAUGUGUUGUAAAAGCAACAUAUGUCUAUUGCCAUAGUCUAUGAUAUUCUCUUUAAAGUUACAAGAGUUAUUUGGUGAUAAAAGCAAGUCAACUAGACAAGUUGCCCUUAAGACUAUUAUGAACACUAGGGUUCAAGUUAUCUUAGAAAUCUUACCAAAUUCUUUUGGGAUGGGUAAGAAGAUUCUCAAAGAGUAAAAGGGUGUACGUAUGGAAGUCAAGGUUCUUUAGGUUUUUAUAACAAGAAGAAGAACAAUAACACCAAAUAAGGGAAGUUCAAGAAAAUGAAUGAGAGAACAAACUCAUGGGCAAUGAUUCCUUUGUGAUCUUUCAGGACACUAGAAAAGGAAUGCUUAGAGUACCUAAGGAUAGGAAAGUACACAUCAUAUUCUCAUGUUAACUAAAUAGUAGUGGAUUUCACCAAUUGUGGUAGAUAAAUUCUAGACCCACUAUCUAUAGUUCUUUAUAGGGUUUUCAACAAGUGAGAAGGUCACAUGAUUCCUUAACUUCAGUUACAAGAUUAAUUGUGCAAGUUAGUUGGAGGUAUUACAUUUUUUUUGUGUAAGACUCCAUUAUCACUUUGCCAAGUAAUGAGAAUAGUUAGAUCUCACUAAAAGAAAGAAUCUAGCACUAAUCAAACAUUUGGCUUCUAAUGCCUAGGUCAUAUUAAUCCAUAUAGGAUCCAAAGACUAAUUAAGUUUGGACUUUUUUAUUCCAUAAGAUCUUUUAGUAUACAAAUCCUAUAUAUAAGGUAAAAUGACGAAGAGACACCUUUAUUUUUAAAGGGCAUGGAACCAAGGAAUGUUUGGAGUUAGUGCAUACUUGCGUGUAUGAACCUUUUUGUGUUUCUAUAUGGAAAGUAUGGGUAUUUGAUCGUUUCAUUGAUAAAUACUCUAGUUUUGGAUAUGUAGAUAGAAAAUCUAAUGCCUUGGAUAAACUCAUUGAAUUUAAGGCAAAAUCCAAUAACCUAUUGGGUAAACAUAUUAAGGCACUUCGAUUAGAUUGAGGUGGUUAGUCUAGUAGGUUUGAUUAUUUCCAAAUGGAGCAUGAGAUCAUAUUUUAGUUGUGUGCACCAAGGACUCCAUUGCAAAAUGGAGUAAUGGAAAGAAGAUAUUGAACUUUGAUAGAUAUAGUGAGAUCGGUGAUUAGUUUCUCAUUACUUCCUAUAUUCUUUGGGAAUAUAUCUUAAAGAAUGUAUAAUACCUUUUUUUUUUUAUAGGUGUAUCACUUUAUAAGCUAUCUAAGAGGAUUUAGGGAUUAUUACUUUAUAGUCAGGAUUAUUAGAAGGUGUUUGUUGUUACAAAUACCAGGUUUCUGAAGAAUACUAUAUGAUAUGUAAUAAGGAAAACUAUGAUAUAGAUUGGAAAAUAUUAGAAUAUAGUCCCACUAUACACAAGAUACUUAGGAUACAAUACCAAUCAUUCCCAUUUUUAGUAUACUGAUGCCUUGUUGUAGUGGGAGGGUUGUUAAACAAUGAGACCGAUUAAUGUAUUUGGGAAAGUCUUUCGAGGCCAUUCUAAAGGAACAUGAGAUCAAUCCCAUAGAUUACGAUAAAGUAAUGAGUGAUGUGGAUGCACAUCUUUAGCAAGAAUUUAUGGAGAUAGAGUUAGAAUCCUUGUGAUUCUAAUAUAGUCUGGGUUCCUGUAGAAACACUUGAAAGGAUAAAACCUAUAGGUGUAAGUUGGUCUACAAGAGGAAUAAAGGAAUAGAUGGAAAAAGUUGAGUUUUAUGUGGCUAGGUUGUAGUUAAAGGUUAUAGUUCAAAACAUUGUUUUGAAUAUAAGAAACCUUUUCACUAGUAGUUAUAUUAAGAUCCAUCAGAGUACUCCUACCUAUUGCGAUGUAUCUUAUUUAUGAGAUAUUACAAUAGAAUGUCAAGAUAGUGUUCUUAAACGAUUAUCUUCAUAUUAGUAUCUAUAAGAUGUAAUCAGAUAUUUUCAUAGCAAAGGGCCUUAUGUGUGCAAUAAGGUGUAGGGAAGCAUGGUGGUCUUUAUGAUCUUAUAUGGUAAUGACAUUCUACUCAUUGGUAAUGAUGUAGGGUUAUUGUCACCGGUCAAGAUCUAAUUGUCUACUUAGUUCCAAAUGAAGGAUUUAGGAGAAACAUAGUAUAUUCUUAGGAUUAAGGUCCUUAGGGACCCCAAUAAUAGGAAACUAGCGCUAUCUCAAGCUACCUACAUAUAUAAGAUUUUGGUCAAGUAUGUGAUGAGGAUUCAAAGAAAGGUUUGUUACAAUUGAGGCAUGGAAUUCCCUUUUCUCAGGAUUAGUGUCCUAAAGCACUUGAGGAGAAAGAGUGCAUGCAAUUAGUACCCUAUGCUUUUGUAGUGGGUAGUCUUUUGUAUACGAUGCUAUGUACUAGGCUAGAUAUUUGCUUUAAAGUGGGUAUGGUGAGUAGGUAUCAAUCUAAUCUAGGUCCAAAACACUGGACUGCUGUCAAGCAUAUACUCAAGUAUCUUAGGAGAACAAAGGAUUAUGUGUUUGUGCUUUAAAGUGUUGAGAUAGUUUAAAGGGUGACAAGAUGCCUUCUAUGAAGAACUUAAUGGAUCCCUUCACCAAGACAUUGACAAGGAGAGUCUUUGUUGGUUAUAGGGAUAGCAUGGGUUUCAGAUGUGUAUCUCGUAAACUUUUUUUCUUCCACCAUCCUGACAGAAAGAGAGAGCCAUAGCCUCCACCCCCUCCCCCUCCUCCCAUUUUUCCUCCUCAGUGGAAGUAUGGCAAGAACAAGGUUGAGUCUUUGGGCAGAAGAUCUAGAGUUUACGAGACUUCCAACAACUUCAAGGUUAUCUUCAACACUUGGAAUUUAAAGUUUGGGAACAUACAAACCUAAAGGUUACUAUUUUAACCCUAAAGAUCAAUUUUUUGAAAAUUUGUAUUGCUUUCAUUGCUUAGAUCUAAGAUGUCAUCAAUUCACACCUCCUCUCCCUCUCUUAUUGGGUGUUUUUCCUAAUCUAAUUAGCUUUAUUUUACAUGAGGAGACACCUCCUUAUAUGCUUAUUAAUUAAGAAUUUGAAAAUCAAUAUGUUUUUUUUUUCUAUAGUUUUGAUCAUAUUUGAUUAUUUUAAAAUGAACCACAAUUUUCCCAUUAUUUAUGAAAAUAGACACAAAAAUCUUAUUUAGGUGUUAUCUUAUCCUCAAGUAAAAGAAGUCAAACACCAUAAAAAUUUAACGAGUUAGAUUCAUUUGAUAAUUAUUCUUUAUAUAACUAUGUGAAAAUUAAAUUAACAAUUUUAUAGUAUAUAGCCUAAAGUUAUGUAACUUUUUUUUAAAAAAUAUUUUUAUAAUAAACUUACCAUAACCAUUACAUAGCCAAAAGUUAUGUAAACAAAAUAUAUUUUAUCAUAUUACAUAACCAAAAUCUAUGUAGAAGAAACAUAUUCAUAUGGACUCUAAUAGCUGAAAGUAAUAGGGAGCUUGAAGUUAUAUGAAAAAUUAAUUUACAUAUUUUUAUAUUUUGAAGCUAUAUAAUAGAAAACAAAAAGUAUUUUAUCAUGUUAUAGUUAUUAAUGCAUAUGAUUUUUAUGGAAUUAAAAUACAAAACUUACUUUAUUCAUCACUUGACAAUUUUAUUUAGACCAUUAUUUUUUUUUCAAGAUCUUUUAGUUUAUGAAUGAUUUUCAUUGUAUUAUUUGGUCAUGUAUCCAUAGGUUAUAACAUUACACAAACUUGAAUUUGUAACUCUUUUGAUGAAAUUAAGUAAAUAUGAGAUCUUGUGGGAUAUUUCAAAAACAUGAAACAUCCUUAUGUAUCAUUUCCAUGAAAAUUUAAACGAAUUGAUGUCUCAUAAGAUAUUGCUUUUUUUAUAAAAUAAAAAAUACAAAAUUGAAAUAAUAUGAAAAAAUAUAUGACUACCAAAAGACUGUGAUCCUUCGAAAAUGGGGAUGUAUCAAAGAAUAAUGAACUUUUGAUAAAAAAAAAAAUCAUUAGUCUUGUUUACCUUCCAUGUUUGUCCUUUUAUUUUAACUUAAUGACAUGUUUUCUAAUAUAUGCAUAUAUUUUAUCCAUUUUUAUUUGUAUAUAAUAUCAAUUACUUAAUAGAUAUAUUCUAAAAUGUUUGUCUUAUUCAUUGUACAACAUUAAUAAUAAUUGAUGUAAUUACCACACCAACUACUAGAAACAUAAUUAAAAGCUUAAAAAAAGUUCAUACUUGAUCACUAGUAGCACACUAUUCCAUGUGAAUGGCAUUUUAUAUCAUGUCAAAUCCAGAAGAUUCUUGUAUGACCAAUUGGAUCCGUCAAGGUUAUUCUCAUUACAAUGUCAUAUGGGUAUUCAUUAAAAAACUAGACGUUUCUUUUACAUAGUGAAUAAUCUAUAUAUAACAUGAAAGGUAAUAUGACAUGUUGCAUAAAUUGUUAUUUUCAUGAAAUAAUUUUCUUACUAUUAUAAGGAGGAAGCUUAUUCUAGAAGAAUGAUGUGAAAUUUAUUGGGAAGUUCUUAUUCAUAAAAUAUAAUAAAUUGAUGUCCAUAUUAGACAAUGAACUAACACAACAAUAAAUACAUACAUGAAGUGUGGUAAAAUAGUUGAAGCAAAAGAUACUAAGUAAGACAAAUAAAUAUUAUAAAAAUAAUUUGAAGAGACCAUAAAUUGAAUAAUUAGUCCAAAAUUGAUAAAUCUGAGCCCUAAAGAGGUACAAAUGAAACAUACAACCCCUGAAGAGGUGCAAAUUAAGCGAAUAGCCAUUGAAAAAGUAUAAGUAGUUGAAAAUAGUGAGAUCUUAAUAAGUUAUGAAUACAUAAAGAAAAAUAAAACUGAAAUGAUAUUGUUAGCAAAAAUAUUUUUACUUUUUAAGUGGUUUUAGACAUCUAAAAAUGAUGGUAAUCCCAAACUAAAAAAUAUGGGAGAAUACCAAUACAAAAUGAUUGGCACAAUAGAAAGAAGCAUUACUAUAGGUAGAGUUAAACUUAUUAAUAAAACCUGAAGUAUUUGGACUUGUAGUACAAAUGUGUAAAGAUGUAAAGCCUAUUAUAAAAACUUGAGAUCUAGUGCCUGAAGAUGUAAAAAAUAUUUUAUACCAAUUGUUUAGUGUAACCAAGAUAAAAAUAAAAUAAAAUUAUAAGAUGACGUUUCCUAUAUAUACCUAUAUCGAUUCUUGUAAUGACUCAAUCAUAUGAUAGAUAAUUCCUAGAGUAUUUGAUAUAUACUUUAUAAUAUAGUUACAAUACCCUGGAGGAUGUAAACUACUUGAAGCAACCAAGUCUCUAAAUGAUUUAAAGUGCUUGAAGCAAAUAAAUCAUUGAAGUAUUAAAAUGUCUAAAACAAGGAUUGAAAAAGUUAUAUCACAUUCAAGAUCAAGUUGCGAUGAUAAUAUACUUGCUCAAAUGAUGUCCUGGUAUGGAUUAAAAUAAGGGCUUGUAGUUGUAAUCUUUUUAGAACUCUUGUAGAGUUCAUAAUGUUAGGAUAAAACCCUUAAAAGCAUGACAUGAUGUAAUAAACUCUUAGAUUUUAUUAUUUAUUUAAUAAAGUUCUAGUUCACUUUUAUUUAUCUUAUUUCCAUGCAUCAAACAAAAAAUCCAACUCAUGGGCUCCUUGUAAAUAGAUGACUUGUUCACAGUCGGUUCAUGAGUCUAGGUAUCACCUCCUAAUUGGAGGGAUGACUGAUCUUGGUUAUUGGGAUGAGUUUCCUAUAGUGAGUGCACUAUUGUGUAUGGUUAUACAUUGGUCAGGACCUAUGGUGAGUCAUGACUUAAAGCUAUCAAGUAGUCAUGACUUCACGAAGCUGUUUCAUUGUGUUGUCUCUCAACCUUGAGAGAAUAUAGAGCUUGUGUUGAAGUUAGUAGUGGCAUCGACCUACGAGUGAGAUCAUAAGUUGAUAAUCUAUUCCUUAUAGAUUAGGUCAUGUUGAUAGAAACCGAUAGUAAUAGGUAUUCUCAAUAGAGGCAUCAUGACAUCUCUUGGGAUUGAGAGAGUGUGUCCCCUUGGGUGAUCCUAAGGAGGUGUGUUCAUGGAAACUAUGGCCAUAGUAGUAGGUUACGAAUUUAAACACUUAGUAUCUUGUUGUUAUUUACAUAGGAUACUAGAGUUCAGUUGAUUCUUUGAAGUGGGAUGUUGAGUUAACUUCAGAAUUGGAUUAUGAGGGAGUUGGUAUUCCUAUGGAUCCCAGUGGUCCCUGCUCUGAGCUUAUAUACCUUGUUGACAUGGGUUAUGAGGGUUGGAUUGACUCUAAGUUCACUUUUGUGCAUAAUGACGUUUUGAUAAUUAUGCAAGGUUGCAUAAGGUUAAGUGAAUAAGGCCUCUAGAUUGGGAUAAUUGGUUAAGUAGUAGGCCCUAUUGGGUUAAUUAAUCAAUUAGGAUCCGUUUUAAGCUAGAUUAAGUGACAUAAGCCCUUAGUGGGCUCAAGUCACUUAAGUCGAGUAGGGAACCCUAUAACUAAUCCUUUAGGGGUUAGGAUUUCUAUAGUUUUUUCUAGAGAGACGUCUUCCUUCUCUAAAGAGAGUCAUAGCCUCCAUCCUCUCUUCCAUCCCCACCAAAAGUGUGUUAAGAUUAAGGUUCGAGUCAUCGGGUGGAAGAUUUCGGGUUUUUGAGACUUCUACGAUUUUGUUCUUCAUCUGAAUAUGAGGUUUUGGUUUUUGUAAUCACUUUUUGAAUCCAUUUAAAUUUUAAAAAUGCUAUUUUUCCAUUGUACAUAGAAUUUAGAAAAGUUUAGGAUGGUUAUGCAUAUUCCUAACUUGAUCUGAGCCUUUAAUGAAGAACGCUCUUAUCUUGAUAAUUAAUAAGUUGGAAAUUAGUACUUUGAAAGUUAACCAACUAUAUCCAUGCCGAAAAAGCUACCCAAAAUCUAGUUGAGUAAAAUAAGAUUCAUGGUUUUGGUUGUUGUUACCAUUAUUAUCUAACUCAAGACCAAGACAUUUUUUUUUCUAUUCUUUAAAAUUGAGAAGAGUUUUCUUAUUUUUAAUUGAAAAUAUGUUUUUUAAGAAUUUAUUUUCGCAACAAUUUGCAUUUGAGGAUAAAAUUGAAGGGUUUUUUUUUUGUUUUUUUAUUUUUUUAACUUUUUUUAAAAAAAUUUAAAAUAUACAUAAUAUUUUGAGAAGUUUUUCAUUUAUUAAAAAAUUUAUAAUACUUUCAUAGGGAAUAAAUCAACAAAACUAUUUUUUUAUUUGAGUUCUUAAACAAAUUUUUAUUUCUAAAUAUAAUUGAAAAUUAUUUUUAAGAAUUAUUCCUAAAAAUUAUUUUUCCGAGAAUUUUGAGCACGACUCUUAUGACGUGUAACCUUUGUUUGUUUAUCUCUCUCUUUCUUUUCUUUUCUUUUUUCCUUUUGGGUUUCAGUAGAUAUAUCCAAUUAAAAAGCAUUUCUAAUUAAAUUAUUAGUUUACAUUUUACCUUUAAUGGAUUUAAUAACUUUAUUGAGAAUAAGAGAUUUAUUUU